rnacentral:lncRNA from 1 species
UUUAUUUAUUAUAAAAUAUUAGAUAGAUACAUAAUUAAUUAAGAGAUGGAUGAGGUUAUAAUGCCUCUUCAAAUGAUGUGGCAGUUUUAGAGUUGUUCAAAAAAUUAGAUAUGUGGGAAACUAAUUUGAUAGAAGAUAAGCAUCUCCAUGUGAGAUGUAUGACUCAUAUACUUAAUCUAAUUAUGCAAGAUGGUUUGAAAGAAAUUAGUCCUUCUAUCAAAGGGUGAGACAAAUGGUGAAAUAUGUUAGAUCAUCUUCUUCAAGGAUAAGAAAUUUCUUGAAAUGUGUUGAAAUACAAAAGAUAGAAUGUGAUAAGAUGUUGUCUUUAGAUGUGCCUACUAGGUGGAAUUCCACCUAUUUGAUGUUAGACACAACAGAAAAGUGUGAGAAGGCUUUUAGAGGUUUGAUCUUUAUGAUGGUAGUUUUAAUUCUUUUCUUGCUACUAAUGUUUGUGAAGAUGGAAGUAUCGCAGGGUCAAAAUAAUAUGAAGAUUGGGCUAAUGUGAGGAAUGUCACAAAGUUUCUUGAAAAAUUUUAUGAACUCACUUUGAAAGUUUCAGGUUCACGAUAUGUUACUUGUAAUGUUCAUUUUGAAGAUAUAUGUGAACUUGAUGCUUAUUUGAAAUUAUGUAUAGCAAGUGAUGACCUUGAUUUGAGUAAAAUGACUUUGGAAAUGAAAGAAAAAUUCAAGAAAUAUUGGGGUACUCCUGAAAGAAUGAACAAAAUAAUUUUUAUUGCUUAUGUUUUGAAUUCUCACAAUAAAUUUGUGUAUGUUAGUUUUGCUCUUGAAGAAUUAUUUGGGAAACAGGAAAUGUAGUGAAUACGAAAGUAGAGUCUUACUUGAGGGAUUUGUUUGCGAUAUAUGUAAGUAAGUAUGGAAAAGGUUCCAAAAGUCAACCAUCUUCAUCUGACUCAUCUGAUUCUUCUGCUUGUGGUAUUUCACAGAAUGUGUCCAAAAAUUCUUUGAGAACUAAGUUGCACAUGAAAAAACAAAAUAAUGAUUCUGGAAGUUUAGGUGUUAAAUCCGAGUUGGAUAAAUAUCUUCUUGAAGUCCAAGAACCUGAAUCUGAGAUUUUGAUAUUUUGAGUUGGUGGAAAGUUAAUUCUCCUAGAUUUUCUGUACUUUUACAGUUGGCUCGAGAUGUAUUGGUUAUUCCUAUAUCGAGUGUGGCAUCGGAGUGUGCAUUUAGCACUGGUGGUCGAAUUCUAGAUCCCUUUAGAAGUUCAUUGACUCUCAAAUGUGUGCAAUGUCUUAUUUGUGUCCAAGAUUGGCUUAGACAAGAAACCAAGCCUAUUUGUGUUGAAGAAAGUUUGGAGUUUCUUGAAAAAAUUGAACUUGGUAAGAUUUUUUAUUUUUUAUUUAUUUUUGAAAAAAAAUAAAAUACUUAUUGUGUUCUAUCUUGUAUGACAUGUUUCUUUUUCUUAAUUAUAGAGAUGACAAAUAGUGGAAGAAACUCUUCCAUUGUUGAUCUAUGAUUGACUUGCAAGCGGUGAGUUUAAUACAUCAUUUAUUUAAUCAUAUCAUUUUUAAUCUUAAAAGUAGUAUUCUAAGUUUCUAAUAUUUGAUUUUAUCUUAAAAGUUCCAAGGGUCAAGGCAAUGAAGAAAUAAUUUUGUUGACAUGGAAGAAAGUCAAGAAACUCAUUAUUGUUGUUUGUUAUUGUUGACAUUUGAAUUGAAAGUAAUCUCAUGGAAGAAGAUAAGAAGUUUAAAAUACAUUGUUUGUUGCUUAUUAUUGUUUUAUUAUGAGCUCAUGAAAGACUUUAAUGUUACUUGUUAGAUUGUUAUUAUGUUGUAUUUGUGAAGACAUUAACUACAAAUCUACAAUGCAAGUUUUGUUUUAGUGUCAUUGUUAAUUAAAAACAGUGUGUUUUAGUGAUAUUGUGAAUUUAAAAUUUGUGGUGUUAAUGCCUAAUGACAUAUUGACAUAUUGAUAUUUGGUAGUAAAUUAGUAAUGCACUUUUUUGAUGUAUUGUCUAUUUUUACUUUUUAGUCCAUUAAAUUGAAAAAUCAAACUAAUUAAAUUUUAGCUUACAACCCUGAAAUACUACUACUAAUAAUGAUAGUAAUAAUAAUAAUAAAACACUACUACGACAAGAAUCAUCAACCACAUACAUAAUAAGAAAGAAUAGACAAACAAAAAUUUGGAUACAACCCUGAAAUAACUAGAUAAUAGAAAUUUGGAUAUUCAUUAAACUAUAUAUAGUGAAUAUUCUGAUACUAUAUUGCCUAAUUCUCGUUUCUAGGUACAUCAUCUAUGACAAACAUGCCUAUUGAAACCCUUCGUGGAGGCGUAUAUCGGUGCUCAAUCCUUUUAUAACGAGGCGUAUAUAAAUGCUAAACUGCAAUGUUAAGAAAUAUAUGAUGACCUUUUUCCUUUAUUUCUUUUUGUGUUAAUACUAGAACUAGAAUAGAUCAAUUGAUGUUCAUAACAAAUUCUAACACCUCACUCAUAAUGAAAUUGAUCAUAAUUUAAAGUAUUAAAUCAUGCUAAAAUAAGUUAAGUAAGUAUUAGUUACAUGACUAAAUAUUAAAAGAAAAGAAAAUUAGAUCAUGUAUUUUAAUUGUCUAAAUCUAUGUAAAACUAAAAAAUAAAUAUUCGAUAUUAUUGUCAUUCUUAGUGUUGAAUUGAUUUGCUUUUUGCAUUAUUAUUAAUUUGAUUUUUAUUUAAACUUUAUUAUAAUUACCAACAUGUAUAUAAAUAUGCAUUUUUUAAUAUCAACCUAAAAAUUUGAUAUAAUAAAUUUAAUUUUUACUAUGUCAAAAAGUAUUAAGAAAAAGUGUCACAAUCUAAAAUUUCAAAUUAUGAUAGGCAUUUACUAACAUCAUGCCAACAGCUAAGCCGAACUUAUACACAAUCUAAAUUUCAAAUUAUAAUGGCUGGCAUCUACUAACAUCUUGCCAAUAGAAAAGCUGAACUUUAAAUAUAUGUUAAAGAGAAAAGACAUUAAGAGACAGUUGAAGUUGUUUUGAAUUUUUAAAAAUAUAUUUUAACUAUGUAGAUAUCUUAUUAUUUCCUAAACUAUUUUGAAUAUAUAUUAUUACAUCAUUUUUGAAUCAGUUCUAGAUUUUAAAUGACAAGUGUAAUGACAUAUCAAUCAUUGUGUGACACGUGUUAAUUCAAUUUGAAAUAUUCUUUCUUUUCAUUUUAAGUUUUUCUUUAUCUUACUUUUUGAUUUAUUUUAGUUUUAUUAUUUUUAUUUGGGAUAAUGCACAAGUACCCCCUCAACCUAUGCACGAAAUAUCAUAGACACACUUAUACUAUACUAAGGUCCUACUAUCCCCCCUGAACUUAUUUUAUUAAUAAUUUUCUAUCCCUUUUUGGCCUACGUGUCACUAUUUUGUGAGCCCAACGCUGGUUGAUUUUUUGACUUUUGUGAUCUGUAGUAAGAAAGUCUUUUUUCCAUUAAACUUAUUUAUUUUAUUGUAUUUUUGUAGGAAAGAAGGGGACCUUAUAUAAUUUUUUGAUUUAGAGUUUGAUGUAUCUUUGUUAAAAAGUGGGUUCCUAUUAUCAUAUAAAUGUGCAUUACUUUAUAAUGAGCGAACUAUAAAUUGUAAUAAAUUAUAAAGUUGAAGAGUAUAUCAAGACUUUUUAUGGACUUUGGUAUUUAGAGAUUUUGUUAAUUAAAGUAGAGGAGUCGUAUAUAUAGGUGAAUAUUGAUAUGUUGCAUGCAACAUGUGUUAUUUAUUUUAAGGCCAAAGUCAUAUGCGGCCACUCAAACUUGUCCUGAUUAUUCACUUAGACACCUCAACUAGACGUACUACCUAUUGAACACCUUAACCACCCCAGAUUUGAACCGUAAAACCAUUUUUAAUCACUUUUCAUUAAUUAUGUGGCGCGUGUAGUUAACCGCCCCGCGUGUAGUUAACCGCCCCACGUGUAUCUGACGUGUAUUGAAUGACCAUUUAAAAAUUCCCACGUGUAUCCCACGUGUAUUUGUUAAUGCCUAAAUUUGGAAAAAUUCCCAAAUCGUUAACUUUCACAGAACAGAUCUCUUUCUCUCUCUCUCUCUAACUUCACACUUUCUUUUGAUUUCAAGCUCUCCAUCUCGCGAUCCAUUCCAGUUCCUUGUUUGAAUUUUGUUUGAUUCCUAUUCUUCGUGUUACGAUCUAUCCUCCUGUAAGUUUAAUUUUUGUUUCUUUACAUGCUUUCUUAUAUGAAUUUCAUAAAGCCGUGGUUUUGUAAAAAUAUAGGGUUUUGCGAAUAUUCUGUCUAUUCUUUACUAUUACCCAAAAGUAUGAUUUAAAGCUUUGUCUUUUAGUUGUUUGUAUGAGUAUAUUCCGUUAAAUCUAGGGUUUGCUUGAUAUUUUGUAGAGGGCUGCUAACAAUUGACCAUGGAGGAAAUCAUAUUUACGAAGAUUUACCAUGGUGGAAUCUUGUCUGAGUUAUCGGUUGCCCCUACUUAUGUUUGAAACUGUGUGUCUGCACUAAGGUAUAUCAUCAAGGACCACUUUUCCAUUUUGGAACUAUUGUAUUAUACUAAAGAAUUAGGGUAUGAAACUGUUGGAGGCUUUUAUGUGAAAGACUUAUCGGAAAAAAAAUGGAUCCUAAUUACAACUGACCAACAUUUACUACACCUUAUUAAAGACUUAAAACAUGAGGACACUUUUAAAGUAUAUGUCUGUCAUUUAUUAGAUAAACCCUUACUUGACACUGAGGUAACUAUAAGAUAUCUAACUAAUGGUGAAGAUGGUGAGACAUUUAACUUAAGUGAAGAAGGUGAGGCUUGUAACCUUAGUGGUGAGGGUGGUGAGGGUGAAGCUGCUAACCUUACUGGUGAGGGUGAGCAUGUUAGCCUAGGUGGAGAAAAAGUGGAUGAUAACCUAGGUGGAGAAGAUGCAUCUGAUUUCUCGAGUAGUGAUUCAGAUUUAUAUAUACCUUCAGAAGAUGGUUCAGAUAUUGAUGAGGAGCUAAGAUCAUUUAGAGAAGAAAGAAGAAACAAAAAACAGAGAAAAAAGGCUGCUGAAUUUGAAGAAAUACCAGUUGGAGAAGCUGGUGGUAUAGAUAGAGGUUUUGAGGAUAUUGGAAAGAACAAAACUGACAAAUAUGCUGGAAAAUUGGGUGGAGAUGAAGAUUACAUUGAUAGCUCUAACUGUUGGAGUGAUGAUAGUGAUGAACAACUAGAUGUGGAUGCUGUUAGGGGAGUAGACAUACCUGCUAGAAGGAGAAGCAGAAAGGUUAGGUAUGAUGAAGGUAGUGAAGUGUCAAUUUUUGAGCUUGGAAUGGUCUUUGAAGGGGCAGAUCAGUUCAGGAAAGCAGUGGCAGAUUAUGCUGUAGAGUAUAGAAGACAGUUAAAGCUAAGACCUAAUGAAAAACAUAGAGUGAGGGUGAAGUGCAAAAAUGUUAAGUGUAAGUGGUUGUUAUGUGCUUCAAUUGACAGGGACUCAGGUGAUUUUAUUGUAAAAAACUAUAAUUCUAUUCACAAGUGUAUUCCAUUAAACAGAAAUAAGUUGUGUAAUUCAAAGUUUAUUGCUAGAAAGUUUAAGGACAGAAUUAUAUCUCAACCAUACAUAAGGAUUUGGAAAAUUCAAGAUUUGGUUAGAAAGACAUUGGGUCUUUAUGUUGGUAAGACUCUUUGUUAUAGGGCUAAACAGAAAAUUAUGAGGGAAGACAUGGGUGAUUGGAAUCUAGAAUUUGCCAGAUUGUGUGACUAUGCAGAUGUGAUCAAACAAACCAAUCCUGGAAGCUCUUGUUGAGUAAAAACUGAUAAGGAAACUGAACCAGGGAAGAACCUUUUUGUGUACUUUUAUGUAUGUUUUCAUGCAUUUAAGCAAGGAUGGUUGGAGGGGCGUAGGAAUAUAAUUGGAUUGAUGGUUGUUUUCUCAAGGGAGCUUGUAAGGGUGAAUUAUUAGUUGCUGUUGGAAAGAAUGGGAACAAUCAAAUGUAUCCCGUUGCCUGGGCUGUUCUGGAUACAGAAACAAAACAUAGUUGGAGCUGGUUCAUAAGUUAUUUAAUUGCUGAUCUAAACUUGGGAACUGGUGAAGGUUUGACUGUGAUGUCAGAUAUGCAAAAGGUAAUGUUUAUACAAUUUCUUCUUCUUUUAGUUUAGUUUUACUACUCCAAUUACUUAUUCUGUAUAUACUUUUUGUUAGGGACUUAUUCCUGUAUUGUUAGAGUUGUUACCAAAUGCUGAGAAAAGAAUGUGUGCUAGACAUAUAUGGAGUAAUUUUGCAUGUUAACUGGAAAGGAGAAGAAAGAAGGAAACAGUUUUGGAGAUGCUCAAAGGCCUCUUUUGAAGUCAAGUUUGGUGAAGAAGUUCAUGCAAUGUCUAAGCUAGGUAAGAAGGAAAUAACAGAGGACUUAUUACAUUAUGAUCCCAUAAAUUGGUGUAGAGCUUUUUUUCAAACUCAUUCCAAGUGUGAUGUUGUAGAAAAUAACAUGUGUGAGACUUUCAAUUCCUGGAUCUUAGCUGCUAGACAUAAAUCAAUUAUUACCAUGCUAGAGGAUAUUAGGAAUAAAAUGAUGAAUAGACACAUAGACAUGAUCAAAUUUGCUGAAACAUGGAUAUCAGACAUUGCACCUAUGGCAAGGGCAAUACUAGAAAGAAACAAGGAGUAUUCAAAGAACUGUAAUGUUCAAUGGAAUGGGGUGAAUGGUUUUGAGAUUAGUGAUGGGGAAUACUCAUUUAUUGUUGACUUGGAGAAGAAGCAUUGCGACUGUAGGUUGUGGAUGUUGAGAGGUAUUCCUUUCCCUCAUGCUAUUUGUGCUUAUUAUUACUUGAAUCAAGAUCCUGAUCAACAUGUAGAGCACUGGUAUAUGAAGGAAACAUUUCUCAAGGCUUACAAUCAUUUCAUCCAACCAAUAUCCAAUAUGAGAAUGUGGCCUAAAACUACAAAUCCAUCAAUAGAGCCUCCAAAACUAAGAAAAAUGCCAAGCAGACCUGCCAAGAAGAGAAGAAAGAGCAAGGAUGAGCCCAAAAAAUGGGGGAAAAUUUCCAGAAAAGGAGUAAAGAUGACAUGUUCCAUUUGCAAGAAAACUGGUCAUAACAAAGCUGUGUGUGCAAGAAUAAGUAAUACUAGUCAUAUUCACAUUUGUAAAUUGCUUAAAGUUUAUAAUCAUAUGUUUUAUUUGUGGUGACAUAGUAUGGGAGGGGGAGCAAUUCUCAACCUACAAGUCAAGGAAACAGCCAACAAAGUUAUUCUCAAACAAGAGUAAGAUUUGCUUUACAUAUUCAGUUGCCUUAAUUUUCAUUUAGACAUUUAUUCAUAUGUACUUAUUUUUUUUCAACAGGUUAGAACACGAAGUUCUGUUUGUCCUGAUACCAGUGCUGUGCCAAGAACUGUGCCAAGAACUACCCAAACAACAGUAAGAUUAGAUAAUGGCUAUCCUUUAAAAAUUCAUUUGCAUUUUAAGUUUGUUGUACAAGUUUUCAUAUAUCCUUAUUUAUGUUAUAUAGUCUACAAUGGGAGGUCCAUCUACAAUGGGAGGUCCAUCACAUUCUACUUCCAGAACCACAUAUGCAACUACACAAUCAAGUCAAACAACUUCUAUUUGUGCUGACACAACAUCUGUGCCAAGACCUGCUCAAAAUAGGGUUCAAGUUGGAACUGGAAGAGGAUUGGGAAGAGAAAAAGCUAAUGCAAGAGGAACUUCAUUUGUUACAGAAAGGGAUAGUUCUUCUAGUUAAUUGCCACCUUUAUCAGGUCACAAGAGACCAUACAGUUCUGCCUCAUUUGCUGCUGCUACUGGAGAAAACAGAAGGCCUGCAACUGGUUUUGGUGUUUACUCUAAUCCUACAACUGGAGCCCAAGUAUUAAAUGUAUGUUCACUUAACAUGUUUACCUAUUUUAGUGUAUAUUUUAUAGCCAUAUUAUAAUCUAACAUUAUGUUAAACUUUCUAUCUUAUAUUGCAGCCUGGUAUAUCAAGUGAGAAGAUUCUACAUGGGCCAACAACAUUGAAGAGUGCUUCACCAACCAAUAUAGACAUUGGUUUUAAACCCCGUGGCCUAAAAUGGAAGGGAAAAGAUGCUGUCAGCACCUCACAGUUACAACAAAUGAAAGCUAAAAAAAAAACUGGAAGUAGUUCAUUUGGGAAGUUGGUGUCUAUUUGAAAACAAUUUACUCUUUGGUUUAUUUGAACACUUGUCUAAUGUAUUUUUGAACAUUGUAUUUCUGUUAGCAAGACUAUGCCUAUUGUAAGACAAUGGUUUUCUAUUACCUCUCAAUGCAUUUGUGUUAUGUAUUUCCAUUACUUACUGUGUGUUAUGUAUUUUUCAGUAAUGCAUUUGUGUUAUUAACUUACUUUUUGAACAACAACUACACUACCUUUCAAAGCAUGCCUUUUGUUUUUGUCAAUAAGAGUACUAAUCAAUUCAAUUCCAGAAAAAAAAAUUAAAACACAUGGCAAGUGAUCAAUUCAACAGAGAUCAAUUCAACUCAAACUUCCAAUUUGAUACAAAAUAUUAAGGACAUAUACCAAUUAAAACAUCACUAAUUGAUCUAGAAUAACUACCUAACUACUGCAAAACUAAACAAUUAAGUAUUACAAUCCUGAACUACUAUCAACUACAAAAUAUUAAAGAACCAUUUAAUAGUUAGUAGACAAAGAAAAACAAUGACAAUUCGAUUAAAUUUGACAUUUUCCCAAUCCCUUUGGAGUUUAACUUCCUUAAGCUUCUUGUUCAAUACCAUCAAUUUCACUUCACUUUCAUUCAAUUGAAAUUUCAAAGAAUCUUUUUCUUCUUCAAGCUCUUUCACUUUUCUCUUUAGUCGAUCAAUCGGAUUUUGACCGUCUAUGAGUCUAUUCAUUGAGGAUGAUUCAUCAACAUUUUCAAGCGACGGAUCAAUCCAUCUAAAAUAUCCACAUCCACCAUUUUCCUACAAACCAUAUAACAGUAGUAAGACGUAAUAAAUAUACCAAAAUAUUGAUUUUUCAAAUAGUACAACAAGAACAAUUUUUGUUUGAAAAAUAACAAACCUUUGAUGAUUUGCAUCCAAAAAAUCGACGACCUGGGUUCAAAGGAGUCCUCGAAGUUUUCAGUCGACAAUAAUAACCACACUUGCAUAUAUCAACUUCAUCGAAAUUUACUGAAAUUUGCGACAUUUGAUAAAAGAGAAUUGAUUUAGAGAAGAAGAGAGAAACUUGGAUAUUUAGAGAAGAAGAGAGAAACAUGGAGAUUUAGAAGUAGAAGAGAGAAUUGGAGAUUUAGGGUUCUAAAUGGAUUUUGGGGAAGAGAAAUUAGGGAAGAUGAUUUGGGGGAAGAGAAUUGGGGAUUUCACUUCAACUAAUUGGGGAAGAUGAUAUUGGGGAAGAGAAUUGGGGAUUUCACUUCAACUUUUACAUUGAAGUGCAAUGUUACUGUUGCUGCCAUGUAGGCAGUGUAAAAAAUGAGAAAAAAACAAAUUUACGCGCUCCAUUUGCGUGAAUCACAAACGAUUUGCCAUGUAGGCAAAAAAUGGUUUUAUGGUUCAAAUCGGGGUGGUUAAGGUGUUCAAUAGGUAGUACGUCUAGUUGAGGUGUCUAAGUGAAUAAUUGGGACAAGUUUGAGUGGCCACAUAUGACUUUGGCCUUAUUUUAAUGCAUGUAUGUAUUAUUGAGUAGUUAAACAUGUUGGGAGCCGUUUUUUCUUGCGUGCAUAUAUGCAUUUCAUGACAUAUAUAAUAAUAAUAAUAAUAAGAAGGCAGAAAUGAAUUGAAAAUAAAGGAAGUAGUUAAAAUAUUAUCCAAUCUCGCCAUUUAUUUAUUAUAAAAUAUUAGAUACGAUACAUAAUUAAUUAAGAGAUGGAUGAGGUUUUUUUUUGUAUAUAUAUACUCACUUCAUUUAUUUAGGUGUGUGUGAGUGAGUGAUGAUGGAGUAGUCCUAGGUAAUAGUGACGGUUUCUAGAGAUGUAAGUAUCCCCAAACUUGCUGCCAAAGUUUGACCCACCACAUCCUGAAGUAAGUUUCCAAUAAGGAUAACAGGAGCUACAAGUUUUUCUGUGGUUGGAGUCAAAGUGCAAUUAGCAAUUGGGAGAGGAAUCCUUGCAAUACAUGUUCCUGACAGAAGACUUGUAUUGGUGGACACUGCAGCAUUAAUAAUGCCUUGACUAUUUGUGGACACUUGAGCAAUCGUUGUGUUGCCACAAAUAAUCGUUACAUUUGCUCCACUCACUCCGACGCCUGGGGCAUUACUUCCCGGUACGGAGCAAGACAAACUCCCAAUAUAGUUAAAUUAAUAUUCGUUGGUAUAAUCGGUGGUACUUGACCACCAACAGGUGGUACAAUCGGUGGUAUACUAAUGGGUGGUACAAUCGGUGGUAUAUUAAUGGGUGGUACAAUGGGUUGGCCAAGAAUAGGACCAACAAUUGGACUGAGAAUAGAACCAACAAUCGGUAAUUGACCAAGACCAACAUGUGCUACUUGACCGACGGGUGGUACAAUACGUGGUGCAGGUUGCCCCAAAAUGGAACCCACAAGGGGAAUGGGACCCAAAAUGGGACGAAUAAUGGGACCAAUGUUAAUAGGCAAUUGAGCAUGGGCUAGAGGACUGGUGGUGAUGAUGGAAAGUAGAAUAAAAAGGGAAACAACACACAUUUUUGAAGACAUGACGAUUUGAUAAUUUUUAUUCUGUUCAAUAUACCCUUUAUAUAGUGCUCCUUUUUAUUUACUCCACCCCUACCAUAACUUACCCCACCCCCAACCUAUAUAAAUGAUUAAAUAUAUUAUCUUUCAUCCCUAAAUAAGACUUACAAAUAUCUCACAUAUAUCAUCAUUAGUUAGGUUGAAACUCAUCAACUUGAACAACAUUGGGACCAUACAAAUUAAUUAAUUCAAUAUCAUUUGACUUGUCAUAAGAAGAAAUUUUUUUUGUAAGUUGAGGCCAAAAGGCCUUUGGUUUGCCCAUAGGAUCUAUUUUGAUGGAAUAAAUAACUCCACUUGGUUUGGGUGUCAAAAAAAAAAACAAUAAAAAUAACAACAACAAAAGAAGAUUUUUGAAAAUAGUUGUGUGAUUGUUAAUCACUUCAUUAAAAAAAAAUUAAUGUUAUAUCAUGUUUUUAAUUAUAAUAAACUACACUAUAUAAUAAUAACAACAAUAACAAUAACAACAACAACAACAACAACAACAACAACAAUAAUAAUAAUAAUAAUAAUAAUAAUAAUCAAGGGCAAAAAGCUAAUCUACUUGGUCAACAUAAAAUGACUUUUAAGUUUUUAUAAAAAAAGAACCCCUCACCUAUCUUUUAGAUUUUGGCAUAAAAUAAGUCAUUUUGGACUUAAAAUAAGUCACUUUGAUAAUUGUCAAACACUCAAAUAAAUCAAAAACUGAAUUUUAAAUCAGUUUGACCAGCUUUUAAGCCCAUUCCAAUAGGCUCUAAGUGUGUAAAUGACUUUUCUAUACAAGUUCAAGAUGAAAUUUAUGUCUUUUUCCAUUUGAAAUACCAUCACAAUACUUUAUUUCUCACGCCAUGUAUUCAUGAUAUAAUAAAAGAUAUAUAUAUUAAAUAUUGAAUAAGAAAUUUAUGGGUGCCUCAACUAUGUUAAAAAAAGACAUAUGUCUUAGGUCCCCCUAAUUUAAGGGGCCUCAUUUUUAAUAAUAAUAGGUUAUAAGUUAUUGUUUUUAAACAAAUAUUGAAUACUAUUUGUAGAAAAAGUAAAUUUUUUCAUGAAAAAUAAAGAAAUUAUAGAAGAAAUUUGACAUGUUUGAAGUAAUAUAUCUCAUGAAAAAUAAUUUAAAAUAAGAAUGAUUAUAUUAUCAAUUUAAAACUACAAGAAAUCAAUUAUAUAAAGUUAUUGACGAUUCAAGUUUAAUGAUCUAUUUAAUUUUUAUUUUAGGCCGUUAAUAUGCUUAAGCCGCUUCUAAAGAAAUUUUGGUAUUUUUUCAAAGAAUGAUGUAACAUAAAAGUUAUAAUAUAAUAUGUAUUUUACUUUAUCAGAAAAUAUCAAGAGAAUGUGGGAUGAACGCAUGAGUUAAUUUGACAAAGUUUAACCAUUCAUUACAAUAUUACUAAAAAUAAGGGAAAAGGGUCUAAUAUACCCUCAACUUUGUCAUUUGGAGCUAAUAUAUCCAUCGUUAUAAAAGUGGCUCAUAUAUGCCCUUACCGUUAUACAAACGGCUCACAUAUAUUCCUCACGUUACAAAAUGGCUCAUAUAUACCCUUUAUUUAACGGGAGUUAAAAACUUAGUUUUAAAUUUAUAUUUAUUACUUGUAAUUUUUUAAAAAAAAAUUAUUUAGGGGUAUAUAUGAUUCUUCUAUCAAAGUUCAAGGUAUAUUUUAAUUUUUUUCAUAUAUAAAUUAUUUUUUGACUUUUUUUAUUAUAAUUAUUUGAGUUUCUUAUUCUUAUGUUUUUUCUUUCAUUCCUUAGUUUAAAGAAAACAAAUUUAAACUAUUUUUUUUGUGUGUAUUGUAAUUUAAUUUCGUAUUUGAAGAAAAAAUUUGGUCACCUACAAUAAGUUUUACAAGAAUAUUAGUGAAACAUAAAUAAAUAUGAUUAUCAAAAUAAUAAUUAUAAAUUAGUCAUUGAAACAAAAAAAGGUCAAAAAAAAUAUGUUUGACGAGGAUUAAAUUUACUUAUAUGGAAUUAUAUUUUUUAGAAAAAAAUAAUAAAAAUUUAGAUUAAAAUUAUUAUUUUUUCCAUUUCCGAUAGAGGAAAAGGGUAUAUGUGAGUCAUUUCUUUACAAGUAGGGGUAUAUAUGAGCCACUUUCAUAACAAAGGGUAUAUCAACUCUAAGUGACAAAGUUGAGGGGUAUAUCAGACCAUUUUCCCUAAAAAUAAUAAUCUAUCUUAUUUAAUGGCUCAAUAAGUGAAUGAAAAGACGUGUUAAAAUUAAUGUAAUUAAGUAUUUUACUUUUACAAAUUAUGACUUACCCGACCUAACUUAGUACCAUAAGCUAAUAGCUUUCUCUACUAUAGCUUGCCAAACUAUAUAUGCUUUGAAGACCUUUACUAUUAAAAUAAAUUAUCAUAAGAUAAGGUGAACAAAUAUGUAAUGCUUCCGAUAGGGGCUAUUAACUAAUGAAAUACCUCAAAUAUUUGUAUAUUUUUACAAACAUAAGGGUUGUCCUACUUUCUUUAGAAUAAGUUGAUAAUAUAUUAGAUUGAUAGACCCCCUUCCUUUUGAACUGCUAAUUUUUAUUUGUCCAACAGAUAAAAAUAUCUUUUGAAAAAUAACACCAAAUUAGUUUAUUGUUCUUAUCAUAUAUUAUUUUUAUUUGUAUGGAUGUGAAUACAUGCAUGGGCCAUGGCCUGAUAAAUCUUGUUCGUCUUCAAAUUAAGCAUAGUUGGGCAAGCUAUACUAUAACACUAAAUCAAAAUUCACAUUUAGCGAUAUCUAAUUAAUGGUAAGUCGUUAAUAAUUUAAUAUUGUCGUUAAAUAUGUGUUUUUGAAGGUAAUUAGUAGUACUCUUUGUAUAUGUCUAUAGAGUCUGUAGUGAUAUUGAAUAUAAUGACGAUUAAUUAAUGUCGAUAAAGACUUUAAUUAUCAAUCUAUAUUAAUAUGUAUAUUUCUUGCCAUUAAAUGCUAUUUUUAUUUAAAAAACUUACAUAAAUAUACUUAAUUAAAAAAAACACUUACCAUUUAUAGUACUAACGUUUUUUUUUCACUUGAUCAUAAUGAUUAAUAACUUGCAAUAUUUCCUUCACACAACCUGAGUUAGGUUGAAAAUGAUCAACUUGAAAAUUGGGAUCACAAAAAAUAAUGUCGCAUCAUUUGACUUGACACGAUGUUUAACAAAAAAAAGACUUUUUAAAUUAACCCAUCCUUAAAUUGUAAAUCAUUUGUAAAAUAAAAGAAAAUUAAACAUUAAAUAAUUUUUAAAUUAAGUAUGAAAAGUUGUCACUGGUAUCAUAGUUGAAUUUAAAAGCUCAAUGAUCCUUUAUUGUGUUUGAGAGAGGACCUCGGCAUUCACAAAGAAAACUAAACAUUAAAUUAUUAUUUUUAAAUAUGUUGCUAUCAUAUUCUCAUUAAAAAAAAAGAGAAUGCACAAGUACUCCCUCAAUCUAUGUCCGAAAUUAUAGAGACAAACUUAUAUUAUACUAAACUCCUAUUACCCUCUGAACUUAUUUUAUAAGUUUCUCUACCCCUUUUCGACCUACGAGACACUAGUUUGAAAAAAAAAUCAACCAGAGUUGGGCUCACAAGAUAGUGCCACGUAAGUCAAAAAUAGAUAGAAAAUUAUUAAUAAAAUAAGUUUAGAAAAAUAAGAACCCUAUUAUAGUAUAAAAUUAUUAAUAAAAUAAGUUUAGAAAAAUAAGAACCCUAUUAUAGUAUAAAUAUGUCUCUGAAAUUUCACACAUAAAUUGAGGAGAUAUUGCACUUGUUUGUAAUUGAGAUAAUGGUAAUAAACCAAUCACUUCACCAUUUAUAUAUAUUUUUACAAACAUGAGGGUUGUCGUAAUAACUUAAUUACCAUUGAAUAUAUAUUUAAAGACAAUUAGCAAUACUCUUUAUAAAUAUCCCUGAAGACUACAGGGAUAUUGGAUGAAAUGACAAUUAACUAAUGUCAAUAUAGGCUAUAUAUAAUUAUCAACUUUUAUAUAAAUAUGUAUAAUUUUCGCAGCUAAAAGCUAUUUUUAUUUUAGUGCAGAUUACAUAUAUGUAGACCUUAAAUAGACAAAUUAAUCUAAUUGUCCUAAUUUAGGUCGGAUAAGUGAGAAUUUGUUGGAGUAAAAACUUAUAUGAAUUAAAGUAAUUUUAAGGUGUUAAAAUCUCUUUUCAUUCAAUUAUCUGAGCCAUUAAAUAACAUAAAUUAUUGUUUUUAAUAAUAAAAAUUGUUAUAAUGAAUGUGGAAAAAUGCACAAGUACCCCGUCAAUCUAUGCCCGAAAUCUCAGAGACACAUUUAUACUAUACUAAGGUCCUAUUACCCCCCUAAACUUAUUUUAUAAGUAAUUUUCUACCCCCUUUUGGCCUACAUGGCACUAGCUUGAAGAAAAAAGUCAACCAGCGUUGGGCCCACAAGAUAGUGUCACGUAGGCCGAAAAGUUGUCGGUUAGGUAAUUUCUCAAAAAAAUUAUAAUACUUUCAAAUAUAUGAGUAAAGUUGAGUUUAUUAUUGAUUUAUCUUUACUGGACUAAGUGUUUACACUGUUUUACAAGCUUUCCUUAUAUCGCAUGUGUCCUUACUGCUCUAUAUUGAGUUGUUAUUUCAUGAGUUGAGCAGAACCAAUGUAAGUUCAUCCUUACUCCUUUCAAGCCUUUUAGUAGUGUUUAGCAUUCCAAUUCGCACACUCGUACAUUCAAUGUACUGAUGCCAGUUGGCUUGCAUGCAUCGUCUUAUAAUGCAGAAGCAGGUAAUCAGGAUAUGCAGCGCUUCGUUGAUCCAGUUUGAGCUCUAGAGUCAGUGGUGAGCCUCCUUGCAUUCCGGAGGAUCCUUUUAUUGCUAUCUAGUUAGUUCAAUAGAAUGGUGUGGGGUUUGUCCCAACAUUCAUCUCAGUCAGUUUAGAGGCAUCAUAGACUGAUAAUUAGUAGUUAAGUUGUGUCUCUUCAUUUCAGAUUCUAUAUUUGAGACUUAAGUGCAAAUUUGGUCAAGACAGUAUUUAAAGUCAUUUUAUGAGAGCUUUUCCAAUUCUAUAAUUGAGUUAAGUUGAGUCUUCCGCUGAGUUAAGUAAGUCAGGCCAAAAGUUCGCUCGAGGCCAGCAAUAGUCACCAAGUGCUAGUCCCACCCAGAGUAUAGGCUCGAAGCGUGGCAAUAUAUACAUUUCAUAUACGACUUACAUAUUCAGAUAUUUUUGACAUUUUGUUAGAGCGGAAGAGUCUUAACUUACAUAUUUAGGUGAAGUAUUGAUAUUUUGGGAUAUUGGUACUUAUUAUUAUUUUACUUUACUACUUAUUUAUAAGUCUACAACACACGGUAAGCACACACAAGGUGCAAAACAUGUGCUCGAAGUAAAUUUAAUUUGAAUGAGGUUAAUUUGGUCAUUUAUAUAAUACUCAAUGCUUUUUUUACUUGUACAAAAUGAAAAAUUGUUUUUUAUGGACAUCAAAUGACCAAAACUCCAGUAUUCUUUAACUCAAUUGUCAUAUGUUAUAGAACAUUGCAAUUGGUUGAAAAUCAACUUUAAUGUAGUUGCAAUAUAAUUAUUUUUACUUCUUGUCAAAACUGCCCCUAUGCGGCUUAAGCUUAUUUUAUUAACCAUGUGUUAUUACGUGGAGAAAUUAAAGACAUCUUCAGAUGAGUCAUUUUAAGCGGUAUCGACCUAGAUAUAUAUAUAUAUAUAUAUUCUUUUUGUUUUAUUUAUGUCAUUCUUAUUAAAAAUAGGUUAUAUUUAAUAUUUGUCAUUUCAUAAAAGUAAUGCACUAUAUAGUAAUGCUAUUAUGUUUAUUUUACACUUCUAAAUUAUUAAUCUUGAAGUAUAGAAAGCUAAGUAACUAAUUCAUGUUUAUUGGUCAAAUUAAAUAGUCAAAAUAAAUAAAUUCAUGUUUAUUGAUUGAAAACUUGACUUCAAAAAACAGUAAGAAUAGAAUAAAACUUAGCUUAGUUUCGUAAUACACAUGAAAUCUAAAAUAGUGACAUAUAAAUAAGAUUGGAGAGAGUAUAAGUUAAUUCUCUAUUUGUGUCAUACAAAUAGAGAAUUAAGAUAUUUCCUCCAUUACUUUUUAUACGACAUCCUUAUUAUAAAUAGUUAGUCUAUAAUAUUUGUCAAUUCAUAAAAUCAAUGUAUAAAUUAGAGUACGGAGACUUAAGGGUGAAUAAUAUUGACAAAAUUUUCAAAAGGGUAUGUCAAUUUUUUUAAAAAAAAUUAAAACGGUAAAAUCGCUACUAAUGUAGCGAUUUAUUUGGCCAGCAUUAUGACAAAUCGCUGCUCGAGUAGCGAUUUGCACAAUUUUUUUUAAUUUGAAAUCGCUAUCUCAUCUGCGAUUUUUUGUUUUUUUUAAAAGGGAUAAUGCCCAAGUACUCCCUCAACAUAUGCCCGAAAUCUCAGAGACAAACUUAUACUAUACUAAGGUCCUAUUACCCUCCUGAACUUAUUUUAUUAAUAAUUUUUUACCCCUUUUUAGCCUACGUGGCACUAUCUUGUGGGCCCAACGAUGGUUGACUUUUUUUUUCCGAACUAGUGCCACGUAGGCUAAAAAGGGGUAGAAAAUUACAUAUAAAAUAAGUUUCGGGGGGUAAUAGGACCUUAGUAUAGUAUAAGUGUUUCUCUGGGAUUUCGGGCAUAGGUUGAGGGGGUACUUGGGUAUUUUCCCUUUUUCAAAAAAAAGUUUUUUUAUGAUAAAUCGCUGCCAAGGCAACGAUUUUGUUAAUGAUUUUUUUUUAAAUUGUAAAUCGUUGCCCGAGCAACGAUUUUAGUUAAAAAGAUUUUUUUUGUUUUUUGAUGUAAAACGCUGUCAAGGCAGCGAUUUCACUUUAAUUUUUUUUAAUUUUCUUACGUAAAUUGCUGCCAAUUUUGUCAAUUUUUUUAUAGUUUUUUUAAUUGUGUCGUAAAGCGCUGCAAUUGCAGCAAUUUUUUGUUUUUUUUUUAAAAAAAGAUUCAAUAUUGUAAAUUGUCUUUGCACGACUUUAUUGUAGCUAUAAUGAAAUCUACGUAGUACAAAAUUGAAAUUGUAUUUCAUUAAGUAAAAAGAUAGAAGGGUUUAACUAGGGGUGGGCAUAAACAACAGAAAAUCUAAACACCGAAUCGAAUCAAAAUUUUUCAAAAUUUUGGUUUCGAUAUUUCGGUUUUCGGUUCGUUGUUCGGUUUACUUUUUUAUAUUUUUCGGUAUUUCGAUUCGAUUUUCGGUAUGUAUUAUAUUGGUUUUUGGUAUUUCGGUUUAAAUCGAAAUAUUAUACUAUAAUUUAUAUUAUAUUAAUUAAUAAUUAUUAAUAUUAAAUAAUUUUUUAAAAAAAGAAACCCUAUGGUCCUAUUCCUCUCUCUUUCAUCUUUCUCCUAAUUUUCUCUUGGUCUUUCAUCUUCCUCUUGGCUCUUUCCUCUUCCUCUUCUUCAUCUUCCUCUUCUCCUCUUCCGCCAGCCAGAAGCAGCUGCUGCAGCCGCGCCGUCCGCCAGAAGCAGCAGUAGCAGCCGUGCUGUCUGCCAGAAGCAGCAGCAGCAGCAGCCGCGCCGUCUGCCAUCAAGCAGCCAGCAGCCGCGUCGUCUGCCAUCAAGCAGCCAGCAGCCGCGCCGUCCGCCAUCAAGCAGCCAGCAGCCGCGCCGUCUGCCAUCAAGCAGCCAGCACAUCGCGCCGUCUCAGCCAGUCAGGUUUGGAUUUUGUUAUUUUUUUUUGUUCUUGACUUCUUUCGUUUUUUUCUUUCUGAUUUUAUUUUUGCUACUAGUUAUUGUGAAUUUAGUGUGAAUUUUUUUAUAUAUAUAGAUGGUUGAACAAAAACAAUUAAAUAUGGUUGUAGCUGAGCAAAGUCGAAUAAGUAUGGCUGAUUUUACGGAUAAUACACUUAGUAAUAGCAAUGAUCCGUCAAUUGGCACAGAAAUAACAAAAAAAAAAGAAAUGGAUCCUAGAUCUACUGUUUGGCAACACAUUGUAAAGGUUUUUGAAAAUGGUGUAUUAGUUAAAGCAAAGUGCUUAUAUUGUAAACAAUACUAUGCUGCCAAUACAACAAGAAAUGGAACAAGUGGACUAAAACAACAUUUGACUUAUCGGUGUAAAGUGUAUAAACCUCCGACUGUUGCACCGGUAUUCAAAAAUUAUUACAUAUUCAAAAUAACAAUUUAGAGACUUGGAAAUUUGAGCAAGAGGUAUGUAGGAGAGCUUUAGUUGAGAUGAUUAUUUUGGAUGAACUACCUUUUAGUUUUGUUGAAAAAGAAGGUUUUAAGAAGUUUAUGAGUAAAGUCCAGCCUUUGUUUCAUAUUCCUUCUCGUAGAAACAUAACAAGGGAUUGUUAUGAAGUUUAUGGUGAAUUGAGAAUAAAUUUGAAACAAUCUUUAAGAGAAAUACAACCAAGAAUUUGUCUCACAACAGACACAUGGACUUCAGUGCAAAGAAUCAAUUAUAUGUGUUUGACUGCUCACUUUAUUGAUAGGGAUUGGGUGCUUCAUAAAAGAAUAUUGAAUUUUUGUCCUAUCACUAGUCAUAAAGGUGAGCAUUUUUGGCUGAGUCUAUUAGUAAUUGUUUACUUGAUUGGAAGUUGGAUAACUUUUUUACUGUUACGGUUGAUAAUGCCUCUUCAAAUGAUGUGGCAGUUUUAGAGUUGUUCAAAAAAUUAGAUAUGUGGGAAACUAAUUUGAUAGAAGAUAAGCAUUUCCAUGUGAGAUGUAUGACUCAUAUACUUAAUCUAAUUGUGCAAGAUGGUUUGAAUGAAAUUAGUCCUUCUAUCAAAGGGUGAGACAAAUGGUGAAAUAUUUUAGAUCAUCUUCUUCGAGGACAAGAAAUUUCUUGAAAUGUGUUGAAAUGCAAAAGAUAGAAUGUGAUAAGUUGUUGUCUUUAGAUGUGCCUACUAGGUGGAAUUCCACCUAUUUGAUGUUAAACACAGCAGAAAAGUGUGAGAAGGCUUUUAGAGGUUUGAUCUUUACGAUGGUAAUUUUAAUUCUUUUCUUGCUACUAAUGUUUGUGAAGAUGGAAGUAUCGCAGGGUCAAAAUAAUAUGAAGAUUGGGCUAAUGUGAGGAAUGUCACAAAGUUUCUUGAAAAAUUUUAUGAACUCACUUUGAAAGUUUCAGGUUCACGGUAUGUUACUUGUAAUGUUCAUUUUGAAGAUAUAUGUGCACUUGAUGCUUAUUUGAAAUUAUGUAUAGCAAGUGAUGACCUUGAUUUGAGUAAAAUGACUUUGGGAAUGAAAGAAAAAUUCAAGAAAUAUUGGGGUACUCCUGAAAGAAUGAACAAAAUAAUUUUUAUUGCUUAUGUUUUGAAUUCUCACAAUAAAUUUGUGUAUGUUAGUUUUGCUCUUGAAGAAUUACUUGGAAAACGGAAAAUGUAGUGAAUACGAAAGUAGAGUCUUACUUGAGGGAUUUGUUUGCGAUAUAUGUAAGUGAGUAUGGAAAAGGUUCCAAAAGUCAACCAUCUUCAUCUGACUCAUCUGAUUCUUCUGCUUGUGGUAUUUCUCAAAAUGUGUCCAAAAAUUCUUUGAGAACUAAGUUGCACAUGAAAAACAAAAGAAUGAUUCUGGAAGUUUAGGUGUUAAAUCCGAGUUGGAUAAAUAUCUUCUUGAAGACCAAGAACCUGAAUCUGGAGAUUUUGAUAUUUUGAGUUGGUGGAAAGUUAAUUCUCCUAGAUUUUCUGUACUUUCACAGUUGGCUCGAGAUGUAUUGGUUAUUCCUAUGUCGAGUGUGGCAUCGGAGUGUGCAAUUAGCACUGGUGGUCGAAUUCUAGAUCCCUUUAGAAGUUCAUUGACUCUCAAAUGUGUGCAAUGUCUUAUUUGUGUCCAAGAUUGGCUUAGACAAGAAACCAAGCCUAUUUGUGUUGAAGAAAGUUUGGAGUUUCUUGAAAAAAUUGAACUUGGUAAGAUUUUUUAUUUCUUAUUUAUUUUUUUAAAAAAUAAAAUACUUGUUGUGUUCUAUCUUGUAUGACAUGUUUAUUUUUCUUAAUUAUAGAGAUGACAAAUAGUGGAAGAAACUCUUCCAUUGUUGAUCUAUGAUUGACUUGCAAGCGUUGAGUUUAAUACAUCAUUUAUUUAAUCAUAUCAUUUUUAAUCUUAAAAGUAGUAUUCUAAGUUUCUAAUAUUUGAUUUUAUCUUAAAAGUUCCAAGGGUCAAGACAAUGAAGAAAUAAUUUUGUUGACAUGGAAGAAAGUCAAGAAACUCAUUAUUGUUGUUUGUUAUUGUUGACAUUUGAAUUGAAAGUAAUCUCAUGGAAGAAGACAAGAAGUUUAAAAUACAUUGUUUGUUUCUUAUUAUUGUUUAUUAUGAGCUCAUGAAAGACUUUAAUGUUACUUGUUAGAUUGUUAUUAUGUUGUAUUUGUGAAGACAUUAACUACAAAUCUACAAUGCAACUUUUGUUUUAGUUUCAUUGUUAAUUAAAAAUUGUGUGUUUUAGUGAUAUUGUGAAUUUAAAAUUUGUGGUGUUAAUGCCUAAUGGCAUAUUGACAUAUUGAUAUUUGGUAGUAAAUUAGUAAUGCACUUCUUUGAUGUAUUGUCUAUUUUUACUUUUUAGCCCAUUAAGUUGAAAAAUCAAACAAAUAAAUUGUAAAGUUUAAAAUUUUAAAAAGCCCACUAAGCAGGCCCAUUAAAAAACCAAUAUAAAAAAAAUCGAAUUAAUAAAAACCGAACCGAAUUAACAAAAAUCGAACCGAACCGAAAUGUUUCGAUUUGAUAUUCGGUACACAAUUUACAAAAACCGAAAACCAAAAAAUAAACCCGAUACCAAACUGAAAUACCAAAUGCCCACCCUUAGAUUUAACAACAAAACAAACUAAUUAAAUUUUAGCUUACAACCCUGAAAUACUACUAAUAAUAAUGAUAGUAAUAAUAAUAAUAAAACACUACUACGACAAGAAUCAUGAACUACAUACAUAAUAAGAAAGAAUAGACAAACAAAAAUUUGGAUACAACCUUGAAAUAACUAGAUAAUAGAAAUUUGGAUAUUCAUUAAACUAUAUAUAGUGAAUAUUCUGAUACUAUAUUGCCUAAUUCUCGUUUCUAGGUACAUCAUCUAUGACAAACACGCCUAUUGAAACCCUUCGUGGAGGCGUAUAUCGGUGCUCAAUCCUUUUAUAACGAGGCGUAUAUAAAUGCUAAACUGCAAUGUUAAGAAAUAUAUGAUGACCUUUUUCCUUUAUUUCUUUUUGUGUUAAUACUAGAACUAGAAUAGAUCAAUUGAUGUUCAUAACAAAUUCUAACACCUCACUCAUAAUGAAAUUGAUCAUAAUUUAAAGUACUAAAUCAUGCUAAAAUAAGUUAAGUAAGUAUUAGUUACAUGACUAAAUAUUAAAAGAAAAGAAAAUUAGAUCAUGUAUUUUUAAUGUCUAAAUCUAUGUAAAACUAAAAAAUAAAUAUUCGAUAUUAUUGUCAUUCUUAGUGUUGAAUUGAUUUGCUUUUUGAAUUAUUAUUAAUUUGAUUUUUAUUUAAACUUUAUUAUAAUUACCAACAUGUAUGGACUAGAAUCUUUAUUUGAUUAUUAAGAAUUCUAACUUCCAAACAUGAAAUAAAUAUAGUAAAAGAUAAAAACUGUGAAAAAGUAUAAGAGAUAUUUAAAAACUUACAUCAAAGUAAGAUUUUUACGUAUAAAAUAAAAAUUUUAAAUUAUAUAUAUAAUGUCGGGUUGGUUUGGUCUCGGGUUGGUUUAUUUUAGUUGAAAUCAACCCAACCCAAAUAUAGUCGGAUUUUUUUUUCCAACACCAAAUCAAGUCAAACCAAACCACUAGUCAGGGUUUUUUUUAUUUGACUAGAUUUGCGGUUUAGUUUAAUUUUCGAUUCGUUUUUAUACACUCGAUUUGCGAUUUAGUUCGAUUUUGACUUUUGUAGAUAAAAUCUGCAAAAAGAAAUAUGGAUAGAUUUCUCAAAGUUGGAAGGAAAAAAUAUUUUCAAACCAAAACAGUGCUUAGGGGUAGAACUUUUCAUCUUGAUAUUCUAUCAAUGGACAUAGUCAAGCAGGUUUGUGAGUUACUACGGUUUCAGGGGUGGGAGGAACUAUUUCUUGAACCUAAUCUUAUUUAUGAACAAGAAGUAGUAGUUUUUUACACAAAUUUAACAAUCUUGGAAGGGGAUGUAGUAUCUUCUAGUGUGAAGGGAGUUGAGAUUGUUUUUGAUGCAACUAAGCUUGGGGAAAUUUUACAUAUACCAUUUGUGGGUAUUAAUGAUUAUCAUUGGGCUUUUGAUGAACAUUUUAGUCUUCCAGCUAAGUUUUCUCAAGGUAGAGUCAAUUCUAGGGCACAGACUGUGUUAAAAGGUAUCAUGGGAUCAGUUCAUAAGCUUCUCUUUGAGAUAAUACAUAAGGGAAUACUGCCCAGGCGUCACCAACGUCACAUUGCUUCUAUAAAGACAUGGGACUUAUGAAUGCUCUUGAAUGUAAAGAACGUAUUGACUGGCCCACAUUGAUCAUCAAACACUUUGCUAGAAUUGUUGAUCCUAAACUAGGUUCUCAUCAAUUACCAUUUGGGAAUCUUUUAACUAGACUGUUUGAUGCGUUUGAAGUACCAUUGGGAGAAGGAAGGGUUUUGACUCGUGCAGAUAUGUUUACUCAAACCAUUCUUGCUGAUUGUGGCAUUCCCAUGGAAUCAGAGCAAGUUGUUAAUGUUUCUCCACGUACAUCUGGUCCUGUUGCUCAAUUACUCAGGGAACUCAAAGUGGAAGAAGAAAAGUAUGUCACCCUUGAAUUGGAAAACCAAAAUUUACGUGCUGAACUUCAUACUUCAAAUGCUGAGAUUCACAGGUUGAAAGAUCAGUUGGUGCAGAAGCAGCUUGCUAACAAUGCAAGGGUUGACAGAGUUCUGGACAUGCUUGCUUUUGCCUCCACCAAGCCUAGUCAAUAUUCAACUUGAAAAGCAUCAUGUUUGCACCUGGUUCUUUUUACUCUGUGUUGAUAUUCCUCUUUGUGUUUCCAGAACACUUUAUUUUGCUCAACUGGCUGAGCUUCACUUGUUUCUGUGGAUGUUAUCUUAUUUUGUUUAGCUAAUAUUGGACUCUUUUUGAUUUGUCAAAAGGGGGAAGAUUAUUAUAAGUGCAUUACACAGGUUUGUCUUCAUCAAAAAGGGAAAAUAUGUUAGAAUCUGAUAAUUCUAUAAACAGAUAAAAUUAAAGUUUUGAUAAUAGACAAGAAAUGCAAAUAUAUGGAUAAAAAGGUUUGCCAGAUUCAUCGCCAAAUUUGUCGCAACAAGAAGCCACCUGAACUAAUUAUAGCAGUCACUAGAAGUAUACAAUUAAGUGUACAAGAGCUAAAGAUGCUGAAAAUUCAAGUUGAGACAAAUAAGGAAUCCUUAAUACAUUAAGUAAGGAAGUUGUAUAGAAAAAGGAUUGUACAAUAAAAGGUAAAAUCAGUACUCCUUGUUUAACUAUAAUUACAAUUUCCUUACCUUAUUUGAUAAGGAUUCAAGGCACGAGAAGGCAGGAGAAAACUCUAUAAAUAGAGAUCAACAACAGAAGAAGAGGACACGACUUUUACAUAGAGAGAAAAGCGAGAGUUAUUCAUCAAGUAAAAGCCUUCCAAGAUCGAUAGGUCUUGCUAAGUUCAAAGAAGUUCUUGAGUUAGAAAGUCUUGAACGUGUAAAACUAUUUUCUUGAUUCAUUGUUGAGUUGUUAGUUACGUUUUCGUACAAGAAGUGGGUUUGGCUUCUUGUAGAGUUGAGCUUUGGUGAGGUUUGUAACAAAAGGUGGGUUUGGCCUUUUGAGAGUAGAAGUAGUCGAUUAUAGUUAAUCGAGAGUUGUUGUAGUGGUGAGGUUAUUGAUUAUUGAGUUGUAAUCAUAAAAUCAUCCAGUUGAAUUAAUAAAACGAGGUUUUUCCUUCCUUGAUUGAGGAAGGUUUUUAAUUUAACAAGUGUUUGUGUUCUGACUUAAACCAACUUACAAGAACUAGUUCUUAUUCUAGGGGAUAGGUUUCUUCACUUGACAAUCAUGCGCAAUUUUUUAUUUUGGUUGACUAUAAGCGGAAUGCUAACUCAAGCAUAUGUAAACAUCCAAUUGAAAGAAAUGUUUAAAAAUAAUUUUCUGAAUAUCAAAAUUUUUCUGAAUAUAAUGAGUAUGAAACAUUUAAAUAAAAUAUCUGAAAUUGAAAAACUCUCCAAAAUUUUCUAUCUAUGAAGCCUCUACAGUACAAAGGUGAGUGUCGGAACAAGAUCAACGACUACACAAAAAACUAUUACUAACAAGUCAUACGUUCUUAAUUAGUAAGUUAUAUAUACGUUAUUUCAAUAAUACUUUCGAUAUUAUGAAAAUAUAAUGUCAAUCUUUAAAGACAAACAUUUACAUACCAUGAGAACGACUUUUAUUAUUAUUAUUUUUAUUAUACGUUCUUUUCUCACUUGGGAUAUAAAUAUGCAUUUUUUCAUAUCAACCAAAAAAUUUGAUAUAAUAAAUUUAAUUUUUACUAUGUCAAAAAGUAUUAAGAAAAAGUGUCACAAUCUAAAAUUUCAAAUUAUGAUAGGCAUUUACUAACAUCAUGCCAACAGAUAAGCCGAACUUAUACACAAUCUAAAUUUCAAAUUAUGAUGGCUGGCAUCUACUAACAUCUUGCCAAUAGAAAAGCUGAACUUUAAAUAUAUGUUAAAGAGAAAAGACAUUAAGAGACAGUUGAAGUUGUUUUGAAUUUUUAAAAAUAUAUUUUAACUAUGUAGAUAUCUUAUUAUUUCCUAAACUAUUUUGAAUAUAUAUUAUUACAUCAUUUUUGAAUCAGUUCUAGAUUUUAAAUGACAAGUGUAAUCACAUAUCAAUCAUUGUGUGACACGUGUUAAUUCAAUUUGAAAUAUUACUUCUUUUCAUUUUAAGUUUUCUUUAUCUUACUUUUUGACUUAUUUUAGUUUUAUUAUUUUUAUUUGGGAUAAUGCACAAGUACCCCCUCAACCUAUGCCCGAAAUAUCAGAGACACACUUAUACUAUACUAAGGUCCUAUUACCCCCCUGAACUUAUUUUAUUAAUAAUUUUCUAUCCCUUUUUGGCCUACGUGUCACUAUUUUGUGAGCCCAACGCUGGUUGAUUUUUUGACUUUUGUGAUCUGUAGUAAGAAAGUCUUUUUUCCAUUAAACUUAUUUAUUUUAUUGUAUUUUUGUAGGAAAGAAGGGGACCUUAUAUAAUUUUUUGAUUUAGAGUUUGUUGUAUCUUUGUUAAAAAAGUGGGUUCCUAUUAUCAUAUAAAUAUGCAUUGCUUUAUAAUGAGUGAACUAUAAAUUGUAAUAAAUUAUAAAGUUGAAGAGUAUAUCAAGACUUUUUAUGGACUUUGGUAUUUAGAGAUUUUGUUAAUUAAAGUAGAGGAGUCGUAUAUAUAGGUGAAUAUUGAUAUGUUGCAUGCAACAUGUGUUAUUUAUUUUAAUGUAUGUAUGUAUUAUUGAGUAGUUAAACGUGUUGGGAGCCAUUUUUUCUUGCGUGCAUAUAUGCAUUUCAUGACAUAUAUAAUAAUAAUAAUAAGAAGAAGGCAGAAAUGAAUUGAAAAUAAAGGAAGUAGUUAAAAUAUUAUCCAAUCUCACCAUUUAUUUAUUAUAAAAUAUUAGAUACGAUACAUAAUUAAUUAAGAGAUGGAUGAGGUUUUUUUUUGUAUAUAUAUACUCACUUCAUUUAUUUAGGUGUGUGUGAGUGAGUGAUGAUGGAGUAGUCCUAGGUAAUAGUAACGGUUGCUAGAGAUGUAAGUAUCCCCAAACUUGCUGCCAAAGUUUGACCCACCGCAUCCUGAAGUAAGUUUCCAAUAAGGAUAACGGGAGCUACAAGGUUUCCUGUGGUUGGAGUCAAAGUGCAAUUAGCAAUUGGGAGAGGAAUCCUUGCAAUACAUGUUCCUGACAGAAGACUUGUAUUGGUGGACACUGCAGCAUUAAUAAUGCCUUGACUAUUUGCGGACACUUGAGCAAUCGUUGUGUUGCCACAAAUAAUCGUUACAUUUGCUCCAUUCACUCCGACGCCUGGGGCAUUACUUCCUGGUACGGAGCAAGACAAACUCCCCAAUAUAGUUAAAUUAAUAUUCGUUGGUAUAAUCGGUGGUACUUGACCACCAACAGGUGGUACAAUCGGUGGUAUACUAAUGGGUGGUACAAUCGGUGGUAUAUUAAUGGGUGGUACAAUGGGUUGGCCAAGAAUAGGACCAACAAUUGGACUGAGAAUAGAACCAACAAUCGGUAAUUGGCCAAGACCAACAGGUGGCACUUGACCAACGGGUGGUACAAUACGUGGUGGUGCAGGUUGACCCAAUAGGGGAUGCAAUAGAGUACCCACAAAGGGAAUGGGACCCAAAAUGGGACGAACAAUGGGACCAAGGUUAAUAGGCAAUUGAGCAUGGGCUAGAGGACUGGUGGUGAUGAUGGAAAGUAGAAUAACAAGGGAAACAACACACAUUUUUGAAGACAUGAUGAUUUGAUAAUUUUUAUUCUGUUCAAUAUACCCUUUAUAUAGUGCUCCUUUUUAUUUACUCCACCCCUACCUUAACUUACCCCACCCCCCAACCUAUAUAAAUGAUUAAAUAUAUUAUCUUUCAUCCCUAAAUAAGACUUACAAAUAUCUCACAUAUAUCAUCAUUAGUUAGGUUGAAACUCAUCAACUUGAACAACAUUGGGACCAUACAAAUUAAUUAAUUCAAUAUCAUUUGACUUGUCAUAAGAAGAAAUUUUUUUUGUAAGCUGAGGCCAAAAGGCCUUUGGUUUGCCCAUAGGACUCCCUUUUUCUUUUCUUCUACCAUUAUUUUUAAAGUAAUUAAAAGUUGAAGAUUUAAAACAAAUACCAUAAAUUUAUAUUUUUUUAAUUAUUAAAGUAAUUUACACAAUUUAUUUAUUUUUAUUUAUUUUAAAUAUAACCUUUUAAAAUUGGUGUUAAAUCUUUAUAUUUUGGUAAAAAAUUAGGUGUUCACAGUGUGAUUGUUAAUCACUUCAUUAAAAAUUAAAAAAGUUUAAGUAGAAUUUAGAUAAAAAAAAAAUAAGUAAUGUCUACUAAUUAUCUUGAAAUCUAAUGGGUUUAUCACAUUGUUCGAAAUGUAUUAAAAUAUCUAACAUAUAAUUUUAAAAUUGAAGAGAGUUAAAAUUAUAGUAGAAUAAAAGAGAGAUGAAAUUGUGGUAAAAACUGACAUUGAAAGUGAUAAGUUAAUGAAGAUGACAAUGAAUUUUUGAAGAAGAAGGAAGAAAGAAAAAGAAAAAAAUAAUAAGGAGAAAAAGUUAAAAUAAUACGAAAAAUUAAAAAAUAUAUAUAUUUUAUAGUAAAAUUCUUGUAAAAAUAAAAUUAUAUUCGUUUUUUUAGUUUGUUCACGCUCUUUAAGAGAGCGCAUACACUUUCCGUGUCAGGUAAACAAAAAAUGAUGUAAUAAUAUCAAUUCAAAAAUAUUUAGGGAGGGUAAUAGGAUACUUGCUUAGUUUAGAUAUUUUUAUAAAAAUUCGAGACAACUUCAAGUAACAUUUUAUGUCUUUUCUCUAUAUGCUAAAAACCUUUUAAGUAGUAGUGUAUGGAUCACCAAUAUACCACUGACUUUAUAUAUAUAAUAUAAUAUGAAGUAUUUUGUAGAAGAGCCAUGAGUUUCACAAAUAUGUCCAGAAGUAGCAUAACAAAAAUAAGUAGAAUUAGUUAGAUUCGAAUGCACGAUUACUUCUUCAUUUCAAGAAGGUGAAAUCAUUAGGUUAUAAUUAUAAUUUUUUUAAUGUUAAGGAUGUUCAAAAUAUGCUAUUUAAUCAUUUCGUAUGUAUUUUACUUGUUUAUAUGAUAGUUAUUUCUGACGAAAAUCGGACACCCUUAUCACCACGUGACUACGCCACCGGAUGUAUCAAGCUUUAAACACACAGAAAAAUGAGAACUAUAUUUUCUGGUUUUCUGGUAAGAAAAAAAAUAUAUUUAUGUUAAUAUAAUGGCACGAUAGAUGGGCAAGCAGGAGGUCAAUGUAUAUGUUUAAUUUACAUGAUACAGAUGAAUUAGGAGAGCAAUUAAAAUUUAUAUGAUUUAAAAAUAUUAUAAGUUGUUUAUUAUUGUGAAUUAUAGUAUUUUUAAUUUAUGUGACACAUAUAAAAUUUUAAGAGUCAACAAAUUCUUUAAUAAGUUUUAAAAUAUAUUUCAAAUGGUUAAUUAUUAUAAUUUUUAAUAUUUUUUACGCCCUAAACCUACAUCCUAAAUGUAUCGGUACUCAAAAAUCAUCUUUGAUCCCAAAUGAACCUUUAAUCAUAAGCGAAAGACUUACUCUAACAACAGAAAUCUCAAAACAAGAUCAACUCAUAAGAAUAAGUGCUCAACUCUCAAUCUUCAAAACAUCAAGGACUGAGAAAAAGAAGUAAAAUAUUUUUUGGAAGAAUGAAAGGGUGGUUUAUGGGGAGGGGGUUGGAUAAUAAUUUAAUUUUUAUUUAUACGGUGAAUAUUUUAUCUAUGUGAAAUGUCAAAGUGUUAAGAUUUUUCAAAAUAAAAAAUAGAGUACAUUAUACACACCACCAAGGUGUUUUCUCAAACUAAUAAAUACUAGUUUAGCUACAAAACUAAAUAAAAAGAUAGUUUAAAUGUGUUUUUAAUGGGGGUGUGCAAAAAUCGAACCGACCGAUAAAUUGAACCAAAAAUAUGUUAUUGGGUUAUUGAGGUUUUAAUGGGUUUAUAAAAAAAAAUUAAUGGGUUAUUGGUUCGUUAUCAGUUUUUACUAUUGGGUUAUUGGGUAAAUUAAUAACCCAAUAAGACGGUAAUAAUUCACUAUUUUACUCUUCCUAAUUAUUAAAUAUUAAUAAUUUAAUAUAACUAAACACUAUAACUAUAUCAAAUUAUUAGUACUCUCUCCCCUUCACACUAGGCCGCUUUACUAGUUUUUAUUGUUUACUAAAAACCUAAAGACUAUAGUAAGGGUUCACUAUUGUAGCUAUUUGAUUUUAAUUUUAGUUUAGUAUUAUUGGACUAUUUGAUAUUAAUUUUAGUUUGUAAUUGUAGGUUGUAGCAUUUGCAAGUUUGUGAAGGUCCGUAAUUUGAUUAACAUAAAAAAUCUCGUACUAUAUUUUGGCGGUGACAUGUAAUUAUAGCCUUUGUACUAUAUUUAGAAAAGUGAGAAGUCAUAUAAUAUUUUACGAACAUUUUUGUUACUGGGUAAAUCGAAAAUCAAACGUAUAACUACCAAAAAACGAUAAAGAAUAUCUUAUUGAUUGGUUAUCGGGUUAGUGUUGACACCCAAUUUUGGACCUCCACCAUAUAAAUAAUCAAUUCGAGCUUCUUCGAUUUUAGACGAUUUAAAAUAAUUAGUUUAUAAAAUUGUAAGAAAAUUUCAAAGUUUGCACCUUAUUUUAAAUAGUUUUGUCGCUUUAUAUAUAUAUAUAUAUAUAUAUAUAUAUAUAUAUAUAUAUAUAUAUAUAUAUAUAUAUAUAUAUAUAUUACACAACUAUGUAUACAAUUAAUAUAUUUUUAUGAUUACUCAAAAAUCAUCUCAAAAAGAUUUUACUUUGUUUAAAUAUUUUACUAAUUAGUUUAGUUAUAUAAUAGUUUACAUUCUUGAAUUAGUUAUUCUAUAAUUAAGUCGAUUAAUUUAUUUAAUUAAAAUUAAGAAGCUCGUUAAUUAAUUAUACUAAUUCAUCGAGUUUAAUGUCAAUCAUUUCACCAUUCAAUUUCUAAUUGGUUUAAGUAUACAAUAUUUGGUUGCCAAAAGACCAAAUUUGGGCCUCCAUUUUGAAUUGAGCAACUUUCACAUAUAGCAAAUAAAAAAUUCAUAUUUGUAUGCUAUAGCAAAGUUUGCAUAAUUGCGUUCCAUAGCAAACAUAGAAACUGUAUAAUUCGCUAUAUAUAUACAGUUGAAGCAAAUUGUAUAAAUUGAAGUGUAUAAAACAAGAAAGAGAAAGACACUUGGAUAGAGAACUGUAUAAAAAUGAAGUGUAUAAAACGAAUUGUAUUAUUAUAAGUGUAUAGAACCAUUUUAUAAAAUUUGAAUUUGUAUAAAAUGAGAAAGAGAGAAAGACAAAAGAGACUUGACAAGGAAUAUACAAUUGAAUCGAAUUGUAUAAACGAGAAAGAGAGAAAGGCAAAAGAAACUGUGCAGGGUAGUAUUUUUAUUGUAUAAUUACAAGUGUAUAGGAUGAAAAUAUAUGUAUUUGCAUGUGUAUAUACAAUUUUCUCACGCUUUAUACAAACAGAAACACAAUUUAUGCAUUUUGCUUCUCUUUGUAUAAGUGAUAAAGGCGAGGGUGGCGAGCGAGAUCUGGAAGAGGGAAGAGAGGGGAACAAAAAUAUAUGUAUUUAUGCAAUUUUCUCUACUUUAUACAAUUAGAAACAAUUUUUAUACACUUGUGUUUGUAUAAAAAAUGAGGAAGCGAGUGAGAUACCGGAGGAGAGUGGCGAGCUUGAUAUUUGGGAGAGAGGCGCCGGGAAUUUUUUUACAAACGUUUGGUAUGGAGCACAAUUAAAUCAAACUCUAGCUACUAUAUUUAUUUUAGGUUAUUAGUUUGCUAUUAUAUACAAUUUUCCCUUUUAAAGAGCAUUUCAGCCCAAUCUUAAAUUACAUCAACCAAACCAGCCACUCCAACUUCCUUUUUAAAUAGUAUAAAUUUAAGGAAUUCCAUAGUGUAAUACAAUUAUUACAUUCUGUCCCGACAAAUUUAGUAUUUACUAAUAAUCCCUUAAAAUUGUUGUGGCGUGAUACAUUAGUAUGUUGUGAUAUAUGGUAAAUAAUAUAUAGUAAUUUAAAAUUGUUAAGAUUAAAAGGGGGUAAAAUGGAACAUUUAAAUUUGUUAUCUAAAUCAGCUUAAAUUACGGUAACAGUUCAUUAAUAAGCAUUAAUUCAACACGUAAUUGGAUAACAAUUUCAAAUUUUGAAAAUUCAAGAUUAUAUCAUCUAGUUUGAAGACAUUUUUAUGAACAUCCAGUUAUUAAACUUAUUGACUGAUACAUGAUAACAAUUUUCAAAAACUUUUGAUACAUAGGAAAUCAUAUGAUACACAUCAAAUUCAUGUAUCAAUGCAUCGUCUAAACACUAUAACACACUGAGUCGAUAUGUAUCAGCAAGCACACUUGAUGGCGCAGUUAUUAAGCUUAUUGACUGAUACAUGAUAACAAUUUUCAAAAACUCUUGAUACAUAGGAAAUCAUAUGAUACACAUCUAAUUCAUGUAUCAAUGCAUCGACUAACACACUAUAACACACCGAGUACUUAUGUAUUAAACUUAUUGUCUGAUAUAUGAUAACAAUUUUCAAAAAUUCAUGAUACAUAUGAGAUUCCUUUACUAAAAUUUUUACUAAUUUCAACAACAAUGGUUGCUGCUUCUUUUCUCUUUUUUGGGUGUAUUUUGUCAACCUUUGCUUUAGAUGAUUCGCCAAAAUCUUUGUUUGAAUCCUUCCGAACAUUCAUAGGAUCAUGCAAAGAUUUUUUUUUAUUUUCUUUCCAAUUUUCAUCGUCCGAAUCAUAAAUCCUUCUAUUAGUAAAAGGAUUCAUUAAUAUGAUGUAAUAGAACAAUGAACAGAAAUAAAAUAAAAAAAAGAACGGAUGAUGGAGUAAGAAGAAAAAGAAGACCUAGAGACGGCUGAUGUAAUAUAGAAAUGAACAAGAACAAAAAAAAGAACAGAUGAUGGAUUAAGAAGAAGAAAACUAUAGACGGAUGAUGGAGUAAGAAGAAGAAGAAGAACCAUAGAACAAUGGUCCAAUUUUCAGAAAUUUCAAAUUUUUUGAAUUUUGAAAUUCAAAAUUUCAUAUUAAAUGUUGUGAAAUGUUUUUAAUUAAAAUUAAUAAUUCAAAAUUCAGAAAGUGAUUCAUGAAUGUUUUAGUGGAGAAAAAAUAGGCAUGAUAUUGGGGAAGUGUGUGUUAUAGGAGAGAGAAGGCUAUGUAUCUCUAAACUUCUACUAAAAAAAGAAAAUUAUGUAAUAUUUAUAAAAAGAAGGGAAAAUUAGAGAAUACUAAACUUAUAGUUGUGUAUUUAAGUUAUUUUUCCUUUUAAAUAUACCGGCCCAACUUUAUUAUUCCCAAAUGGAAAAAUUACAUAAAUUAAUAUAUUUUAAAAAAUAAUUACUGAUUUUAGUGAUACUUUUUGUUUAUUACCAUUUAUAGCAAUGCUUUGUUAAAUCUAUAAUAUGUAUUAAAAGUGAAUUAUGUAUGCAAUAUAUAUGAAUUAUAAUUGUUUUUUGAAAUAAAUCAUGUUUGUUUGAUAAAAAAUUAUCACAUUGUAUUUUAAGUGUAUUAAAGUGUGUGAUAAAUUUAUUAUUCAUCAUUAAAAUUUGUAUUAUAUGUGAAUAAUAAAUUGUUCUUUGUAAUAUGUAUUAAACUUGUAUUAUAAAUGAAUUAAAAGUGAUCAAGUGAGGUAAAAAUAUUAUUGCUAUAAAUGAUAAAUAUUUUUUAUUAUAGUAUAUUUAUAUAAGUUUCCCUUCCCAGAUUUACCCCAACCCGGCCCAAUUCUAUCUUUAACAAGAGAACCCAGUAGUGUUCCAAACCGUAAGCCGACAAAAGUUCCAAGCACCAAAGUUUACGGACGGAAAACCAUUACACAACGCCUUCACGCCUAACUUCAAUGGUAAAAGCAGCGCGUGGAGGGCACCAAGAACAAAUAGUUAUUUAGUUUGUGGUUCGAUAUUGUAAUACUUCUGUUCAACUGAUUUGAGAUUUAUUUCUUGAUGGUCGCAAGUCAUUAGAAUUUUGAAAUGUUUUUGAUUUGGUGUCGGCUGGAAAUCAGUGGUGCAACUUGAAAUAUUGUUGUCUCAUUUGUAUGAAGUUUUAGGUCUUCCUGCCUAUAUUGCUGAUGCUCCUGAUUUUGACAUAUUGAAAUCGCUAUAUUUGUGUUUUGUAGUGUUGUUGUUGUUGUUGUUGUUUCAUUAAGUCGCCAGAGAUAUCACACCCUUUUUCUGCGCGUGGCGUAAGACGGUAAGGGUUUUUCCAAUUUAAGUGACGUUAUUGAUUAGGGAAUUAUUUUAUUUUUCAGCGUCGCCACUUGGAUUUAAGUUAUGGCAAGUCAACUUUUCUUUUAAUCCCUAACCAAAAGGAAAUAACUCUUUAUUUUGGUCCGUGGACCAGAAAUUUAGGUAAGGAAUCCUGUUGAAUGAGGAGAAGGUAUUAGGCAUCCUUCGAGUCCCGUGGUUCUAGCACGAUCACUUUUAUUGACUUAUAUUUAUUUUAAAAUAUUUUUGGAUAUAUUAUUUUUAGGUAUUGACUUGUUUGCAUUUUUAUUCUUGAACUUUUAUUUAGUCUCAAAUCAGAUGCAUAACUGCAUUCUCGACUUUGACAUUUGGAGACAUAAUUGUCUUCAUCUCUCAAGUUCCUCCCACCUAAUAAUUGUCUAUAAGUGUCACUCUAAAUAUUUAUAUUUAUAAACAAGGUGCGUCACCGCAUCCUUGAAUUUUUAAUGUCUCAAAAAGAUGCGUAACCACAUUCUUGAUUGAAAUAAAUAUUUAUUAAUAUGUCGAAAAAUAAUUUAUUUUAUUUUAUUUAUUUAUUUAUUUAUUUAUUGGUCUAGAUAUACCUACUUUAUCAUUAUUAUUUAAAUCAAGAAAAGCUGUAGCUAUAGUGAAAUCAACGUAGUACAAAAUUGAAAAUUGGAUUUCAUUAAGUAAAAAGAUAGAAGGGUUUAACAACAACACAAACUAAUUAAAUUUUAGCUUACAACCUUGAAAUAAUAAUAAUAAUAAUAAUAAUAAUAAUAAUAAUAAAACAAUACUACGACAAGAAUCAUCAACCACAUACAUAAUAAGAGAGAAUAGACAAACAAAAAUUUCAAUACAACCCUGAAAUAACUAUAGAUAAUAGAAAUUUGGAUAUUCAUUAAACUAUAUAUAGUGAAUAUCCUGAUACUAUAUUGCCUAAUUCUCGUUUCUAGGUACAUCAUCUAUAACAAACACGCCUAUUGAAACCCUUCAUGGAGGCGUAUAUUGGUGCUCAAUCCUUUUAUAACGAGGCGUAUAUAAGUGCUCAAUCCUUUGGUUUUGUGAUCCGCCAUGAGAUAUAGAGCAAGUCUUUUUCUAUUAAACUUAUUUCUUUUAUUGUAUUUUUUUGGGGGCCGGGGGGUGGGGGGGGGGGGAGGUGGACUUGAUAUACUCCUUAACUUUGUGAUUUAGAGUUGAUAUAUCCUCGUUAAAAAAGUGGGUUACAUGUACUCAUAUUAUUAUAUAAAUAAUGUCUUCAAAUAUACCAUUUUGUUCUAACGGGAGUGAAAACAAAUAGUUUUUUAAAUGCAUUUUUUUAUUUAUUUUUAAGAAGUAAAAUUUGAAUAUAUAAUCUUAGAACUUUUCUAGAAAAUAUACUCGUAUAUUGAUAUUUUAGUGUGUUUUUAAAAAAAAAAUUAAAACAAUAUUUCACUUCCAUUAGAUGAAAAGGUUAUAUGUGAACCACUUUUAUAAUGGUAAGACUAUAUAUGAACCACUUUGAAUUUAAAUGUGCAUUAUUUUAUAAUGAGCGACAUAUAAAUUCUAAUAAAUUAUAAAGUAGAAGAGUAUAUCAAGACCUUUUAUGGACUUUGGUAUUUAGAGAUUUUGUUAAUUAAAGUAGAGGAGUCGUAUAUAUAGGUGAAUAUUGAUAUGCUGCAACAUGUGUUAUUUAUUUUAAUGUGUGUAUUAUUGAGUAGUUAAACGUGUUGGGAGCCGUGCGUGCAUAUAUGCAUUUCAUGACAUAUAUAAUAAUAAUAGAGUGAAAAGAAGAAGAAGGCAGAAAUGAAUUGAAAAUAAAGGAAGUAGUUAAAAUAUUAUCCAAUCUCACCAUUUAUUUAUUAUAAAAUAUUAGAUACGAUACAUAAUUAAUUAAGAGAUGGAUGAGGUUAUAUAUAUAUAUAUACACACUCACUUCAUUUAUUUAGGUGUGUGUGAGUAUAUCAAGACUUUUUACGGACUUACAUAUUUAGAUAUUUUAGAGAUUCUGUUAAUUAAAGUAGAAGAGUAGGUGAAUAUUGGUAUGUUGAAAACAUGUGUUAUUUAUACUCAUGAAUAGAAUAAUUAAGUAGUAUAUAAUUGUUGUUGUUCAUCUUGUAUUCCAAACAUACUUAGAACAAAACUUUGAACAUCUUUGUAAGAAAACAAAGUUUAAGAACAUUUUCACAACUAGAAAAUUAAAACUAGUAGCGAAACUAGAAUCAGAAACAGAUUUUUUUAAAAAAAUAUACGAAAUAUUUUUCUUAAAGAGGAAUUGUUGUUAAUAUGUGUCUAAAUAAUCUUACUGAUUCCAACAAACUUUGCAGAAACACGAAGUUACCAAGUUUAAUGAACCAGUGAAGAACAGAAGAAUAGAAGAACUGAAAUUAAUUGACAAAUCUAAAAUUUGUAAAAGACGUACCAGAAUCUGAAAAUUUUUAAUAGGAAAAAGAUCAAGUCCACUGAAUUCACAGUGUCCCCUUAAGGAAAUUAUUAGUUAAACGUGUUGGGAGCCGUGCAUGCAUAUAUAUAUACAUUUCAUGACAUAUAUAAUAAUAAUAAUAAUAUUAUUAUUCAAUCUCACCAUUUAUUUAAUAUAAUAUUACAUGAUAAUUAAGAGGGCACUUCAUUUAUUUAGGUGUGUGUGAGUGAUGAUGGAGUAGUCCUAGGUAAUAGUGACGGUUGCUAGAGAUGUAAGUAUCCCAAAAAUUGCUGCCAAAGUUUGACCAACCACAUUCUCAAGUAAGUUUCCAAUAAGGAUAACAGGAGCUACAAGGGUUCCUGUGGUUGGAGUCAAAGUGCAAUUAGCAAUUGGGAGAGGAAUCCUUGCAAUACAUGUUCCUGACAAAAGACUUGUAUUGGUGGACACUGCAGCAUUAAUAAUGCCUUGACUAUUUGUGGACACUUGAGCAAUCGUUGUGUUGCCACAAAUAAUCGUUACAUUUGCUCCACUCACUCCGACGCCUGGGGCAUUACUUCCCGGUACGGAGCAAGACAAACUCCCCAAUAUACUUAAAUUAACAACACGAUCAACAACAGGUGGUACAAUCGGUGGUACUUGACCACCAACAGGUGGUACAAUCGGUGGUACUUGACCAACAACAGGUGGUACAAUCGGUUGGCCAAGAAUAGGACUAAGAAUGGGACCGACAAUUGGACUGAGAAUAGAACCAACAAUCGGUAAUUGGCCAAGACCAACAGGUGGUACUUGACCAACGGGUGGUACAAUACGUGGUGCAGGUUGCCCCAAAAUGGGACCCAAAAUGGGACGAACAAUGAGACCCAAACCUUGAGCAUGAGCUAGAGGACUGAUGGUGAUGAUGGAAAGUAGAACAACAAGGGAAACAACACACAUUUUUGAAGACAUGAUGAUUUGAUAAUAUUUUUUUCUGUUCAAUAUCCCCUUUUUAUAGUGCUCCUUUUUAUUUACUCCACCCCUACCUUAACUUACCCAACCCCCUAAUUUAUAUAAAUGAUUAAAUAUAUUAUCUUUCAUCCCUAAAUAGCAUUAUUAAAGACUUACAAUAUCUCCCUAUAUCAUCAUUAGUUAGGCUGAAACUCAUCAACUUGAACAACAUUGGGACCAUACAAAUUAAUUAAUUCAAUAUCAUUUUGACUUGUCAUAAGAAGAAAUUUUUUUGUAAGCUGAGGCCAAAAGUAGGGUGGGCAUUCGGUAUUUCGAUUCGGUUUCAGUUUUUUUUCCGAUUUUUUGAUUAUUGUAAAUUGUGUACCGAAUACCGAAUCAAAAUAUUUUGGUUCAGUUUGGUUUUUGUUAAUUCGAUUCGGUUUUUUAUUUCGGUUUUUUAUGUUGAUGGCGCGGCUGCUAGCUGCUGACUGGUUGAAUGUUGAUGGUGCCUGGCAGACGGCGUGGCGGCGCUGCUGCUAGUUGCUUGACAGCGCGGCGGCGCUGCUGCUGUCUGCUUGACGGUGCGGCGGCGCUACUGCUUCUUUUGGCGGCCGGCCGGCGCAGCUGCUACUUCUCGCGGCUGCUGCUGCUUCUUCUGGCGGAUGGCCGGCGCUGCUGCUUCUUCUGGCGGACGGCCGGCGCUUAUGCUGAAUCUGGCUGGAGGAGAAGAAGAAGAAGAAGAGGAAGAAGAGGAGAGGAAGAGGAAAGACCAAGAGGAAAACAAAUCAGUAGAAAGAUGAAAGAGAGAGGAAUAGGGCCCGUAGGGUUUCUUUUUAAAAAAAUUAUUUAAUAUUAAUAAUUAUUAAUUAAUAUAAUAUAAAUUAUAGUAUAUUAUUUCGGUUUAAAUCGAAAUAUCAAAAACUAAAAUAAUACAUACCGAAAAUCGAACCGAAAUACCAAAAAAUAUAAAAAAGUAAAUCGAAAACCGAACUGAAAACCGAAAUAUCGAAACCGAAAUUUUGAAAAAUUUCAAUUUCGUUUGGUGUUUCGGUUUUCCGAUGUUUGCUCACACCUAGCCAAAAGGCCUUUAAUUUGCUCAUAGGAACUAUUUUGAUGGAAUAAAUAACUCCACUUGGUUUGGGUGUCAAAAAAAACAACAAUAAAAAUAACAACAACCAUCGAAGAUUUUUGAAAAUAGUUGUGUGAUUGUUAAUCACUUCAUUUAAAAAAAAAUUAAUGUUAUAUCAUGUUUUUAAUUAUAAUAAACUACACUAUAUAAUAAUAAUAAUAAUAAUAAUAAUAAUAAUAAUAAUAAUAAUAAUCAAGGGCAAAAAGCUAAUCUACUUGGUCAACAUAAAAUGACUUUUAAGUUGAAAAAAAAACACCCCUCACCUAUCUUUUAGAUUUUGGCAUAAAAUAAGUCAUUUUGGACUUAAAAUAAGUCACUUUGAUAAUUGUCAAACACUCAAAUAAAUCAAAAACUGAAUUUUAAAUCAGUUUGACCAGCUUUUAAGCCCAUUCCAAUAGGCUCUAAGUGUGUAAAUAACUUUUCGAUACAAGUUCAAGGUGAAAUUUAUGUCUUUUCCCUUUGAAAUACCUAUCACAAUACUUUAUUUCUCACGCCAUGUAUUCAUGAUAUAAUAAAAAUAUAUAUAUUAAAUAUUGAAUAAGAAAUUUAUGGGUGCCUCGACUAUGUUAAAAAAAGACAUAUGUCUUAGGUCCCCCAAAUUUAAGGGGCCUCAUUUUUAAUAAUAAUAGGUUAUAAGUUAUUAUUUUUUUAACAAAUAUUGAAUACUAUUUAUAGAAAAAGUAAAAUUUUUCAUGAAAAAUAAAGGAAUUAUAGAAGAAAUUUGACAUGUUUGAAGUAAUAUAUCUCAAGAAAAAUAAUUUAAAAUAAGAAUGAUUAUAUUAUCAAUUGAAAACUAGAAGAAAUCAAUUAUAUGAAGUUAUUGACGAUUCAAGUCUAAUGAUCUAUUUAAUUUUUGAUUUAAGCCACUAAUAUACUUAAGUCACUUCUAAAGAAAUUUUGAUAUUUUUUCAAAGAAAGAUGUAACAUAAAAGUUAUAAUAAAAUAUGUCUUUUACUUUAUCAGAAAAUAUCAAGAGAACGUGGGAUGAAUGCAUGAGUUAAUUUGACAAAGUUUUAUCAUUCAUUACAAUAUUAUUAAAAUUAAUAAUCUAUCUUAUUUAAUGGCUCAAUAAGUGAAUGAAAAGACAUGUUAAAACUAAUGUAAUUAAGUAUUUUACUUUUACAAAUUAUGACUUAUUAAAACUAAUGUAAUUAAGUAUUUUACUUUUACAAAUUAUCAAAAAUUUCAAAGGACUAAAUCGUUAUGUCAGAAGUGAUUUUAUUUUCACGGUGUUAAGUGAAAUCGCUAAAUCACUGACCUACCAGCGAUUUUGUUCAUAUUUUUUUCCUAUUUUUUUUAAAGGCAACGAUUUUAGUGGAUUUUUUUCCUUACAUCUCGUAAUUUGAAAUAACUAAGAAAUCAAGAAUAAACAAAAUCGCUUCUGAUAUAGCGAUUUAGUGCUUUUAGUUUUAAAAAACUUAAUGUACCCUUUUGAAAUUUUUAAUGUUUUUUUUAACUCAAAGAAAAUUUUUGUAUGGGUAGUGUUUUUGGAUUUUUUUUUAGAAAAAUAAAAUUGCUUUACUGUCGCAUUUUUAUUUUAAUUGUUUUUAAUAUCGCUGCCUAAAAAGCGAUUUAAGUGGGAAAUUAUUAUACUUUUUGGCAAAUGGUAGCGAUUUGUGUGGAAUAUUUUUUAUUUCUUUCUUUUUAAAAAUCUUGGCAACUCUUUAGUUAAAUAACUUUUAUUAAGAUAUUGCUGGCAAUUAUUUUUUAAAAAUUCGUUUUAAAUGUUGGUAAUCAAUUUUAAAAAAUAAUUAUACAAUUUUUUUAAAAAAAAAAUUGGCACUGAUAUUUUUUUUUAAAAAAGAACUUCCACCAAGCAGCGAUUUUUUAUAUAAAAAUCACGAAAAUAGCUGUCAAGAAUUUUUUUUCCAUUAAAACGCUGUUUUUUUUAAUAUAUAAAUGUUGCAUUGCAGUGAUUUAAAAAAAGAGAAAAUUGUAUAUAAUAUAGUAAACUAAUAAUAUAAAAUAAAAUGAAGCAGCUAGGAUUUGAUUUAAUUGUGCUCCAUAGCAAAUGUUUGCAAAAAAUUGCCAGACACCUCUCUCCCAAAUAUCUCGCUCGCCACUCUCCUCCAAUCUCUCGCUCUCUUCCUCACUUUUUAUACAAACACAAGUGUAUAAAAAUUGUUUCUAAUUGUAUAAAGCAGAAAAAAUUGUAUAAAUACAUAUAUUUUUGUUUCCUUCUCUCCUCUCUUCUAGAUCUCGCUCGCCACUCUCCCAAAUCUCGCUCGCCACCCUCGCCUUUCUCACUUAUAUAAACAGAAACGAAAUGUAUAAAUUGCGUUUCUGUUUGGAUAAAGCGUGAGAAAAUUGUAUAUACACAUGCAAGUACAUAUAUUUUCGUCCUAUACACCCAGUUUCUUUUGCCUUUCUCUCUUUCUCAUUUUAUACAAUUUUCAAAUUGUAUCUAAUUUCUUUCUUCCUCGUUUUAAGUAAAGUUAUCAUUACAUAAAUCAAAUGGAGUGAGCUCAAACUUUAGUUAAUUUUUUUUAAAAAAAAUAUUUUGUUGUUUAACAAUUUUUAAAAUGAAAAUGCUAAACCUUUUUCACAAUUAUGUUUUAUAGUUUUUUUAUCAAUAUCUAGUCGAUGAUAACCAUAAUUUUAAUAUAAAUAAUAUAAUAAGGUAACUUAAUUCUGAAAUUCAAGUAUUGAUAUUUUUGAGAAAAUAUUUAUUUAGAAAUUGUAAAACAUUCAUAAUCUAAUAUUUAAUAUGUUUCUUACUCUCAACGAAUGACACUAAUUCAUCAUGAUUCAAAAUUGUAAGAAGUAAAAAUCAAUACUAAAAAGUGCAACUCAUUAUUAUAUGAAGUUUAAUAUGUAGUUUAUCUAUUGUCGAAAGUUUUCCAAGUAUAUGAUAUAUAAUUCUAUGAUAAAUUAAUUUUUGAUCCCAUAUAUUUAUACUAUUUUCAAAUUUAUACCGUUAAUUGAUUAUAUAUUUUCUUAAACUACAAUUACGCGAUCAUUAUUUAUCAAUUCUACUUUAUCAACUUUAUAUUCUUCUUUUUUAUAUCUUUAGAAUUGUGCUAUUUUUGUUUUCUUAUUUAAGUUACAAUUUUAAAGAUAAAAUAAAUAUUUUUUGGAGAUAAAAUAAGUUAAAUAAAAAACUAUAUGAAUACUUAUGUUGAAAAAAAUUAUAUAUAAUUAAAAAAUUGUCCUAUUUUUAUUUUCUUAUUUAAGUCACAAUUUUUAAAGAUAAGAUAAAUAUUAUUUUGAGAUAAAAUAAGUUAAAUAAACUAUAUGAAUACUUUUGUUUAGAAAACAUUAUAUAUAAUUAAAAAAAUUACAUAUAUGAAAGAUUAUAAAAUUAUACUGGUUAUGUUGUAGUAGUAAUAAACAUAGAUGAACAAUUUGAAUUGUCAAGAGUAUAAAAAUAAAAAUAUUUUUCACAUUAUUAUUAUAUCAAACAAAUACAAAUUGAUUUUCAAAAAGAAUAAUAAAAUGUAUUUGUGGGUCACACAUGAAACAAAAAUUAUGUGAUUCUUGAAAAAAAAUAAUAGAUUCUUCUAGAAAACUAUUUUGACAAUUAAUUAUACAAUUAUAAAUUUAAAACUUUGCCCAUAAAAAUAAUUAAAAUUACAAAAUUGUCAUUGAUUGGCCUCAUCAUGACUCUUAUGUAUAAUAGAAACUAGACAAUUGAAGGCCCGUUCAUGGGCUCAAUAUAAUUAAUUAUUUUUUUCAAUUUUAAGUUAAAAAAAUUAUCCAAAUUAAUAUCUUAUUUUAUCAUAGUUUCUAAAAUUUUCUACUAUUUAAACAAUUACAAAAAUGUCCUCUCAGAUACAUUCUUAUCCUCUGUCGGACACAUCAGUAUCUCCUCUCGAAUACAUUCCUAUCAUUUCUUGAAUACAUCUUUAUCUCAUCCUGAAACAUCCAUAUCCUCUCUUGGAUACAUCUCUCCCCUUUCGGAUACAUUCAUUCUCUCUCGAAUACAUCCCUACCUUCUCGGAAUCAUCGUGAGCUCUAUGUCUGCAAGUUUCCUCAAUAGCAAUGUAUCACGAUCGAUGUAUCCGCAUGUGUUGAUUUAUCUGAAAUUAUUUAAUUUUAAAAAGAUUUCGUAAUUUGAAAAAAGUAGGAAUAUAAUGUAAUUAACUCUUUACUCUAUGACAUAUUUUUCUUUGUAGUCAGUUUCAAAAGAAUGAUGUAUAACAUAUUUAAAUAACAUUUUGACUUUAAAAUAUUCAUUCUAUUCUUAGUAAUAUUAUUUAUAGUCAUAUGAACAUCUAUGGUUUGUUUUAGACCAUGAGUUUUAAAAGUGUUUUUUCUUUUAAAAAAUUUUCGUGUUAAGUUAAAUUAAAAUUUCAUAAACCGAAAGGGAGUGAGUACAAACUUUAGAUCAAUUUUAUAUUUAUAAAAUUAAAGUUUUUGUAACUAUUUUGUCUUUUAACAAAAUUUAAAAUGAAAUAAUUCACAAUUAUUUUUAUAGUAUUUUUUUAAAAUCAAUAUUCUAUCAAUAAUAAUAAAUUUUUUUAAUUUAAAUAAGAUAAUAAAGUAUUUUAAUUUUGAAAUUCAUGUAUUGAUAUCAAUUGAGAAAAUAUUUAAUUUUAAGUUGUAAAACAUUCAUAAUCUAAUAUUUAAUGUGCUCCUUACUCUCGAUGAAUGACACUAAUUUAUAAUAAUUCAAGAUUGCAAGAAGUAGAAAUCGAGACUAAAACGUGCAACUCACUAUUAUAUGAAGGUCACUAUGUAAUUUAUCUAUUGUGGAAGUCUCAUUAGUAUAUGAUAGAUAAUUCUAUGCCAAAUUAAUUUUUGUUUUCAUAUAUUUAUACAAUUUCAAAAUUUAUCCCGUUAAUUGGUUAUGUAUUUUAUUAAACUACAACUGCACUCAUUAUUUUAUCUUUUUUUUUAUUCUUACAUUAUCAACUCUAUUUUUUUAUCUCUUUAGAAUUGUGAUACUUUUGUUUUCUUAUUUAAAUCACAAUGUUUUAAAGAUAAAACAAAUUUUAUUUUGGAGAUUAAAUAAAUAUUAUUUUGAAGAUAAAAUAAAAAAAAGAUUUACUAACCUACAACCAGGAAGAUCCACUUUGAAACCCAGCGACGAAGAAAACUUUGAAACUCUUAGCCGCGAAAUGAGGGUGAAAGAGUAAAAUCAUUUCUGGAAAAUAAUGAAACGAGGGGAAAAAAGCGUAAUAAAGAUUUAAGGAAUUAGUCUAUGUGGUAGUGGACCCUAUUGACAUGCAAUAUGGAAUUCACAUAGCAUUUAACAACUUCUCUUAAUUAGAAGGGCAAUUUUGACCCAAUAGUUUCACGGAAAGGGUACUUUUGAGCCGAAAUAUACUUUAAGGGUAAAUAUGAGUUAUUUCAGAUAGUUUAAGAGUAUUUUUUACCCUUUUACUUUUAGUCUACGUGGUAGUGGAACCCUAUUGACGUGCAAUGUGAUGGCAUUUAACAACUUCCAUUAAUAAGAAUUGCACUUUUGACACAAUAGUUUGACGGGGAGGAGAGUUUUGAGCGGAAAUAUAAUUUAAGGUAAAUAUGAAAUAUUUCAGAUAGUUUAAGGAUAUCUUUGACCCUUUUAUGUUAAAACUAUAUGAAUACUUAUGUCUAAAAAACAUUGUAUAAAAUUAAAAGGAAAUUAAAUCAUGGAAGAUGGUAGGCUAUACUGAAUAUGUUGUAGUAACAACAAACAUAUAUAAACUAUUAAGUUGUAUAAAUAUUUUUUAUUUAUUAUAAUCAAACAAAUAAAAGUUAAUCUUUAAAAAUUAAAUAAAAUGAUUACAUGGAGUCCCAUGAAACAAAACUUUUUGUGACUCUUGAAAAAGAUUAUUGGAUACUUCUAGAAAAUUAUUUUGACCACUGAUUAUGCAAUUAUAAAGUUGUAAUUUUGCCCAUAAAUAAUGUUUAAAAUUACAAUAUUGUCAUUGGUCAUCCUAAUCAUGACUCUUCUAUAUAAUAGAAAUAAUAAUAACUAGAUAUCAGGUGCCCGUGCUAACGCAAACGCAACGUAUGUUAGAUUUUUCUUCUUCCAAUUUAUGUGACAAAAAUGAAAUUUGAAAAAAAUGAACUAAAUUUUUUAUAUGUGUUUUUUUUAAAAAAUAUUUUAAAUUAUUAAUUUAUGUAUCUUUUUUGUCAUUUUCGAAUAAUAUAUGUUACUUUAUCUAUUUUAUUUUAUAUGAUACAAGUGAUUUUAGGAAAGUAAACGAAAUUUCUUAUAUGAUUUUCAUAUAUUUUUAGUUGUCAUUUUACUGCGAUUCAUAGUACUUUUUAGUUAUUACGUUAUUUUCAAACAAUAUAUGCAACUUUUUUUUUGUUUCAAUAAAAAUAAGGGAGUCAACAAAAUUUCAUUAUGUUUUUUCAACUACAUUUUUCUAAAAAUAUUUUAAAUUGUUACAUUGCUUUUUAAAGUUUUUUUAAAUGUAACUUUCAAAUAUGUAACAAAUUAGAAAUUAAAACGAAGAAUUAAAGUUUUCAAAUCAUUAUAUUUCUAUAUUAGAAUAUUAAAACCUUUAAAACUACAUAUAUAUGCAUAAAUUAGUAGAAGGAAGCCUAACAACUUAUUUUUAAAAAAAUAUAUGAGAGCUCAUUUUAAUAGUAAUACAUACAUAUUUCAUUUUUCAAUAUCCGAAUCCCUCCUUUUCGAUUUAUAUAAAUUUAAUUUAAUUUAAUUUUUAUUUUGUUUCAAAAAGAAAAUAACUUCUGAAUUUUAUUUGUUUAUAAAGCAUAUUUAAGAUCACAAAAUCAAAAAAAAAUAUUUCAAUUCACAAAAUUUAAAUAUACAUAUAAAUUUUAAUUUUAAUUUUGAUUGGUUCCACCUAAUAUUAUACUUGAUAUAUAAUUAUUAAGAGCUAAGCGUAAUCAUUAUCUAUUUACUUUCGUAUAAUAAAUAGAUAUCACAAUAACUCUUAAAAAAUGAAGAAAUAACGAAAAUGAGAUAAUACUAAUAAUAAUCACUAAAGAUUUUCUAGAACUAGUUAAAUUUCUUGUUAUCAAUCGUGUUAGUUUUUUGCUUGCAUAAAUUACAUUUUUACCUUCGAUCAUCAUUCACUUCAUAUAUAGAAAGAUGUUUCUAGAAUUAUUUAUUCUUGAUAAAUUAUUGUUAGAAUGAAAUUACAUUUUAUUCUUAGUCGUCUUUAAUACAAAGUAUCAUCCUAUUCAUUUUUUAUUUGUCAAGUUACUUUUUAAGAUCUUUUUCUUUAAUUUCAGUCUAAUAUAUAUUAUUAAUUUAUCACACUUAUUUAUUUUCAAGUAUAUUAUUAGAGUCAAAAUAAAGAUGAAAAUAAUUAAUUCAUGAUAACUUUUUAUAUAAAAAGUAGGCAUAUAUUAUAAGCAUAAUGAAUAGAAAAAAAUAUUAAGAAUUAAUUUAAAGUAAUAGUAAAGUAGAGUAAUUAUAAAAUAGAUAUCACAAUAACUCACAAAAGAAAAGAAAGUGAAGUGAUAACAAAAUAAGUUAAUGGUAAUAAUAAUAACUUAAAAUAUUUCUAGAACUAUUAUUUUUAUUUUUUUUUGUUAUCAUUCUUCAUAGAUUUUUGUUAGCAUGAAAUUAUAUUUUUGCUGUAACGACCUGUUUAGUCGUUUGGAGCAGCAGAGUUAAUUUCUGAAAAUCACUGUCUGGGUCGACGGAUCCCACGACAGACCGUCAUGGGCACGACGGACCGUCGAGGGUGUCUCGUGCCAAAACACUUAGAAUUUAGAAAUUUGGGUACUGAGAUCGACUCUCUGAACUUCACGACGAAAUGGCAGGACGGACCGUUGAGGGCUCGACGGACCGUCACAAAUCCUUCCGCAGAAUUAACUCUCUGAACCUUGUGACGGACGUGCAGGACGGACCGUCACAGUUGUGACGGACCGUCACAGGCUGCGUGACCCUGACUGGGUCGGAUUUCUGUUAAAUAUUUUAAGGGGCGUUUUGGACUAUUCCUACUUAUAAUUAUAAAGUUAGUGGUUUAAUGUUAAUAAUUUAAUUACUUGGGGGUUAAAAGAGAGAACCUUGAAACAAAUAGUGGGAUAUUUUAUCAUCUUUUAUACUUAAUUAUAUGCUAAUUAGGGUAAAAGAAAGAGGGUUUGAAUAAGAAAAAGAAAAAGAACAGAGAGAGAGGGAGAAACGAUCGAUUGAGAGAGAAGAAGAACGCAGCUUUGGGAAAGUAGAUUGCUUGAUCACAAUCCUUCGGUGGAGGUAGGUUAUGGUUUAUGCUAUUCGUAGUAAACUCUUAAUAGCGAAUGAUAUGUAUUGGGUAGUGUUGUAAACCCUUCUAUAUGCUUAAUUGUAUGCUUGCAUGAAUGUGAUUAUAUAAUUGUGAUAAAAUAAGCAUGAUGAAGCUAUUGAAUCCUAAAUCUUGAAAAUCCUAAUCUACUUUGUUAAUGAUGAUGCCUUGGUAUAAAAGAAGGCUUGAUGAACGAAAGUAGUAAGAUUAGGGGAUCGGAGUGUCACGUUCCGACACCAGGAUAGUAUAUGGAUCGGGUGCCACGUUCCGGUACCAGGAUAGUAUAUGAGGAUCGGAGUGUCACGUUCCGACACCAGGAUAGUAUAUGGAUCGGGUGCCACGUUCCGGUACCAGGAUAGUAUAUGAGGAUCGGAGUGCCACGUUCCGGUACAAGGAUAGUAUAUGAGGAUCGGAGUGUCACGUUCCGACACCAGGAUAGUAUAUGGAUCGGGUGCCACGUUCCGGUACCAGGAUAGUAUGAUGAGGAUCGGAGUGUCACGUUCGGACACCAGGAUAGUAUAUGGAUCGGGGUGUCACGUACCGACACGAGAGAAAUAAAGAUAAUGAAUCUUGAAAGAUGUUAAUAUACUCAAUUUAAUGAACCUAAUUCCCAAAUGAGUAUGAUGGGGAGGCGUGAGUCCUCAUUGAUGUGCUUGGUGUUGUGACCAAGAGUUAUGAUAAUUAUAAAUGCCGCAUGUUGAGUAUUGUAGUUGAUUUUAUGAUAUAUCUGAUAUAUACUAUUUUCUAUUUUGAGUUGGCCGAUGAUAUCUACUCAGUACUCGUGUUUUGUACUGACCCCUACUUGUAAUUGUUUUUCUUUGUUAUUUGUGGAGUGCAGCAAACGUACCGUCGUCUUCAACUCAACCGCAACUCUAGCCAGUCUUCAUUACACCGGAUUUCAGGGUGAGCUAACGCUUCUAGCUUGGACUGGAUCUUCUUCUUCAUGUCUUGAUGCCUUGAAGUUCCGGCAUGGACUAGCUUUUUAUUUAUUCUAGCUUUCUAAAUACUCUUAGAAUUAGUAAUUUGAGGAUAGAUGUUCUUGUGAUGAUGACUUCCAGAUUUUGGGAAUAAUAAGUAUUGAGUUUUUAGAAGUUAUUUAACCGAUUUUCAUUAAUGAGUUUAAGUCUUCCGCAUUAUAUUCUGUUUAUUAUGGUUCAAAUGUUGGGGUUUAGAUUGGUUGGUUCGCUCACAUAGGAGGGUAAGUGUGGGUGCCACUCGCGGCCCGCUUUGGGUCGUGACAUUUGCCCUUGAUUAUUAUUCACUUCAUAUAUAGAAAGAUGUUUCUAGUAUUAUCAAUUAUCUUGCUUAAUAGAUUUUUGUUAGCGUGAAAUUACAUUUUUGCCCUUAAUCGUCCUCCCACUUCACUCUUCUAUAUAAUUGAAUAGAAAUACAUUAUAUAAAAUAAAUAUUUAUAAAUGAUUAUAAGUUUUCUAUAUCCUUUUUAUAGUGAUUAAUUUACAAUAGGUAAAUGGAUAUGUAUGGGUAAUAAAAUAUAUAUGAGAAUAGUAAUUUAAUUGUGAUAUAUGGCAAAUUCAUCAAAUAGUCAGUCUCUAAUAAUUUAUAUAUUAGUAGUGAAGUAUAAUGUUAAAUUUUAAACGAGGAUUUACAUAACGUGAGAAAGACUUCUUUUCUUUUUUAUUUUCUCAAGAGAUUUUUACAUUUUAAAAUUAGUUUAUAACUUAACAUUAAAUUACUUUAUAUGUAUUUUACUUAUUCAAACUCUCACAUAAUUACUUGUACAUUUGUUUAUUUAUGGUCUUCAUAUAUAACCCCUAGUAUAGCCUUGCUAAACUAAAUUUUGAAAAUUAUUACUAGUAAGGUGUUUGUUUCCUCACCUCAUAUAUUUACAUCAUAUGCAUAAAAAUUAUGUAAAAUGAAUAACAUAUUUUUUUAUUUAUUUUUAAAGAGACUAGUUAUUUGGGGCCGCUAAAGCCUACUUCAAAAUUAGCAAAUCAAAAGAAAGGAAGUGUACCUAUCAACCAAGUAAAAAUGUCAACUACUUCUAAAAAGUUUGGACAAUUUUUAAGACUAUGAAAAUAUAGAGACAUAGUAAAAUAUUGCGUGAAUCACUUAAUAAAAUCGAAAACAUAAUAUAUUGGAGAUAGUUUUACUAAAAAUAAUUUUACAAUAAAAUUGAAAUGUGUACAUAUUUAUUGAAUUGUGGGUAUAGAGACAAUUUUUAAGCUUUUUUCUGAUUUACAUAUAUUAAAUCGCGAAAGAAGUCAUGUGUUCUUAAUAAAAUAAUCGCUAAUGGCAAUUAUAUUUGCUGCUAAAAUUCUUCCUCUAAAUAACUUAAUUUACACUUUUAGCGUUUAAGACGCAAUGUCCAUCUUAAACUAAUAAAUAUGAGAAAUAAAUAAACUCAAUUGGGGGAUAACAAUUUCUUAAUUAGUAUGUUAUAUAUACAUUAUUUCAAUUAUACUUUCGAGUUUUGAUAUUACGAAAAUAUAAUGUCAAACUUUAAAGACAAGAAUUUACAAAUGAGAACGACUUUUUUUUAAAAUAUAAUGUCAAACUUUAAAGACAAGAAUUUACAAACCAUGAGAACGACUUUUUUUUAUUAUACGUUUUAUUAUAUAUAUAUAUAUAUACAUACACACACACAUAUAUAUACAUAUAUCAUUGACUCUAUAUAUAUAAGAUAGGAAAGAGGUUAAAAUAUAUCAUUGAACUUUCAGAAAAAAACUCAUUUAUUCAUCAGUUAAAAGUUUGGCUCAUUUAUGCCAUUACCGUUUAAAAAAGAUUCAUUCUUGCCAUUAUUUUUUAAUAAUGGUUUCGCAAAACCAUUUUUAAUACGUGACCAAUUAUAAUCGGCUACGUCCUCAAUUUAUUUAAUUAAAAAAUCAUCAUUCUAAAAAAAAUUGAAUUCAUUUUUUUUGAUUUUUUUAUUAAAUAAAUUGAUGACAUGGCUAAUUAGAAUUCAGUGGGAUUUCUUAAAUUUGGGCGGGUCUUUAUUUGAGUGGGGUUUUUAUUUAAUGUUUUCUCAGAAUUGAUUUUUUAUCAAAAAAAAAUAAAAAAUGAUGUGGCCGAAUCAUAACUUGUCACGUGUGAAAAGUGGUUGGGCAAAAUCGCCGUUAAAAACUAAUGGCAUGAAUGAGUCUUUUCCUAAAUGGUAAUAACAUGAACGAGUCAAACUUUUAACGGAUGACAUAAAUGAGUCUUUUCUAAAAGUUCAACGGCAUAUUUGAGCUUUUUCCCUUAUUAAAAAAGUGGCUUACAUACACUCAUAUUAUUACAUAAAUAUUCUAAAAUAUACCAUUUUGUUCUAACGGGAGUGAAAACAAAUAUUUUUUUAAACAUAAUUUUUUAUUUUUAAGAAGUAAAAUCUGAAUAUAUUAUCUUCCACUUUCCUAGAAAAUAUUAUCCUACAAGAUUUUUUAUUUUUAAAAUUAAAAUUAAUAUUUUCACUUCCAUUAGAUGAUGAAGAUAUACCUGAAUCACUUUUAUAAUGGUAAGGAUAUGUAUGAACUCUUUUAAUUCAAAUGUGAAUUAUUUUAUAAUGAGCGAUAUAACAAUUUUAAAUUGCAAAGUUAUGAAGACCUUUUUAUUUAGGGAAAAGGGUCUGAUAUACCCCUCAACUUUGUCAUUUAGAGCUGAUAUGCCCCUUGUUGUGAAAGUGGCUCAUAUAUACCCUUACUUGUAAACAAAUGGCUCACAUAUACCCUUUUCCUCUAACGGAAAUGGAAAAAAAAAUAAUUUUAAUCUAAUUUUUUAAUAUUUUUUGUCUAAAAAUUAUAAUCCCAUAUGAGUAAAUUUAAUCCUCGUAAAACAUAUUUUUUUUAACCUUUUUUAGUUUCAAUGACUAAUUUAUAAUUAUUAUUUUGAUAAUCAAAUUUAUUUAUGUUUCACUAAUAUUCUUGUAAAACUUAUUGUAGAUAACCAAAUUUUUUCUUCGAAUAUGAAAUUAAAUUACAAUACACACAAAAAAUAGUUUAAAUUUUUUCUCUUUAAACUAAGGAUUGAAAGAAAAAACAUAAGAAUAAGAAACUCAAAUAAUUAUAAUAAAAAAAGUCAAAAAAUAAUUUAUAUAUGAAAAAAAUCAAAAUAUACCUUGAACUUUGAUAGAAGAAUCAUAUAUAUCCCUAAAUAAUUUUUUUAAAAAAUUACAAGUAAUAAAUAUCAAUUUAAAACUAAUUUUUUAACUUCCGUUAAAUGAAGGGUAUAUAUGAGCCAUUUUGUAACGGGAGGGGUAUAUGUGAGCCGUUUGUAUAACGGUAAGGGCAUAUAUGAGCCACUUUUAUAACGGGGGGUAUAUUAGCUCCAAAUAACAAAGUUGAGGAGUAUAUCAGACUCUUUUUCCUUUUAUUUAUUGUAUAAAAGCAUUUCAUAUACUAGUUACAUAUUUAAAUAUUGAAAAUGUUGAUAAGAGAUCCCAUUAAAUGCUAAAGUAUUGGUAUUUUAAAAAAAUUUCCUUUUAUUUAUUGUAUAUAUCUAACAUCUCGUAACUUCAAAUAACUAAGAAUAAACUAAGAAAUCAAGAAUAAUCAUUUUUGGAAAUAAAUAGGAAAUCUGAAAAAUUUCCCAAGUGUAAAAGUGAGUUUUUGGUCAAUUUCAAACGACCAUAACUCCCAGCUUAGGAGGAGUUAGUGUGAGUUCCUUAUAUGGUUGGAAAUCCCUUGGAAAGAAAUUUCCAACAACGCCAAGUUUGUACAUUUUAGAUGUCGUAUGAAGGAGAUAUGACUUUCGAAAGUUUGGUUGUUGGAGUGAGGAAAAUUCAAUCCGGAUUUAGUAAGGAUAAAGUAGUCUUUUCACCCUAGUAUUUUCUAAUUCGUUUUAAGGGUUUAUUAGGGGUAAAAUCAAGUCCAUAUUCAGUUUUGAAAAAGUUGAGAACGCUCAUGGCUUGGGAGAAAAGAGAAGAGAAAACCAAAAUUUCUUCAAGAACGCUAAGGUUUCGCUAGAGGAAUUCAUCGGGGGUGAUCUCUAUCGAGGUAUAUGAGAUCUUUCUAUGUUGGGUUCGUUCACCCACACACCAACAUGUUUAUUUAGCAAUUUUUGUAUUGAUUGAAUAAUGAAUCUUGAAGUUCUUGAUGAGCAAUUGUUGAAUCCUUAUUGGUAGAGUUGUAGUGUACCUUUAGUUGGUGUUGAUUCGUAUUUUCAGGCUGUUUUACGAGUCUAAACUAUUGGGUAUUGAGUAUAUUAGUGAUUGAUACGCUCAAACUUACUUUUUAAAUAAGAAGUAAAGCAGUAAAUGGGGGUUUCUAUUCCUAAAUAAAUGAAAAUAACUAGCGAAAUUAAAGGAGACAACUAACAACUUCGAAUGUUGGAGUUUAAUCACUUAAUCAAAGUAACUAGGGUUUACGUGUUCCCCACAGGUUCAUAACUUGAUAAUUCUAACUAUAACAAUUCUUUCCUAGUAUCUUGCAUGCAAAGUGAUAAGUUAUGUAUUUCUAAAUCCUUGGUCCGGCAUCUAGAAAAUUUCACUCGGCACCUUGGUCCGACUACGUGUGUUGCUAUACUAACCCUUAUAUUUACCUCAUAUUAAGCAUCGUAUUCGAUAUUUGACUAAGUUAUUACCCCGUACCAAUCAAUACUAGCCUAUUAGAUAGUAUACACUAAAUUUAUAUUGAUAAUUCUUUUCCUAUUAUCUUCCUCCUUGGUCCGACAAGUAGCAUUAAGGCGAGUUCUAACGUUGGCCAUCCGUUAAAAAGACUUCCAAGCGAAAGAAUUAUCAAUACAUGCAAGACACUAUUCUAGAAUUGUUAUUUUAGUUAGAUUUUACCUCAUUAUUCGCCUAUGGUUCCCACAACCCUAAUUAUGGAGUUUAGUUACCCAUAAUCAUAAUCACAAUAUUCAAAUAUAUGAUAUAAGAAUUCAUGCACUUACUUCAAUGAGAAAGAGUAAAAUCCAAAAGUUAGCUUGAUUAAUCAACAAUCAAUUACAAGAAUAUCAAAAUAAUCAAGAAUCUCACAAAAAGUCUAAAAAAUAAUCAAGAGUCUAACAAUAAUCAAGGGCCUAACCAAAUAAUCCAGAGUCUAACCUCAAAAACGAGGUUUUUCAAACUAUUUAUAAAAAAUAAAAACCUAAUUACAUAAGGACUCUAUUUGCUGGAAAUCUGUCAAAACGCGGCUGGGUCAACGGACCUCGCGACGCAUCGUCGUGGUCACGACGGACCGUCAUGGACACGACGGACCGUCAUGGACUCCGUCGUCCCAUACUUGAUGCAAUUUCUUAUGCUGCUCUCUUCAUUACUCUCGACAGCAGGUAUGAUGGAUCGUUACAGGCACAACGAUCCGUCGAGGGUCUCCGUUCCAAAACACUUGAACUCUUGGAAUAUGGGUACUGGGACUACUUCUCUGAACUUCAUGACGAACCUGCAGGACGGACCGUCAUGGAUACGACGGUCCGUCACGCAUUUUGUAACCCCACACUUGGUCAGACUUCCCCAUUUUCCUUCAGCAGCUGCACUACGUUGCCACCUACGGACCGUCACGAGCAUGACGGACCGUCACAAGCAUGACGGACCGUCACAAGCAUGACGGACCGUCACAAGCAUGACGGACCGUCACAAGCUCCGUAGGUGGUCUCUUCUGCAUUUCUUUGCUCAAAAACCUCCGCAUUCAUCUUUGGAUAGAUUUCCUGCAAAUAAGGAGAAACUUAUAUAAAAAUUAGCACAAAAAGAUUUUGGACACACUAACUUAAGGAAAAAAUAUUAAUAAUACCGUGACACCAUAGUAUAUCAGUGAUCCUAAGUGUUUGGGAAAAAUCCAUGAAUGUUUUGAAGGUUUAGAGUUGAAAAUCGGAGAAGAAAAGUCAGAAAACUCGUCUGACAGGUCUUGUGGCACCGUGCCUACAAGAGCCCCUCAGGACAGACUCUUUCUGUCAGGCUCUGGCGCGCCGCCGUGCCAGCUAGAGCGCCUGAAGACAGUGUCUGUCGGUCAGGCGCUGGUGCCCCGCGCCUCUCAGAGCGCCAGGGUCACCUGGAGAUUCUAUUUCUCUCCCAUCUUUUCGUACGAGUUCCUAAGUGACGUAUCUAUUAUUUCUAGUUAGUUCCAAUACUCUAAAGUAAAUAUAAACAUUAUGAAAUCAUCCAUAAUAAUGAGAUCAGGAUCCGUGAAUGCAUAAUCCAAUUCAAGGGAAGUUAAGAUCAAAGUCAAAAAAAGUUAAGAGUCAAGUCUAAAAGUUAAAAAACAAGUCAAAGUAAGUUCCUAAAGCAUUCAAGAGUCUUAAACAAACAUUUUAACUUUGUUUUAAGGUUCAAGCAAUGAGUUGAGCAAAGAGUAAAAGAGUUGAGUUAAAUUUUCAAAAGCUAUAAGGGAACUAAGUAUUCCCUAAGAGUUAAGUUUCAAGUUAAGCAAAUAGUAACAAGUUGAGUUCACUUCUCAAGAGUUAGAAGGGAACUAAGUAGUCUCUAACAGUUUAAACAAGAUGUUUUUAAACUUUUGAGAAAGAAAGGAAGCUAGACUUCCACAGAGCCUAUGACUAGUUUUAGUAAAAGAAAAAGGAAACUAUGAUUUCUAAGAAAGUUUUUGAAGCAAAGUUUGAGAAAUUAUCUCAAACUAGAGAAGAAGUUGUUUUAAAAAAACAUAUGAGCUAAGUAUUUUGGGAGUAGUAUUGAGCACCGAUAUGGUGACGCGAGUUCAUAUUAACUCAAGUCUCCAUAAACCAUUGAGCCAACAUGGAGAUAUAAAAGAUCAUACUUUUUAGAUGAUUCCUUAGUAAUUUUAGCAUAGACUAGUGAAUCCUCUUAGUAGUUCAGGUUCUAUAUCGACGACAAGGUAUAGAGUGGUCCUCUUGCAACAUGAGGUAAUACGUUGUACCAUCACUUAGGCUCAUAGAUGGUUGUCGGUUAGAUAAUCUCUCAAAGAAAUUAUAAUACUUUCAAAUAUAUGAGUAAAGUUGAGUUUAUUAUUGAUUUAUCUUUAAUGAACUAAGUGUUUACACUGUUUUACAAGCUUUUCUUAUAUCGCAUGUGUCCUUACUGCUUUAUAUUGAGUCGUUAUUAAUGAGUUGAGCAGAACCAAGGUAAGUUCUUCCUUACUCCUUUCAAGCCUUAUAGUAGUGUUUAGUAUUCCAAUUCGCAUACUCGUUUGGCCUGCAUGCAUCGUCUUAUAAUGCAGAAGCAGGUAAUUAGGAUCAACAUGCAGCACUUUGUUGAACCAGUUUGAGCUCUAGAGUCAGUGGUGAGCCUCCAUGCAUUUCGGAGGAUCCUUUUAUUGCUAUCUAGUUAGUUCAAUAGAAUGUUGUGGGGUUUGUCCCAACAUUCAUCUCAGUCAGUUUAGAGGUUUCAUAGACGGAUAGUAGUAGUUAAGUUGUGUCUCUUUAUUUCAGAUUCUAUAUUUGAGACUUAAGUGCAAAUUUGGCCAAGACAGUAUUUAAAGUCAUUUUUAUGAGAACUUCUUCAAUUCUAUAACUGAAUUAAGUUGAGUCUUCCGCUGAGUUAAGUAAGUCAGACCAAGAGUUCCCUUGAGGCCAGCAAUGGUCACCAAGUGCUAGUCCCACCCAGGGUAUAAGCUCGGAGCAUGCUAAUAUAUGCAUUUCAUAUACGACUUACGUAUUCAGAUACUUUUAACAUUUUGUUAGAGCAGAAGAGUCUUAACUUAUAUAUGUAGGUGAAGUAUUGAUAUAUUGGGAUAUUGGUACUUAUUAUUAUUUUACUUUAAUACUUAUUUAUAAGUCUACAACACACGGUAAGCACACACAAGGUGCUCAACAUGUGUGCUUGAAGUAAAUUUAAUUUUGAAUGAGGUUAAUUUGGUCAUUUUAUAUAAUACUCAAUGUUUCUUUUACUUGUACAAAAUGCAAAAUUGCUUUUAUGGACAUCAAAUGACCAAAAACCCAGUAUCCUUUAACUCAUUGUCAUAUGUUAUAGAACAUUGCAAUUGGUUGAAAAUGAACUUUAAUGUAGUUGCAAUAUAAUUAUUUUUACUUCUUGUCAAAACUGCCCCUAUGCGGCUUAAGCUUAUUUUAUCAACUAUUUGUUAUUACGUGGAGAAAUUAAAGACAUCUUUAGAUGAGUCCUUUUAAGCGGUACCGACCUAGAUAUAUAUAUUCUUUUCGUUUUAUUUAUGUCAUUUUUACUAAAAAUAGGUAAUAUUUAAUAUUUAUCAUUUCACAAAAGUAAUGCAUUAUAUAGUAAUGAAAUCGACUCUCUGAACUCUGUGACGGACCGUCACAGGUACGACGAACCGUCGUGAGCCCCGUUUCAAAACACUUCAACUCUUGAGAAUUUGGUACAGGGAACGAUUCUCUGAACGUCAUGACGGAGGUGCAGGACGGACCGUCGUAGGUACGAUGGGCGUCACAGACUCCUUAAGGAAAUCGAGUCUUUGACGAACCUGCAUGACGGACCGUCGCAGGCACGACGGGCCGUCGCAGGUUGCGCAAUCCCAGUCUAGGUCAGAUUUCUUUACACAUUUUAAGGGACGUUUUUGACUAUUCCUUCUUUAAUUAUAAAGUUAGUGGGUUAAUGUUAAUAAGUCUAAUUACUUGGGGGUUAAAGAGGUAACCUCAAGUUAAUUAGUGGGUUAUUAUUGCCAUCUUUCAUUCUUAAUUAUAUACUAAUUAGGGUAAAAGAAAGAGGGUUUGAAUAAAGAAAAUAGAAAGAACACAAAGAGAGAGAGGGAGAAUCGAACGAGAAGGUGAAAAGAAGAGGAGAAACACAAAGCUUUGGGAAAUUGCUUGCUUGAUUUCUUGUCUUCGGUGGAGGUAGGUUUUGGUUUUCAUGCUAUUCGUAGUAAACUCUUAAUAGCGAAUGAUAUGUGUUAGUAGUAUUGUAAACCCUUCUAUAUGCUUAAUUGUAUGCUUGCAUGAAUGAUGUGAUUAUGGAAUUAUGAAUAAAUAAGCAUGAUGAAGUUAUUGAAUCCCAAAUCUUGAAAAGAAACCUAAUCUACUUUGUUAAUGAUGAUGCCUUGGUAUAAAAGAAGGCUUGAUGAACGAAAGGGGUGAGAUUAGGGGAUCGAGUGCCACAUUCUGGUACCAGUAUAGAGAUAGAGGAUCGGGUGCCACGUUCCGGUACCAGGAUAGAAUGAGGAUCGAAGUGUCACGUUCCGACACCAGGAUAGUAUAUGGAUCGGGUGCCACGUUCCGGUACCAGGAUAGAAUGAGGAUCGGAGUGUCACGUUCCGACACCAGGAUAGUAUAUGGAUCGGGUGCCACGUUCCGGUACCAGGAUAGAAUGAGGAUCGGAGUGUCACGUUCCGACACCAGGAUAGUAUAUGGAUCGGAGUGUCACGUACCGACACGAGGGGAAUAAAUAUAAUGAAUCUUGUAAGAUGCUAAUAUACUCAAUUUAAUGAAACUAAUUCCCAAAUGAGUAUGAUAUUGAGGCUUGAGUCCUCACGUGUGAACUUGACGGUAUUUGUUAAUGAUAUAGUACUUGUUGUUGCUACAUGUUGAGUAUCAUAGUUGAUUUUAUGAUAUUGCUUAAUAUAUAUUGUUUUCUAAUUUCGAGUUGACCGAUGAUAUCUACUCAGUACCCGUGUUUUGUACUGACCCCUACUUUUGUGUUUUCUUCUUUGUUAUUUGUGGAGUGCAGCAAACAUGCCGUCGUCUUCGACUCAACAGUAUUCAAGCCAGUCUUUACUACACCGGAAAUUCAGGGUGAGCUAAUGCUUCUAGCUUGGACUGGAUCUUCUUCUUCAAGUCUUGAUGCCUUGAACUUCCGGCAUGGACUAGCUUCUUAUGUAUUUUUAGCUUCUUAGACAUUUUUAGUUAGUAAUUUGAUCAUAGAUGUUCUUGUGAUGAUGACUUCCAGAUUUUGGGGAAUAAUAGUUAUUGAAUUGGUUUUUAUUUAAUGAGCUUAAGUCUUCCGCAUUAUUUUCUAUUGAUAUACGUUGAAAUGAUAAGGUUUAGAUUGGUUGGUUCGCUCACAUAGGAGGGUAAAUGUGGGUGCCAGUCGCGGCUCGGUUUUGGGUCGUGACAAACCUUGUAUCAGAGCAUUAGGUUCGUUGGUCUCAUCACACAAGAACGAGUCUAGUAGAGUCUUAAGGAACGGUAGGGGGGCGCCUUUACUUUUCUUUGAGGGGCUAUAAGACUUUAGGAAAUUCCAUUCUUUCUUAUCUCUUUCGUGAUACUACUUGAAUCCAAUUGGUAUCUAGGUGAUUCAAAUUGGUAUCUGACCAUCUUCACUCUAUUUCGCAGAUGGUUAGAACUAGAUCAACGACUGCGCCAACACCAACACCGGCAAGACAAGAAACGUCUGAGCCAGCCACUGGGGCUGUGGCUCAAGGAAGAGCAAUAGCAAGAGGUCGUGGUAGAGUUCGUGGGAGGACGUCCUCUAGAGGGAGAGGACGAGUACCUAGCCCAUCUGAUGCUAGGGCGGUGACUCCUCCACCGACUGAGGAAGUAGUAAGAGAGGGUGAGGAAGGGGAGAAUGAACAAGUGCAAAAUGAUGAAUUGCCACCCCAACCUACCCCAGAGAUGAUCAAUCAGGUUCUCGCUUAUCUUAGUGGGUUAUCUGAUUAGGGCCAGACACCUCCAGUGUUUUCUGCACCAGUACCUCAGGUUCCGGAGGUACAACAUGCGGCUACUAUGGCUCCUCGUAUGGAUGCCUCAUUGGACAUAGGCACGUUUCCACGUCUGACUACUGGGCCUAUAAUGACAAAUGAUCAGCAUGAACUUUUCAGUAAGUUCUUGAAAUUGAAACCCCAGUCUUCAAGGGUGCUGAAUCUGAGAAUGCUUACGAUUUUCUGGUUGACUGUCAUGAGCUACUACACAAGAUGGGUAUAGUAGAACGGUUUGGUGUUGAGUUCGUGAGUUAUCAGUUUCAAGGGAACGCCAAAAUGUGGUGGCGGUCACAUGUUGAGUGUCAACCAACAGAGGCACCACCUAUGACUUGGGCCUCAUUCUCUAGCUUGUUUUGGAGAAGUGUGUCAACCAACAGAGGCACCACUAUGACUUGGGCCUCAUUCUCUAGCUUGUUUAUGGAGAAGUAUAUCCCCCAGACUUUGAGGGAUAGGAAAAGGGAUGAGUUCUUGAGCCUAGAUCAAGGUAGGAUGUCGGUUAAUGCAUAUGAGGCUAGGUUUCGCGCACUAUCCAGGUAUGCCACUCAACUUUGUUUCAGUCUACAAGAGCGGAUUCGCCGGUUUGUGAAGGGGUUGAGGUCAGAGUUGCGGAUUUCGGCCUUACAGGUAGCGGCUACGGCAAAAUCCUUCCUAGAAGUGGUAGACUUCGUGAUAGAGGUGGAAGGAGUGAAGCCCAAUGACUUCACCUCGACAUCGACAUCAAAAAGGUUUCGAAAGGGAGGUGAGUUUAAUGGUUCUUACCCUAGGGGAUAGGGUUUCGGAGGUUACUCAGUCCGACCGAUUCAGUCUUCACUACAGACUGUAGUUGGGGGUCCACCUCAGCCGGUCAAAACUUCCUGAGGAGACCUAUGCAUGAACCAAGAAAGUGCUAUGGAUGUGGGUUUCAAUUUUGGAGAUUAAAUAAAUAUUAAUUUUGAAGAUAAAUAAAAAAAAGAUUUACUAACCUACACCAGGCGAAGAUCCCACUUUGAAACCCGCGACGAAGAAAACUUUUGAAAACUCUUACCGCGAUGAGGGUGAAAGAGUAAAAUCAUUUUCUGGAAAAUAAUGAAAACGAGGGGAAAAGCGUAAUAAGAUUUAAGGCAAUUUAGUCUAUGUGGUAGUGCCCUAUUGACAGCAAUAUGGAAUUCAACAUAGCGAAUUUAACAACUUCUCUUAUUAGAAGGGCAUUUUGACACAAUAGUUUCACGGAAGGGUACUUUUUGAGCCGAAAUAUACUUUUAAGGGUAAAUAUGAGUUAUUUUCAGAUAUUUAAGAGUAUUUUUUACUCCUUUUACCUUUUAGUCUACGUGGUAGUGGACCCUAUUGACCGUGCAAUGUGAUGGCAUUUUACAAUUCAUUACAGAAUUGCACUUUUUGACACAAUAGUUUUGACGGGGAGGAGAGUUUUUUGAGCGGAAAUAUAAUUUAAAGGUAAAUAUGAAUAUUUCAGAUAGUUUAAGGAUUCUUUGAGACCCUUUUAUGUUUAAAACUAUAAUGAAUCUUAAUGUCAAAAAACAUUGUAUAAAAUUAAAGGAAAUUAAAAUUCAUGGACAGAUGGUAGGCUAUACUGAAUAUGUUGUAGUAAACAAACAUAUAUAAAACUAUUAAGUUGUAUAAUAUUUUUUAUUUAUUAUAAUCAAACAAAUAAAGUUAUCUUUAAAAUUAAAAUAAAAUGAUUACAUGGAGUCCCAUGAAACAAAAUUUUUGUGACUCUUGAAAAAGAUUACUGGAUACUUCUAGAAAAUAUUUUGACCACUGAUUAUGCAAUUAAUAAAGUUGUAAUUUUGCCCAUAAUAUGUUUAAAUUACAAUAUUGUCAUUGUCCAUCCUAAUCAUGGAAUCUUCUAUAUAAUAGAAAUAUAAUAACUAGAUUCAAGGGUGCCCGUGCUAACGCCAACGCAACGUAUGUUGAUUUUUCUCUUCCAAUUUUAUGUGACAAAAAUGAAUUUGAAAAAAUGAACUAAAUUUUUUAUAUGUGUUUUUUUUUAAAAAAUAUUUUAAAUUAUUAAUUUAUGUACUCUUUUUUGUUGUCAUUUUUGAAUAUAUCUGUUACUUUAUCUAUUUUAUUUUUUAUGAAAUACAGUGAUUUUAGGAAAGUAAACGAAAUUUCUUAUAUGAUUUUCAAUAUAUUUUUAGUUUGUCCAUUUUACUGCGAUUCAUAGUUACUUUUAGUUAUUCACGUUAUUUUCAAACAAUAUAUGCCAAGCUUUUUUUUUGUUUCAAUAAAAAUAAGGGAGUUUCAACAAAAUUUCAUUAUCGGGUUUUACUCAUUUUUUCUAAAAAUUAUUUUAUUGUUCAUUGCUUUUUAAAGUUUUUUUUAAUGUAACUUUCAAAUAUGUAACAAUUUAGAAAUUAAACGAAGAUUAAAGUUUUCAAUCAUUAUAUUUCUAUAAUUAAGAAAAUUAAAUCGCUUUUAAAACUACAUAUAUAUUGCAUAAAUUAGUAAGAAGGAAGCCAACAACUUAUUUUUUAAAAAAAUAUUGAGAGCUCAUUUUUAAAUAGUAAUACAUAAUAUUUCAUUUUUCAUCAUCGAAUCCCUGCUUUUCGGAUUUUAUAUAAAUUAUAAUUUAAUUUAAUUAUUUUUAUUUGUUCAAAAAGAAAAUAACUUCUGAAUUUUAUUUGUUUAUAAAGAUAUUUAAGAUCACAAAAUCAAAAAAAAAAUAUUUCAAUUCACAAAAUUUAAAAAUAUACAUAUAAAUUUUAAUUUUAAUAUUUGAUUGGGUUCACCUAAAUAUUAUACUUGAUAUAUAAUUAUUAAGAGCUAAGCGUAUCAUUAAUCUAUUUACUUUCGUAUAAUAAAUAGAUAUAGCAAUAACUCUUAAAAAAUGAGAAAUAAAAACGAAAUGAGAUAUACUAAUAAUAAUCACUAAAGAUUUUCUAGAACUAGUUUAAAUUUCUUGUUAUCAAUCGUGUUAGUUUUUUUGCUUGCAUAAAUUUCAUUUUUACUUCGAUCAUCAUUCACUUCAAUAUAUAGAAUAAUGUUUCUAGAAUUAUUUAUUCUUGAUAAAUUAAUUGUUAGAAUGAAUUACACAUUUUAUCUUAGUCGUCUUAUACAAAGUAUCACCUAUUUUUUUUAUUUGUCAAGUUACUUUUUAAGAUUUUUUAUUUAUUUCAGUCUACUAUAUAUUAUUAAUUUAUCACACUUUAUUUAUUUUCAAGUUAUUAUAGAGUCAAAAUAAAGAUUGGAAAAUAAUUAAUUCAUGAUACUUUUUAUAUAAAAAGUAGGCAUAUAUUAUAAGCAUAAUGAAUAGAAAAAAAUAUUAAGAAUUAAUUAUUAAGUAAUAGUAAAGUAGCAGUAAUUAUAAAUAGAUAUAACAAUCUCACAAAAGAAAAGAAGUGAAGUGAUAACAAAAUAAGUUAAUGGUAAUAAUAAUACUUAAAAUAUUCUAGAACUAUUAUUUUUUUUUUUUUUUGUUAUCAUUCUUCAUAGAUUUUUUUUGUUAGCCAUGUGAAUUAUAUUUUGCCUGUAACGACCUGUUUAGUCGUUUGGAGCAGCAGAGUUAAUUUCCUGAAAAUCACUCGUUGGGUCGAUCGGAUCCACGACGAAACCGUUUCAAAAAAUGGGCCCAAAAAAAAAACGAACCGGACGUCGAGGGUGUCUCGUGCCAAAACACUUAGAAUUUAGAAAUUUGGUACUGAGAUCGACCUCUGAACUUCACGACGAAAUGGAGGACGGAACCGUUGAGGGGCUCGACGGACGUCAAAAUCCUUACCGCAGAAUUAACUCUCUGAACCUUGUGCACGGAACGUGCGGACGGACCGUCAAGUUGUGACGGACCGUCACAGGCUGCGUGACCUGACUGGUCCGGAUUUUCUGUUAAUAUUUUAGGGCGCGAUUUUGGACUAUUCUACUUUUAUACACUUAUCAAGUUUAGUGGUUUAAUGGUUAAUAAUUUAAUUACUUGGGGUUUAAAGAGAGAACCUUGGAACAAAUAGUGGGAUAUUUUAUCAUCUUUUUAUACUUAAUUUAUAUGCUAAUUGGUAAAAGAAAGAGGGUUUGAAUAAAAAAGAAAAAAGAGCAGAGAGAGGGGAGAACGAUCGAUUGAGAGAGAAGAAGAACGCAGCUUUGGGAAAGUAGAUUGCUUGAUCACAAUCCUUCGGUGGAGGUAGGUUAAUGGUUUACUUGCUAUUCGUAGUAAACCUUAAUUAGCGAAUGAUAUGUUUUGGGUAUGUUGUAAACCCUUUAUAUGCUUAUUGUAUGCUUUGCAGAAGUGAUUAUUAUUGUGAUAAAUAAGCAUGAUGAAGCCUUUGAUCCUAAAUCUUGAAAAUCCUAAUCUACUUUGUUAAUGAUGAUGCUUUGGUAUAAAGAAGGCUUGAUGAACGAAAGUAGUAAAGAUUAGGGGAUCGGAGUGUCACGUUCCGACACCCAGGAUAGUAUAUGCGAUCGGGUUGCCAACGUUCCGGUACCAGGAUAGUAUAAUGAGGAUCGGAGUGUCACGUCGACACCAGGAUAGUAUAAGUGGAUCGGGUGCCACGUUCCGGUCCAGGAUAGUAAUAAUGAGGAUCGGAGUGCCACGUUCCGGUACAAGGAUAUUAUAUGAGGUCGGAUGUCACGUUCCCGACACCAGGAUAGUAUAGUGGAUUCGGGUGCCACGUUCCGGUACCAGGAUCAGUAUGGAUGAAGGAUCGGAGUGUCACGUUCGACACCAGGAAUAGUAUAUGGAUCGGGGUGCUCAGUACCAGACACGAGAGAAAUAAAGAAUAAUGAUCUUGAAAGAUGUUUAAUUAACUCAAUUUAAAUGAACGCUAAUUCCAAAUGAGUAUAGAGGGGAGGCAGUGAGUCCUCAUUGAUUGUGGCUUGGUGUUGUUGACCAAGAGUUAUGAUAAUUAUAAAUGCGCAUGUUGAGUAUUGUAGUUGAUUUUAGAUAUAUCUGAUAUAUAUCUGUUUUCUAUUUUUGAGUUGGCCGAUGAUAUCUACUCAGUCUCGUAGUUUUUGUACUGACGCCCUACUUGUAAUUGUUUUUGUCUUUGUUAUUUGUGGAGUGCAGCAAACGUACGUCGUCUUCAAUCAACGCAAACUCUAAGCCCGUCUUCAAUUACAACCGGAUUUCAGGGUGAGCUAACGUUCCUAGCUUGGACUGGAUCUUUUCUUCAUGUCUUGAUGCCUUGAAGUUCCGGAAUGGACUAGUUUUUUUAUUUAUUCUAUAGCUUUUCUAAAUACUCUUAGAAUUCAGUAAUUUGAGGAUAGACUUGUUCUUGUGAUGAUGACUUCCAGAUUUUGGGAAUAAUAAGUAUUAGAGUUUUUAGACGUUUAUUACAUUCAACAAGAUUAUAUACAUAUAUAAGAAGAUUUAGUCUUUCCGCAUUAUAAUUCUGUUUAUUAUGGUUCAAAUGUUGGGGUUUAGAUUGGUUGGUUUCGCUCACAUAGGGGGUAGUGUGGGUGCCACUCGGGUCCCGCUUUGGUCGUGACAUUUGCCCUUGAUCUAUUAUUCACUUUACAUAUAUAGAAGAUGUUUCUAGUAUUAUAUCAAUUAUCUUUGCUUAUAGAUUUUUGUUAGCGUGUGAAAUUAAUUUUGGACCUUAAUCGUCCUCCACUUCACUCUUCUAUAUAAUUGAAUAGAAAUAACAUUAUAUAAAAUAAAUAUUUAUAAAUGUUAUAAGUUUUCUAUAUCCUUUUUUUAUAGUGAUUAAUUAACAAAUAGGUAAAUCGGAUAUGUUCGGGUAAAAUAAAUAUAUAUGAGAAUGUAUUUAUUGUGAUAUAUGGCAAUUCAUCAAUAGUCAGUCUCUAAUAAUUUAUAUAUUAGUAGUGAAGUAUAUGUUAAAUUUUAAAACGAGGAUUUUACAUAAGUGGAGAAGACUUCUUUUCUUUUUUAUUUUCUCACGAGAUUUUACAUUUUAAAAUUAGUUUAUAACUUAACAUUAAAUUACUUUAUAUGUAUUUUACUUAUUCAAACUCUCACUAUCAAUAUUGUACAUUUGUUUAUUUUUGGUCUUCAUAUUAACCCUAGUAUAGCCUUGCUAAACUAAAUUUUGAAAAUUAUUAUAGUAAGGUGUUUGUUUCCUCACCUCAUAUAUUUACAUCAUAUGCAUAAAAAUUAUGUUAAAUGAAUCAACAAUAUUUUUUUUAUUUAUUUUUAAGAGAGCUAGUUAUUUGGGGCCGCUAAAGCCUACUUCAAAAUUAGGCAAAUCAAAAGAAGGAAGUGUACUAUCAACAAGUAAAAAUGUCAACCUACUCUAAAAAGUUUGGACAAUUUUUAAAGAUAACUGAAAUACUAGAGACAUUAGUAAAUAUUGCGUGAAUCACUUAAUAAAUCGAAAAACAUAAUAUUUUGGAGAUAGUUUUACUAAAAUAUUUUUAACAAUAAACUUGAAUGUUGUACAUAUUUAUUGAAUUGUGGGUAUAGAGACAAUUUUUAGCUUUUUUUCUGAUUUAACAAUAUAUUAAUCGCGAAAGAAGUCAUGUGUUCUUAAUAAAUAAUCGCUAAUGGCAAUUAUUUGCUGCUAAAAAUUCUUCCUCUAAUAAACUUAUUUACACUUUUAGCGUUUAAGACGCAAUGUCCAUCUUAAACUAAUAAUAUUUGGGAAAAAAAAAGGAGGAAAUAAAUUAAACUCAAUUGGGGGAUAACAAUUUUCUUUUAAUUAGUAUGUUAUAUAUACAUUAUUUCAAUUAUACUUUCGAGUUUUUGAUAUACGAAAAUAUAAUGUCAAACUUUAAGAGCAAGAAUUUACAAAAUGAGAACGACUUUUUUUUAAAAUAUAAUGUCCAAACUUUAAAUGACAAGAUUUACAAACCAUGAGACCGACCUUUUUUUUUAUUAUAACGUUUUUUUAUAUAUUAUAUAUAUACAUACACACACACAUCUAUAUCCAUAAUAUCAUUGACUCUUAUUAUAGAUAGGAAAGAGGUUUAAAAUAUAUCAUUGAAACUUUCGAAAAAAACUCAUGUUAUUCAUCAGUUUAAAAGUUUGGUCUCAUUUAUGCCAUUAACCUGUUUAAAAAGAUUCAUUUCUUGCCAUUAUUUUUUAUAAUGGUUUUCGCAAAACCAUUUUUAAUACGUGACCAAUUUAACUCGGCUACGUCCUCCCAUUUAUUUAAUUAAAAAUCAUCAUUCUAAAAAAAAUUGCAUUCAUUUUUUUUUUGAUUUUUUUAUUAAUAUUUGAUGAAUGGCAAUUGAAUUCAGUGGAUUUUCUUAAUUUGGGCGGGUCUUUUAUUUGAGUGGGGUUUUAUUUAUGUUUUUCUUCAGAAUUGAUAUCAAAAAAAAAUAAAAAAUGAUGUGGCCGAAUCAUAACUUUGUCACGUGGUGAAAAGGGUUGGGCCAAAUCGCGCCGUUAAAAACUAAUGGCAGAAAUGAGUCUUUUUCCUAAAUGGUAAUAACAUGAACGAGUUCAAACUUUUAACGGAUCACAUAAUGAAGAUCUUUUCUAAAAGUUCAACCGGCAUAUUUGAGCUUUUUCCCUUAUUUAAAAAAAGUGCUUACAUAACACUCAUUUAUUACAUAAAUAUUUCUAAAAUAUACCAUUUUUUCUAACGGGAGUGAAAAAAAUAUUUUUUUAAACAUAAUUUUUUCAUUUUUUUAAGAAAGUAAAAUCUUGAAUAUAUUAUCUUCCACUUUCUAGAAAUAUUUAUGCCUACAAGAUUUUUUUUUAUUUUUAAAAUUAAAAUUAAUAUUUUCACUUCCAUUAGAUUGAUGAAGAUAUAUCUGAAUCACUUUUUAUAAAAUGGUAAGGAUAUGUAUGAACUCUUAUUUAAUCAAAAUGUGAAUUAUUUUUAUAAUGAGCGAUAUAAAAAUUUUAAUUGCAAAGUUAUGAAGACUUUUUAUUUAGGGAAAAGGGUCUGAUAUACCCCUCAACUUUCAUUUAGAGCUGAUAUGGCCCUUGUGUGAAAGUGGCAUCAUAUAUACAUUAGCUUGUAAAACAAAUGGCUCACAUAUACCCUUUCCUCUAACGGAAAUGGAAAAAAUAAUCUUUACUAAUUUUUUAAUAAUUUUUUUGUCUAAAAAUUAUAUCCCAUAUGAGUAAAUUUAAUCCGUCGUAAAACAUAUUUUUUUUAAACCUUUUUUUAGUUUCAAAUGACUAUUUAUAAUUAUUAUUUUGGAUAAUCAAAUUUAUUUAUGUUUCACUAAUAUUCUUGUAAAGACUUAUUGUUAGAUGAACCAAUUUUUUCUUCGAUACCGAAUUAAAAUUACAAUACAGCACAAAAAAUAGUUUAAAUUUUUUCUCUUUAAACUAAGGAAUUGGAACAGAAAACAUAAGAAUAGAAAACUCAAAUAAUUAUAAUAAAAAAGUCAAAAAAUAAUUUAUAUAAUGAACAAAUAAAUAUCGCUGAACUUUUGAUAGAAGAAUCAUAUAUAUCCCUAAAUAAUUUUUUUAAAAAAUUAAGUAAUAAAUAUGCCAAUUUAAACUAAUUUUUUUAACUUCCGUUAAAUGAAGUGGUAUAUAUGAAGCCAUUUUGUAACGUGGAGGGGUAUAUGUGAGCGCAGCCGUUUGUAUACACGGUAAGGGCAAUAUAUGAAGCACUUUUAUAACGGGGGCGUAUUAUUAGCUCAAUAAACAAAGUUGAGGAGUAAUAUCAGACCUUUUUCUUUUAUUUAUUGUAUAAAAGCUUUCAUAUACUAGUUACAUAUUUAAAUAUUGAAAAUGUUGAUAAGAGAUACCCAUUAAAUGCUAAAGUAAUUGGUAUUGUUAAAAAAUUUCCUUUUAUUUUAUUGUAAUAUAUCUAACAUCCUCGUACUUCACUAACUAAGAAUAAAACUAAGAAUCAAGAAUAAUCAUUUUUUUUGGAAAUAAAUAGGAAAUUCCUGAAAAAUUUACCAGUUGUAAAAAGUGAGUUUUUGGUCAAUCUUCAAACGACCAUAACUCCCAGCUUAGGAGGACGUUUAGGUGUGAGUUCCUUAUUGGUUGGAAAUCCCUUGGAAAGAAAUUUCCAAACGCCAAGUUUGUACAUUUUAAGAUGUGCGUAUGAAGGAGAUAUGAUUUCGAAAGUUUUGGUUUGUUGGAGUGAGGAAAAUUCAAUCCGGAUUUAGUAGGAUAAAGUAGUCUUUUCACUCUAUAUUUCUAAUUCGUUUUUAAAGGGUUUUAUUAGGGGUAAAUCAAGUCCAUAUUCAGUUUUGAAACAGUUGAGAACGCUCAUGGCUUGGGAGAAAAGAGAGAGACCAAAUUUCUUCAAAGAAGCUCAGGUUUCGCUAGAGGAAUUCAUCGGGGGUGAUCUCUAUUCGAGGUAUAAUGAGUAUCUUUCUUAUGUUGGUCGUUCACCCCACACACCACUGUUUUAUUUAGACAAUUUUUGUAUUGAUUGAAUAAUGAAUCUUGAAGUUCUUGAUGAGCCAAUUGUUGAUCCUUAUUGGUAGAGUUGUAAGUGUCUUUAGUUGGUGUUGUUCGUAUUUUCAGGCUGUUUUACGAGUCUAACUAUUGGGUAAUGAGUUAGUAUUAGUGAUUGAUACGCUCAAACUUACUUUUUAAAUAAGAAGUAAGCAGUAAAUGGGGUUUCUAUCUCCUAAAUAAAUGAAAAUACUAAAGCGAAAUUAAGGGGACAACUAACCUUCGAUGUUGGAGUUUAAUCACUUAAUCAAAGUAACUAGGGUUUACGUGUUUCCCCCCACAGGUUUCAUAACUUGAUAAUUCUAAAUAUAACAUUCUUUUCUUUUCUUGUAUCUUGCAUUUGCAAGUGAUAAGUUAUGUAUUUCUAAAUCCUUGGUCGCGGCAUCUAGAAAAUUUUCACUCGGCAACCGGUUGGUCCGACUACGUGUGGUUUUCGCUAUAAUAACCCUUAUUAUUUACCUCAUAUUAAGCAUCCGUAUUCGUAUUUGACUAAGUUAUUACCCCGUACCAAUAAUAUCAGCCCUAUUACGAUAGUAUACACUAAAUUUAUUAUUGGAUAAUUUUUCUAUUUCUUCUCUCUUGGUCCGACAAGUAGCAUUAAAGCGCGAGUUCCUAACGUUGGCCAUCCGUUAAAGACUUCCAAGCGAAAGAAUUAUCAAUACAUGCAAGACACUAUUCUAGAAUUGUUAUUUUUACGUUGAUUUUACUCAUUAUUCGCCUAUGGUUCCCAACUACCCUAAUUAUGGAGUUUAGUUACCAUAAUCAUAAUCAAAUAAUUCCAAAUAUAUGAUAUAAGAAUUCAUGCACUUACUUCAAUGAGAAAGAGUUAAAGAUCAAAAGUUACGCUUGUUAUCACAAUCAAUUACAAGAAUAUAAAUAUCAGAAUCUCACAAAAAGUCCUAAAAAAUAAUCAAAGAGUCUAACAAUAAUCAAGGGCUAUACCAAUAAUCCAGAGUCUACCUCAAAAACGAGGUUUUUUCAAACUAUUUAUAAAUAAAACUAAUUACAUAAGGACUCUAUUUUGCUGGAAAUCUGUCAAACGCGGCUGGGUUCAACGGACCUCGGCGACGGAGCGUCGUGGUCACGACGGCUCCGUCAUGGAACGACGGACCGUCAGUGGAUCCGUCGUCCGCAUACCUUGAUGCAAUUUCUUAUGCUGCUCUCGCUCUUCAUUACCCUCGACGCAAGGUUGAUGGAUCGUUACAGGCACAACGAUCCGUCGAGGGUCUCCGUUCAAAACACUUGAACUCUUGGACAUAUGGGUACUGGGACUACUUCUCUGAACUUAUGCGAUGACUGCAGGACGGACCGUCAUGGAUACGACGGUGUCACGCAUUUUGUUAAACCCCACCCUUGGUCAGACUUCCCAUUUUUCGCUUCAGGCAGUGCUACGUUGGCCACCUACGGACCGUCACGAGCAUGACGGACCCGUCACAUAGGCAUGACGGAACGUCACAAGCAUGACUGGACCGUCACAGCAUGAGGACGGUCACAAGCUCCGUAGGUGGUCUCUUCUGCUAUUCUUUGCUCAAAACCUCCGCAUUCAAUUUUUGGCUAGAUUUCCUGAAAUAAGGAGAAACUUAUAUAAACAUUAGCAGCAAAAAGAAUUUUUUGGACAGCACUAACUUAAGGAAAAAAUAUUAAAUAAUACGUGAACCAUAGUAUAUCAGUGAUGCCUAAAGUUGUUUGGGAUAAAUCAUGAAUGUUUUGCAGGUUUAGGUUGAAAAUGCGGAGAAGAAAAGUCAGAAAACUCGUUGACAGGUCUUGUGGCAAUUCCGUGCUACAAGAGCCCUCAGGACAGACUCUUUCUGUCAGGCUCUGGCGCGCCGCCGUGCAGCUAGAGCGGCCUGAAGACAGUGUCUGUCGUCAGGCUCUGGUGCCCCGCGCCUCUCAGAGCGCAAGGGUCAGCCUGGUGAUUCCUUAUUCUCUCUCACCAUCUUUUCGUACGAGUUCCUAAGUGACGGUUCUAUUAUUUCUAGUUCGUUCCAAUAACUCUAAGUAAAUAUAAAACAUUAUGAAAUCAAUCCUAUAAUGAAUCAGGAUCGUGAAUUUUUGCAUAAUCCAAUCAAGGGAAGUUAAGAUCAAGUCAAAAAAGUUUAAGAGUCAAGUUAAAAGUUAUAAAAAACAGUUCAAAGUAGUUCCUAAAGCAUUCAAGAGUUUUAACAAACAUUUUACUUUGUUUUAAGGAUUCAAGCAUGAGUUGAGCAAAAGAGUAAAAGAGUUGAGUUAAAUUUUCAAAAGCUAUAAGGGAACUAGUAUUCCCUAAGAGUUAGUUUUCAAGUUAAAGCAAAUAGUAACAAGUUCGAGGUUCAGCUUCUCAAGAGUAGAAGGGAACUAAGUAGUCUCUUAACAGUUUAACAAGAAUGUUUUUCAACUUUUGAGAAGAAAGGAAGCUAAGACUUCCACAGAGCCUAUGAAUGUUUUAGUUAAAAGAAAAAGGAAACUAUGAUUUCUAAGAAAGUUUUUGAAGCAAAGUUUGAGAAAUUCAUCUCAAACUAGCAGAAGCAAGUUGUUUUAAAAAAACAUAUGAGCUAAGUAUUUUGGGAGUAGUAUUGAGCACGAUAUGGUGAGCGCGAGUUCAUAUUAACGUCAAGUCUCCAUAAACCAUUGAGCAACAUGGGAUAUAAAAGAUAUACUUUUAGAUGAUUCGCUUAGUAUUUUAGCAUAGAUAGUGUGAUCCUCUUAGUAGUUUCAAGGUUCUAUACGACGACAAGGUAUAGAGUGGUCCUCUUGCAACAUGAGGUAAUACGUUUGUAACCAUCACUUAGCUCAUACGAUGGUUGUCCGUUAGAUAAAUCUCUCAAAGAAAUUAUAAUACUUUCAAAUUAUAUGAGUAAAGUUGAGUUUUUUAUUGAUUUAUCUUUAAUGACUAAGUGUUUACCUGUUUUUUCAAGCUUUUCUUUUAAUAUCGCCAUGUGAUCCUAUACUGGCUUUAUAUUGAGUCGUUAUUAAUUGAAGUUGAGCAGGAACCAGGUAAGUUGCUUCCUUACUCCUUUCAAGCCUUAUAGUAGUGUUUAGGUAUUGCCAUUACGCAUACAUCGUUUGGCUGCAUGCAUAGUCUUUAAUGCCAGAAGCAGGGUAAUUAGGAUCAACAUGCAGCACUCUUGUUGAACCAGUUUGAGGCUCUAGAGUCAAGUGGUCGAGCCUCAUGCAUUCGGAGGAUCCUUUUUAUUGCUAUCUAGUUAGUUCAAUAGAUGUUGUGGGGUUUGUCCCAACAUUCAUCUCAGUCAGUUAGAGGGUUUCAUAUGACGGAUAGUAGUAGUUAGUUGUUCUCUUUUAUUUCAGAUUCUAUUAUUUGAGACUUAGUGCAAAUUUUGGCCAAGGACAGUAUUUAAAGUCAUUUUUAUGAGAGUUCUUGCAUUCUAUAGACUGAAUUAAGUUGAGUCUUCUGUGAGUUAAGUAGUCAGACCACGAGUUCCCUUGAGGGCGCAGCAUGGUCACCAGUGCUAGUCCAACCCAGGGUAUAAAUGCUCGGAGCAUGCUAAUAUAUGCAUUUUUCAUAUACGACUUACGUAUUCAGAUACUUUUAACAUUUUGUUUAGAGCAGAAGAGUCUUAACUUAUUAUGCUAGGUGAAGUAUUGAUAUAUUGGGAUAUUGGUACUUAUUAUUAUGUUUACUUUAAUCUUAUUUAUAAGUUACAACACACGUAAGCACACACAAGGUGCUCAACAUGUGUGCUUGAAGUAAAAUUAAUUUUGAAUGAGGUUUAAUUUGGUCUUUUAUAUAAUACUCAAUGAUUUUCGCUUUUUUACCAACUUUUAAAACACACUUGUAAAAAUGCAAAAUUGCUUUUAUGGACAUCAAAUGACCAAAAACCGCGCGAGUAUCCUUUAACCUCAUUGUAUAUGUUAUAGAACAUUGCAAUUGGUUGAAACUGAACUUUAAAUGUAAGUUGCAAUUUAUUAUUUUUCUUCUUGUCUAAAACUGCCCUAUGCGGCUUAAGCUUUAUUUUUAUCAACUAUUUGUUUAUUAGUGGAGAAAUAGCUCUUUAGAUGAGUCCUUUUAAGCGGUACCGCGAGCUAGGAUAUUAAUAUAUGUCUUUUCGUUUUAUUUUAUGUCAUUUGUUACUAAAAAUAGGUAAUAUUAAUAUUUAUCAUUUCACAAGUAAUGGUAAUCAUUAUAUAGUAAUGAAAUCGACGUCUCUGAACUCUGUGACGGACGUCAGGUACGACGAACGUCGUGAGCCCGUUUCAAAACACUUCAACUCUUGAGAAUUUUGGUACAGGGAACGAUUCUCCUGAAACGUCAUGACGGAGGUGCAGGACGGACCGUCGAGGUCGAUGGCCGUCACAGAUCCUUAAGUGAAUCGAAGUCCUUUGACGAACCUGCAUGACGGCCGUCGCAGGCACGACGGGCCCGUGCGCAGGUUGGCAUCAGUCUAAGGUCAGAUUUCUUUACACAUUUUAAGGGACGUUUUUGACUAUUCCUUCUUUAAUUUAAAGUUAGUGGUUAAUGUUAAUUAAGUUAAUUACUUGGGUUGGUUAAAGGGUUAAACCUCAAGUUUAAAUUAGUGGGUUAUUAUUGCAUCUUUCAUUCUUAAUUAUAUACUAAUUGGUAAAAGAAAGGGGUUUUGAAUAAAGAAAAUAGAAGAACACAUAAGAGGAGGGGAGAUAUCGAACGAGAAGGGAUAAAAGAAGAGGAGAACACAAAGCUUGGGAAAUUGGCUUGCUUGGAUUUCUUGUUUCGGUGGAGGUAGGUUUUGGUUUUCAUGGCCUAUUCGUAGUAAACUUUAAUAGCGAAUGAUUGUGUUAGUAGUAUUGUAAACCCUUCUAAUUGCUUAAUUGUAAUGCUUGCCAUGAAUGAUGUGAUUAUCGGAAUUAUUGAAUAAAUAAGCAUGAUGAAGUUAUGGAAUCCGCAAUCUUGAAAAGAACCCUAAUUACUUUGUUAUGAUGAUGCCUGGUAAUAAAAGAAGGCUUGAUGAAGCGAAAGGGGUGAGAACAUAAAUCAAAUGGAGUGAGCUCAAAUUUAGUGAAUUUUUUUUUAAAAAAUAUUUUGUUGUUUAACAAUUUUUAAAAUGAAAAUGCUAAACCUUUUUCACAAUUAUGUUUUAUAGUUUUUUUAUCAAUAUCUAGUCGAUGAUAACCAUAAUUUUAAUAUAAAUAAUAUAAUAAGGUAACUUAAUUCUGAAAUUCAAGUAUUGAUAUUUUUGAGAAAAUAUUUAUUUAUAAAUUGUAAAACAUUCAUAAUCUAAUAUUUAAUAUGUUUCUUACUCUCAACGAAUGACACUAAUUCAUCAUGAUUCAAAAUUGUAAGAAGUAAAAAUCAAUACUAAAAAGUGCAACUCAUUAUUAUAUGAAGUUUAAUAUGUAGUUUAUCUAUUGUCGAAAGUUUUCCAAGUAUAUGAUAUAUAAUUCUAUGAUAAAUUAAUUUUUGAUCCCAUAUAUUUAUACUAUUUUCAAAUUUAUCCCGUUAAUUGAUUAUAUAUUUUCUUAAACUACAAUUACGCGAUCAUUAUUUAUCAAUUCUACUUUAUCAACUUUAUAUUCUUCUUUUUAUAUCUUUAGAAUUGUGCUAUUUUUGUUUUCUUAUUUAAGUUACAAUUUUAAAGAUAAAAUAAAUAUUUUUGGAGAUAAAAUAAGUUAAAUAAAAAACUAUAUGAAUACUUAUGUUGAAAAAAAAUAUAUAUAAUUAAAAAAUUGUCCUAUUUUUAUUUUCUUAUUUAAGUCACAAUUUUUAAAGAUAAGAUAAAUAUUAUUUUGAGAUAAAAUAAGUUAAAUAAAACUAUAUGAAUACUUUUGUUUAGAAACAUUAUAUAUAAUUAAAAAAAUUACAUAUAUGAAAGAUUUUAUAAAUUAUACUGGUUAUGUUGUAGUAGUAAUAAACAUAGAUGAACAAUUUGUAUUGUCAAGAGUAUAAAAAUAAAAAUAUUUUUCACAUUAUUAUUAUAUCAAACAAAUACAAAUUGAUUUUCAAAAAGAAUAAUAAAAUGUAUUUGUGGGUCACACAUGAAACAAAAAUAUGUGAUUCUUGAAAAAAAAAUAAUAGAUUCUUCUAGAAAACUAUUUUGACAAUUAAUUAUACAAUUAUAAAUUUAAAACUUAACCCAUAAAAAUAAUUAAAAUUACAAAAUUGUCAUUGAUUGGCCUCAUCAUGACUCUUAUGUAUAAUAGAAACUAGAUAAUUGAAGGCCCGUUCAUGGGCUCAAUAUAAUUAAUUAUUUUUUUCAAUUUUAAGUUAAAAAAAUUAUCCAAAUUAAUAUCUUAUUUUAUCAUAGUUUCUAAAAUUUUCUACUAUUUAAACAAUUACAAAAAUGUCCUCUAAGAUACAUUCUUAUCCUCUGUCGGACACAUCAGUAUCUCCUCUCGAAUACAUUCCUAUCAUUUCUUGAAUACAUCUUUAUCUCAUCCUGAAACAUCCAUAUCCUCUCUGGGAUACAUCUCUCCCCUUUCGGAUACAUUCAUUCUCUCUCGAAUACAUCCCUACCUUCUCGAAAUCAUCGUGAGCUCUAUGUCUGCAAGUUUCCUCAAUAGCAAUGUAUCACGAUCGAUGUAUCCGCAUGUGUUGAUUUAUCUGAAAUUAUUUAAUUUUAAAAAGAUUUCGUAAUUUGAAAAAAGUAGGAAUAUAAUGUAAUUAACUCUUUACUCUAUGACAUAUUUUUCUUUGUAGUCAGUUUCAAAAGAAUGAUGUAUAACAUAUUUAAAUAACAUUUUGACUUUAAAAUAUUCAUUCUAUUCUUAGUAAUAUUAUUUAUAGUCAUAUGAACAUCUAUGGUUUGUUUUAGACCAUGAGUUUUAGAAGUGUUUUUUCUUUUAAAAAUUUUCGUGUUAAGUUAAAUUAAAAUUCCAUAAACCGAAAGGGAGUGAGUACAAACUUUAGAUCAAUUUUAUAUUUAUAAAAUUAAAGUUUUUGUAACUAUUUUGUCUUUUAACAAAAUUUAAAAUGAAAUAAUUCACAAUUAUUUUUAUAGUAUUUUUUUAAAAUCAAUAUUCUAUCAAUAAUAAUAAAUUUUUUUUAAUUUAAAUAAGAUAAUAAAGUAUUUUAAUUUUGAAAUUCAUGUAUUGAUAUCAAUUGAGAAAAUAUUUAAUUUUAAGUUGUAAAACAUUCAUAAUCUAAUAUUUAAUGUGCUCCUUACUCUCGAUGAAUGACACUAAUUUAUAAUAAUUCAAGAUUGCAAGAAGUAGAAAUCGAGACUAAAACGUGCAACUCACUAUUAUAUGAAGGUCACUAUGUAAUUUAUCUAUUGUGGAAGUCUCAUUAGUAUAUGAUAGAUAAUUCUAUGCCAAAUUAAUUUUUGUUUUCAUAUAUUUAUACAAUUUCAAAAUUUAUCCCGUUAAUUGGUUAUGUAUUUUAUUAAACUACAACUGCACUCAUUAUUUCAUCUUUUUUUUUUAUUCUUACAUUAUCAACUCUAUUUUUUUAUCUCUUUAGAAUUGUGAUACUUUUGUUUUCUUAUUUAAAUCACAAUGUUUUAAAGAUAAAACAAAUUUUAUUUUGGAGAUUAAAUAAAUAUUAUUUUGAAGAUAAAAUAAAAAAAAGAUUUACUAACCUACAACCAGGAAGAUCCACUUUGAAACCCAGCGACGAAGAAAACUUUGAAACUCUUAGCCGCGAAAUGAGGGUGAAAGAGUAAAAUCAUUUCUGGAAAAUAAUGAAACGAGGGGGAAAAAAGCGUAAUAAAGAUUUAAGGAAUUAGUCUAUGUGGUAGUGGACCCUAUUGACAUGCAAUAUGGAAUUCACAUAGCAUUUAACAACUUCUCUUAAUUAGAAGGGCAAUUUUGACCCAAUAGUUUCACGGAAAGGGUACUUUUGAGCCGAAAUAUACUUUAAGGGUAAAUAUGAGUUAUUUCAGAUAGUUUAAAAGUAUUUUUUACCCUUUUACUUUUAGUCUACGUGGUAGUGGAACCCUAUUGACGUGCAAUGUGAUGGCAUUUAACAACUUCCAUUAAUAAGAAUUGCACUUUUGACACAAUAGUUUGACGGGGAGGAGAGUUUUGAGCGGAAAUAUAAUUUAAGGUAAAUAUGAAAUAUUUCAGAUAGUUUAAGGAUAUCUUUGACCCUUUUAUGUUAAAACUAUAUGAAUACUUAUGUCUAAAAAACAUUGUAUAAAAUUAAAAGGAAAUUAAAUCAUGGAAGAUGGUAGGUUAUACUGAAUAUGUUGUAGUAACAACAAACAUAUAUAAACUAUUAAGUUGUAUAAAUAUUUUUUAUUUAUUAUAAUCAAACAAAUAAAAGUUAAUUUUUAAAAAUUAAAUAAAAUGAUUACAUGGAGUCACCAUGAAACAAAACUUUUUGUGACUCUUGAAAAAGAUUAUUGGAUACUUCUAGAAAAUUAUUUUGACCACUGAUUAUGCAAUUAUAAAGUUGUAAUUUUGCCCAUAAAUAAUGUUUAAAAUUACAAUAUUGUCAUUGGUCAUCCUAAUCAUGACUCUUCUAUAUAAUAGAAAUAAUAAUAACUAGAUAUCAGGUGCCCGUGCUAACGCAAACGCAACGUAUGUUAGAUUUUUCUUCUUCCAAUUUAUGUGACAAAAAUGAAAUUUGAAAAAAAUGAACUAAAUUUUUUAUAUGUGUUUUUUUUAAAAAUAUUUUAAAUUAUUAAUUUAUGUAUCUUUUUUGUCAUUUUCGAAUAAUAUAUGUUACUUUAUCUAUUUUAUUUUAUAUGAUACAAGUGAUUUUAGGAAAGUAAACGAAAUUUCUUAUAUGAUUUUCAUAUAUUUUUAGUUGUCAUUUUACUGCGAUUCAUAGUACUUUUUAGUUAUUACGUUAUUUUCAAACAAUAUAUGCAACUUUUUUUUUGUUUCAAUAAAAAUAAGGGAGUCAACAAAAUUUCAUUAUGUUUUUUCAACUACAUUUUUCUAAAAAUAUUUUAAAUUGUUACAUUGCUUUUUAAAGUUUUUUUAAAUGUAACUUUCAAAUAUGUAACAAAUUAGAAAUUAAAACGAAGAAUUAAAGUUUUCAAAUCAUUAUAUUUCUAUAUUAGAAUAUUAAAACCUUUAAAACUACAUAUAUAUGCAUAAAUUAGUAGAAGGAAGCCUAACAACUUAUUUUUAAAAAAAUAUAUGAGAGCUCAUUUUAAUAGUAAUACAUACAUAUUUCAUUUUUCAAUAUCCGAAUCCCUCCUUUUCGAUUUAUAUAAAUUUAAUUUAAUUUAAUUUUUAUUUUGUUUCAAAAAGAAAAUAACUUCUGAAUUUUAUUUGUUUAUAAAGCAUAUUUAAGAUCACAAAAUCAAAAAAAAAUUUCAAUUCACAAAAUUUAAAUAUACAUAUAAAUUUUAAUUUUAAUUUUGAUUGGUUCCACCUAAUAUUAUACUUGAUAUAUAAUUAUUAAGAGCUAAGCGUAAUCAUUAUCUAUUUACUUUCGUAUAAUAAAUAGAUAUCACAAUAACUCUUAAAAAAUGAAGAAAUAACGAAAAUGAGGUAAUACUAAUAAUAAUCACUAAAGAUUUUCUAGAACUAGUUAAAUUUCUUGUUAUCAAUCGUGUUAGUUUUUUGCUUGCAUAAAUUACAUUUUUACCUUCGAUCAUCAUUCACUUCAUAUAUAGAAAGAUGUUUCUAGAAUUAUUUAUUCUUGAUAAAUUUUUGUUAGAAUGAAAUUACAUUUUAUUCUUAGUCGUCUUUAAUACAAAGUAUCAUCCUAUUCAUUUUUUAUUUGUCAAGUUACUUUUUAAGAUCUUUUUCUUUAAUUUCAGUCUAAUAUAUAUUAUUAAUUUAUCACACUUAUUUAUUUUCAAGUAUAUUAUUAGAGUCAAAAUAAAGAUGAAAAUAAUUAAUUCAUGAUAACUUUUUAUAUAAAAAGUAGGCAUAUAUUAUAAGCAUAAUGAAUAGAAAAAAAUAUUAAGAAUUAAUUUAAAGUAAUAGUAAAGUAGAGUAAUUAUAAAAUAGAUAUCACAAUAACUCACAAAAGAAAAGAAAGUGAAGUGAUAACAAAAUAAGUUAAUGGUAAUAAUAAUAACUUAAAAUAUUUCUAGAACUAUUAUUUUUAUUUUUUUUUGUUAUCAUUCUUCAUAGAUUUUUGUUAGCAUGAAAUUAUAUUUUUGCUGUAACGACCUAUUUAGUCGUUUGGAGCAGCAGAGUUAAUUUCUGAAAAUCACUGUCUGGGUCGACGGAUCCCACGACAGACCGUCAUGGGCACGACGGACCGUCGAGGGUGUCUCGUGCCAAAACACUUAGAAUUUAGAAAUUUGGGUACUGAGAUCGACUCUCUGAACUUCACGACGAAAUGGCAGGACGGACCGUUGAGGGCUCGACGGACCGUCACAAAUCCUUCCGCAGAAUUAACUCUCUGAACCUUGUGACGGACGUGCAGGACGGACCGUCACAGGCUGCGUGACCCUGACUGGGUCGGAUUUCUGUUAAAUAUUUUAAGGGGCGUUUUGGACUAUUCCUACUUAUAAUUAUAAAGUUAGUGGUUUAAUGUUAAUAAUUUAAUUACUUGGGGGUUAAAAGAGAGAACCUUGAAACAAAUAGUGGGAUAUUUUAUCAUCUUUUAUACUUAAUUAUAUGCUAAUUAGGGUAAAAGAAAGAGGGUUUGAAUAAGAAAAAGAAAAAGAACAGAGAGAGAGGGAGAAACGAUCGAUUGAGAGAGAAGAAGAACGCAGCUUUGGGAAAGUAGAUUGCUUGAUCACAAUCCUUCGGUGGAGGUAGGUUAUGGUUUAUGCUAUUCGUAGUAAACUCUUAAUAGCGAAUGAUAUGUAUUGGGUAGUGUUGUAAACCCUUCUAUAUGCUUAAUUGUAUGCUUGCAUGAAUGUGAUUAUAUAAUUGUGAUAAAAUAAGCAUGAUGAAGCUAUUGAAUCCUAAAUCUUGAAAAUCCUAAUCUACUUUGUUAAUGAUGAUGCCUUGGUAUAAAAGAAGGCUUGAUGAACGAAAGUAGUAAGAUUAGGGGAUCGGAGUGUCACGUUCCGACACCAGGAUAGUAUAUGGAUCGGGUGCCACGUUCCGGUACCAGGAUAGUAUAUGAGGAUCGGAGUGUCACGUUCCGACACCAGGAUAGUAUAUGGAUCGGGUGCCACGUUCCGGUACCAGGAUAGUAUAUGAGGAUCGGAGUGCCACGUUCCGGUACAAGGAUAGUAUAUGAGGAUCGGAGUGUCACGUUCCGACACCAGGAUAGUAUAUGGAUCGGGUGCCACGUUCCGGUACCAGGAUAGUAUGAUGAGGAUCGGAGUGUCACGUUCGGACACCAGGAUAGUAUAUGGAUCGGGGUGUCACGUACCGACACGAGAGAAAUAAAGAUAAUGAAUCUUGAAAGAUGUUAAUAUACUCAAUUUAAUGAACCUAAUUCCCAAAUGAGUAUGAUGGGGAGGCGUGAGUCCUCAUUGAUGUGCUUGGUGUUGUGACCAAGAGUUAUGAUAAUUAUAAAUGCCGCAUGUUGAGUAUUGUAGUUGAUUUUAUGAUAUAUAUCAUAUUAUCUGAUAUAUACUAUUUUCUAUUUUGAGUUGGCCGAUGAUAUCUACUCAGUACUCGUGUUUUGUACUGACCCCUACUUGUAAUUGUUUUUCUUUGUUAUUUGUGGAGUGCAGCAAACGUACCGUCGUCUUCAACUCAACCGCAACUCUAGCCAGUCUUCAUUACACCGGAUUUCAGGGUGAGCUAACGCUUCUAGCUUGGACUGGAUCUUCUUCUUCAUGUCUUGAUGCCUUGAAGUUCCGGCAUGGACUAGCUUUUUAUUUAUUCUAGCUUUCUAGAUACUCUUAGAAUUAGUAAUUUAAGGAUAGAUGUUCUUGUGAUGAUGACUUCCAGAUUUUGGGAAUAAUAAGUAUUGAGUUUUUAGAAGUUAUUUAACCGAUUUUCAUUAAUGAGUUUAAGUCUUCCGCAUUAUAUUCUGUUUAUUAUGGUUCAAAUGUUGGGGUUUAGAUUGGUUGGUUCGCUCACAUAGGAGGGUAAGUGUGGGUGCCACUCGCGGCCCGCUUUGGGUCGUGACAUUUGCCCUUGAUUAUUAUUUACUUCAUAUAUAGAAAGAUGUUUCUAGUAUUAUCAAUUAUCUUGCUUAAUAGAUUUUUGUUAGCGUGAAAUUACAUUUUUGCCCUUAAUCGUCCUCCCACUUCACUCUUCUAUAUAAUUGAAUAGAAAUACAUUAUAUAAAAUAAAUAUUUAUAAAUGAUUAUAAGUUUUCUAUAUCCUUUUUAUAGUGAUUAAUUUACAAUAGGUAAAUGGAUAUGUAUGGGUAAUAAAAUAUAUAUGAGAAUAGUAAUUUAAUUGUGAUAUAUGGCAAAUUCAUCAAAUAGUCAGUCUCUAAUAAUUUAUAUAUUAGUAGUGAAGUAUAAUGUUAAAUUUUAAACGAGGAUUUACAUAACGUGAGAAAGACUUCUUUUCUUUUUUAUUUUCUCAAGAGAUUUUUACAUUUUAAAAUUAGUUUAUAACUUAACAUUAAAUUACUUUAUAUGUAUUUUACUUAUUCAAACUCUCACAUAAUUACUUGUACAUUUGUUUAUUUAUGGUCUUCAUAUAUAACCCCUAGUAUAGCCUUGCUAAACUAAAUUUUGAAAAUUAUUACUAGUAAGGUGUUUGUUUCCUCACCUCAUAUAUUUACAUCAUAUGCAUAAAAAUUAUGUAAAAUGAAUAACAUAUUUUUUUAUUUAUUUUUAAAGAGACUAGUUAUUUGGGGCCGCUAAAGCCUACUUCAAAAUUAGCAAAUCAAAAGAAAGGAAGUGUACCUAUCAACCAAGUAAAAAUGUCAACUACUUCUAAAAAGUUUGGACAAUUUUUAAGACUAUGAAAAUAUAGAGACAUAGUAAAAUAUUGCGUGAAUCACUUAAUAAAAUCGAAAACAUAAUAUAUUGGAGAUAGUUUUACUAAAAAUAAUUUUACAAUAAAAUUGAAAUGUGUACAUAUUUAUUGAAUUGUGGGUAUAGAGACAAUUUUUAAGCUUUUUUCUGAUUUACAUAUAUUAAAUCGCGAAAGAAGUCAUGUGUUCUUAAUAAAAUAAUCGCUAAUGGCAAUUAUAUUUGCUGCUAAAAUUCUUCCUCUAAAUAACUUAAUUUACACUUUUAGCGUUUAAGACGCAAUGUCCAUCUUAAACUAAUAAAUAUGAGAAAUAAAUAAACUCAAUUGGGGGAUAACAAUUUCUUAAUUAGUAUGUUAUAUAUACAUUAUUUCAAUUAUACUUUCGAGUUUUGAUAUUACGAAAAUAUAAUGUCAAACUUUAAAGACAAGAAUUUACAAAUGAGAACGACUUUUUUUUAAAAAUAUAAUGUCAAACUUUAAAGACAAGAAUUUACAAACCAUGAGAACGACUUUUUUUUAAUUAUACGUUUUAUUAUAUAUAUAUAUAUAUAUAUACAUACACACACACAUAUAUAUACAUAUAUCAUUGACUCUAUAUAUAUAAGAUAGGAAAGAGGUUAAAAUAUAUCAUUGAACUUUCAGAAAAAAACUCAUUUAUUCAUCAGUUAAAAGUUUGGCUCAUUUAUGCCAUUACCGUUUAAAAAAGAUUCAUUCUUGCCAUUAUUUUUUAAUAAUGGUUUCGCAAAACCAUUUUUAAUACGUGACCAAUUAUAAUUCGGCUACGUCCUCAAUUUAUUUAAUUAAAAAAUCAUCAUUCUAAAAAAAAUUGAAUUCAUUUUUUUUGAUUUUUUUAUUAAAUAAAUUGAUGACAUGGCUAAUUAGAAUUCAGUGGGAUUUCUUAAAUUUGGGCGGGUCUUUAUUUGAGUGGGGUUUUUAUUUAAUGUUUUCUCAGAAUUGAUUUUUUAUCAAAAAAAAAUAAAAAUGAUGUGGCCGAAUCAUAACUUGUCACGUGUGAAAAGUGGUUGGGCAAAAUCGCCGUUAAAAACUAAUGGCAUGAAUGAGUCUUUUCCUAAAUGGUAAUAACAUGAACGAGUCAAACUUUUAACGGAUGACAUAAAUGAGUCUUUUCUAAAAGUUCAACGGCAUAUUUGAGCUUUUUCACUUAUUAAAAAAGUGGCUUACAUACACUCAUAUUAUUACAUAAAUAUUCUAAAAUAUACCAUUUUGUUCUAACGGGAGUGAAAACAAAUAUUUUUUUAAACAUAAUUUUUUAUUUUUAAGAAGUAAAAUCUGAAUAUAUUAUCUUCCACUUUCCUAGAAAAUAUUAUCCUACAAGAUUUUUUAUUUUUAAAAAUUAAAAUUAAUAUUUUCACUUCCAUUAGAUGAUGAAGAUAUACCUGAAUCACUUUUAUAAUGGUAAGGAUAUGUAUGAACUCUUUUAAUUCAAAUGUGAAUUAUUUUAUAAUGAGCGAUAUAACAAUUUUAAAUUGCAAAGUUAUGAAGACCUUUUUAUUUAGGGAAAAGGGUCUGAUAUACCCCUCAACUUUGUCAUUUAGAGCUGAUAUGCCCCUUGUUGUGAAAGUGGCUCAUAUAUACCCUUACUUGUAAACAAAUGGCUCACAUAUACCCUUUUCCUCUAACGGAAAUGGAAAAAAAAAUAAUUUUAAUCUAAUUUUUUAAUAUUUUUUGUCUAAAAAUUAUAAUCCCAUAUGAGUAAAUUUAAUCCUCGUAAAACAUAUUUUUUUAACCUUUUUUAGUUUCAAUGACUAAUUUAUAAUUAUUAUUUUGAUAAUCAAAUUUAUUUAUGUUUCACUAAUAUUCUUGUAAAACUUAUUGUAGAUAACCAAAUUUUUUCUUCGAAUAUGAAAUUAAAUUACAAUACACACAAAAAAUAGUUUAAAUUUUUUCUCUUUAAACUAAGGAUUGAAAGAAAAAACAUAAGAAUAAGAAACUCAAAUAAUUAUAAUAAAAAAAGUCAAAAAAUAAUUUAUAUAUGAAAAAAAUCAAAAUAUACCUUGAACUUUGAUAGAAGAAUCAUAUAUAUCCCUAAAUAAUUUUUUAAAAAAAAUUACAAGUAAUAAAUAUCAAUUUAAAACUAAUUUUUUAACUUCCGUUAAAUGAAGGGUAUAUAUGAGCCAUUUUGUAACGGGAGGGGUAUAUGUGAGCCGUUUGUAUAACGGUAAGGGCAUAUAUGAGCCACUUUUAUAACGGGGGGUAUAUUAGCUCCAAAUAACAAAGUUGAGGGGUAUAUCAGACUCUUUUUCCUUUUAUUUAUUGUAUAAAAGCAUUUCAUAUACUAGUUACAUAUUUAAAUAUUGAAAAUGUUGAUAAGAGAUCCCAUUAAAUGCUAAAGUAUUGGUAUUUUAAAAAAAUUUCCUUUUAUUUAUUGUAUAUAUCUAACAUCUCGUAACUUCAAAUAACUAAGAAUAAACUAAGAAAUCAAGAAUAAUCAUUUUUGGAAAUAAAUAGGAAAUCUGAAAAAUUUCCCAAGUGUAAAAGUGAGUUUUUGGUCAAUUUCAAACGACCAUAACUCCCAGCUUAGGAGGAGUUAGUGUGAGUUCCUUAUAUGGUUGGAAAUCCCUUGGAAAGAAAUUUCCAACAACGCCAAGUUUGUACAUUUUAGAUGUCGUAUGAAGGAGAUAUGACUUUCGAAAGUUUGGUUGUUGGAGUGAGGAAAAUUCAAUCCGGAUUUAGUAAGGAUAAAGUAGUCUUUUCACCCUAGUAUUUUCUAAUUCGUUUUAAGGGUUUAUUAGGGGUAAAAUCAAGUCCAUAUUCAGUUUUGAAAAAGUUGAGAACGCUCAUGGCUUGGGAGAAAAGAGAAGAGAAGAGAAGAGAAAACCAAAAUUUCUUCAAGAACGCUAAGGUUUCGCUAGAGGAAUUCAUCGGGGGUGAUCUCUAUCGAGGUAUAUGAGAUCUUUCUAUGUUGGGUUCGUUCACCCACACACCAACAUGUUUAUUUAGCAAUUUUUGUAUUGAUUGAAUAAUGAAUCUUGAAGUUCUUGAUGAGCAAUUGUUGAAUCCUUAUUGGUAGAGUUGUAGUGUACCUUUAGUUGGUGUUGAUUCGUAUUUUCAGGCUGUUUUACGAGUCUAAACUAUUGGGUAUUGAGUAUAUUAGUGAUUGAUACGCUCAAACUUACUUUUUAAAUAAGAAGUAAAGCAGUAAAUGGGGGUUUCUAUUCCUAAAUAAAUGAAAAUAACUAGCGAAAUUAAAGGAGACAACUAACAACUUCGAAUGUUGGAGUUUAAUCACUUAAUCAAAGUAACUAGGGUUUACGUGUUCCCCACAGGUUCAUAACUUGAUAAUUCUAACUAUAACAAUUCUUUCCUAGUAUCUUGCAUGCAAAGUGAUAAGUUAUGUAUUUCUAAAUCCUUGGUCCGGCAUCUAGAAAAUUUCACUCGGCACCUUGGUCCGACUACGUGUGUUGCUAUACUAACCCUUAUAUUUACCUCAUAUUAAGCAUCGUAUUCGAUAUUUGACUAAGUUAUUACCCCGUACCAAUCAAUACUAGCCUAUUAGAUAGUAUACACUAAAUUUAUAUUGAUAAUUCUUUUCCUAUUAUCUACCUCCUUGGUCCGACAAGUAGCAUUAAGGCGAGUUCUAACGUUGGCCAUCCGUUAAAAAGACUUCCAAGCGAAAGAAUUAUCAAUACAUGCAAGACACUAUUCUAGAAUUGUUAUUUUAGUUAGAUUUUACCUCAUUAUUCGCCUAUGGUUCCCACAACCCUAAUUAUGGAGUUUAGUUACCCAUAAUCAUAAUCACAAUAUUCAAAUAUAUGAUAUAAGAAUUCAUGCACUUACUUCAAUGAGAAAGAGUAAAAUCCAAAAGUUAGCUUGAUUAAUCAACAAUCAAUUACAAGAAUAUCAAAAUAAUCAAGAAUCUCACAAAAAGUCUAAAAAAUAAUCAAGAGUCUAACAAUAAUCAAGGGCCUAACCAAAUAAUCCAGAGUCUAACCUCAAAAACGAGGUUUUUCAAACUAUUUAUAAAAAAUAAAAACCUAAUUACAUAAGGACUCUAUUUGCUGGAAAUCUGUCAAAACGCGGCUGGGUCAACGGACCUCGCGACGCAUCGUCGUGGUCACGACGGACCGUCAUGGACUCCGUCGUCCCAUACUUGAUGCAAUUUCUUAUGCUGCUCUCUUCAUUACUCUCGACAGCAGGUAUGAUGGAUCGUUACAGGCACAACGAUCCGUCGAGGGUCUCCGUUCCAAAACACUUGAACUCUUGGAAUAUGGGUACUGGGACUACUUCUCUGAACUUCAUGACGAACCUGCAGGACGGACCGUCAUGGAUACGACGGUCCGUCACGCAUUUUGUAACCCCACACUUGGUCAGACUUCCCCAUUUUCCUUCAGCAGCUGCACUACGUUGCCACCUACGGACCGUCACGAGCAUGACGGACCGUCACAAGCAUGACGGACCGUCACAAGCAUGACGGACCGUCACAAGCUCCGUAGGUGGUCUCUUCUGCAUUUCUUUGCUCAAAAACCUCCGCAUUCAUCUUUGGAUAGAUUUCCUGCAAAUAAGGAGAAACUUAUAUAAAAAUUAGCACAAAAAGAUUUUGGACACACUAACUUAAGGAAAAAAUAUUAAUAAUACCGUGACACCAUAGUAUAUCAGUGAUCCUAAGUGUUUGGGAAAAAUCCAUGAAUGUUUUGAAGGUUUAGAGUUGAAAAUCGGAGAAGAAAAGUCAGAAAACUCGUCUGACAGGUCUUGUGGCACCGUGCCUACAAGAGCCCCUCAGGACAGACUCUUUCUGUCAGGCUCUGGCGCGCCGCCGUGCCAGCUAGAGCGCCUGAAGACAGUGUCUGUCGGUCAGGCGCUGGUGCCCCGCGCCUCUCAGAGCGCCAGGGUCACCUGGAGAUUCUAUUUCUCUCCCAUCUUUUAGUACGAGUUCCUAAGUGACGUAUCUAUUAUUUCUAGUUAGUUCCAAUACUCUAAAGUAAAUAUAAACAUUAUGAAAUCAUCCAUAAUAAUGAGAUCAGGAUCCGUGAAUGCAUAAUCCAAUUCAAGGGAAGUUAAGAUCAAAGUCAAAAAAAGUUAAGAGUCAAGUCUAAAAGUUAAAAAACAAGUCAAAGUAAGUUCCUAAAGCAUUCAAGAGUCUUAAACAAACAUUUUAACUUUGUUUUAAGGUUCAAGCAAUGAGUUGAGCAAAGAGUAAAAGAGUUGAGUUAAAUUUUCAAAAGCUAUAAGGGAACUAAGUAUUCCCUAAGAGUUAAGUUUCAAGUUAAGCAAAUAGUAACAAGUUGAGUUCACUUCUCAAGAGUUAGAAGGGAACUAAGUAGUCUCUAACAGUUUAAACAAGAUGUUUUUAAACUUUUGAGAAAGAAAGGAAGCUAGACUUCCACAGAGCCUAUGACUAGUUUUAGUAAAAGAAAAAGGAAACUAUGAUUUCUAAGAAAGUUUUUGAAGCAAAGUUUGAGAAAUUAUCUCAAACUAGAGAAGAAGUUGUUUUAAAAAAACAUAUGAGCUAAGUAUUUUGGGAGUAGUAUUGAGCACCGAUAUGGUGACGCGAGUUCAUAUUAACUCAAGUCUCCAUAAACCAUUGAGCCAACAUGGAGAUAUAAAAGAUCAUACUUUUUAGAUGAUUCCUUAGUAAUUUUAGCAUAGACUAGUGAAUCCUCUUAGUAGUUCAGGUUCUAUAUCGACGACAAGGUAUAGAGUGGUCCUCUUGCAACAUGAGGUAAUACGUUGUACCAUCACUUAGGCUCAUAGAUGGUUGUCGGUUAGAUAAUCUCUCAAAGAAAUUAUAAUACUUUCAAAUAUAUGAGUAAAGUUGAGUUUAUUAUUGAUUUAUCUUUAAUGAACUAAGUGUUUACACUGUUUUACAAGCUUUUCUUAUAUCGCAUGUGUCCUUACUGCUUUAUAUUGAGUCGUUAUUUCAUGAGUUGAGCAGAACCAAGGUAAGUUCUUCCUUACUCCUUUCAAGCCUUAUAGUAGUGUUUAGUAUUCCAAUUCGCAUACUCGUUUGGCCUGCAUGCAUCGCCUUAUAAUGCAGAAGCAGGUAAUUAGGAUCAACAUGCAGCACUUUGUUGAACCAGUUUGAGCUCUAGAGUCAGUGGUGAGCCUCCAUGCAUUUCGGAGGAUCCUUUUAUUGCUAUCUAGUUAGUUCAAUAGAAUGUUGUGGGGUUUGUCCCAACAUUCAUCUCAGUCAGUUUAGAGGUUUCAUAGACGGAUAGUAGUAGUUAAGUUGUGUCUCUUUAUUUCAGAUUCUAUAUUUGAGACUUAAGUGCAAAUUUGGCCAAGACAGUAUUUAAAGUCAUUUUUAUGAGAACUUCUUCAAUUCUAUAACUGAAUUAAGUUGAGUCUUCCGCUGAGUUAAGUAAGUCAGACCAAGAGUUCCCUUGAGGCCAGCAAUGGUCACCAAGUGCUAGUCCCACCCAGGGUAUAAGCUCGGAGCAUGCUAAUAUAUGCAUUUCAUAUACGACUUACGUAUUCAGAUACUUUUAACAUUUUGUUAGAGCAGAAGAGUCUUAACUUAUAUAUGUAGGUGAAGUAUUGAUAUAUUGGGAUAUUGGUACUUAUUAUUAUUUUACUUUAAUACUUAUUUAUAAGUCUACAACACACGGUAAGCACACACAAGGUGCUCAACAUGUGUGCUUGAAGUAAAUUUAAUUUUGAAUGAGGUUAAUUUGGUCAUUUUAUAUAAUACUCAAUGUUUCUUUUACUUGUACAAAAUGCAAAAUUGCUUUUAUGGACAUCAAAUGACCAAAAACCCAGUAUCCUUUAACUCAUUGUCAUAUGUUAUAGAACAUUGCAAUUGGUUGAAAAUGAACUUUAAUGUAGUUGCAAUAUAAUUAUUUUUACUUCUUGUCAAAACUGCCCCUAUGCGGCUUAAGCUUAUUUUAUCAACUAUUUGUUAUUACGUGGAGAAAUUAAAGACAUCUUUAGAUGAGUCCUUUUAAGCGGUACCGACCUAGAUAUAUAUAUUCUUUUCGUUUUAUUUAUGUCAUUUUUACUAAAAAUAGGUAAUAUUUAAUAUUUAUCAUUUCACAAAAGUAAUGCAUUAUAUAGUAAUGAAAUCGACUCUCUGAACUCUGUGACGGACCGUCACAGGUACGACGAACCGUCGUGAGCCCCCGUUUCAAAACACUUCAACUCUUGAGAAUUUGGUACAGGGAACGAUUCUCUGAACGUCAUGACGGAGGUGCAGGACGGACCGUCGUAGGUACGAUGGGCUGUCACAGACUCCUUAAGGAAAUCGAGUCUUUGACGAACCUGCAUGACGGACCGUCGCAGGCACGACGGGCCGUCGCAGGUUGCGCAAUCCCAGUCUGGGUCAGAUUUCUUUACACAUUUUAAGGGACGUUUUUGACUAUUCCUUCUUUAAUUAUAAAGUUAGUGGGUUAAUGUUAAUAAGUCUAAUUACUUGGGGGUUAAAAGAGGUAACCUCAAGUUAAUUAGUGGGUUAUUAUUGCCAUCUUUCAUUCUUAAUUAUAUACUAAUUAGGGUAAAAGAAAGAGGGUUUGAAUAAAGAAAAUAGAAAGAACACAAAGAGAGAGAGGGAGAAUCGAACGAGAAGGUGAAAAGAAGAGGAGAAACACAAAGCUUUGGGAAAUUGCUUGCUUGAUUUCUUGUCUUCGGUGGAGGUAGGUUUUGGUUUUCAUGCUAUUCGUAGUAAACUCUUAAUAGCGAAUGAUAUGUGUUAGUAGUAUUGUAAACCCUUCUAUAUGCUUAAUUGUAUGCUUGCAUGAAUGAUGUGAUUAUGGAAUUAUGAAUAAAUAAGCAUGAUGAAGUUAUUGAAUCCCAAAUCUUGAAAAGAAACCUUAAUCUACUUUGUUAAUGAUGAUGCCUUGGUAUAAAAGAAGGCUUGAUGAACGAAAGGGGUGAGAUUAGGGGAUCGAGUGCCACAUUCUGGUACCAGUAUAGAGAUAGAGGAUCGGGUGCCACGUUCCGGUACCAGGAUAGAAUGAGGAUCGAAGUGUCACGUUCCGACACCAGGAUAGUAUAUGGAUCGGGUGCCACGUUCCGGUACCAGGAUAGAAUGAGGAUCGGAGUGUCACGUUCCGACACCAGGAUAGUAUAUGGAUCGGGUGCCACGUUCCGGUACCAGGAUAGAAUGAGGAUCGGAGUGUCACGUUCCGACACCAGGAUAGUAUAUGGAUCGGAGUGUCACGUACCGACACGAGGGGAAUAAAUAUAAUGAAUCUUGUAAGAUGCUAAUAUACUCAAUUUAAUGAAACUAAUUCCCAAAUGAGUAUGAUAUUGAGGCUUGAGUCCUCACGUGUGAACUUGACGGUAUUUGUUAAUGAUAUAGUACUUGUUGUUGCUACAUGUUGAGUAUCAUAGUUGAUUUUAUGAUAUUGCUUAAUAUAUAUUGUUUUCUAAUUUCGAGUUGACCGAUGAUAUCUACUCAGUACCCGUGUUUUGUACUGACCCCUACUUUUGUGUUUUCUUCUUUGUUAUUUGUGGAGUGCAGCAAACAUGCCGUCGUCUUCGACUCAACAGUAUUCAAGCCAGUCUUUACUACACCGGAAAUUCAGGGUGAGCUAAUGCUUCUAGCUUGGACUGGAUCUUCUUCUUCAAGUCUUGAUGCCUUGAACUUCCGGCAUGGACUAGCUUCUUAUGUAUUUUUAGCUUCUUAGACAUUUUUAGUUAGUAAUUUGAUCAUAGAUGUUCUUGUGAUGAUGACUUCCAGAUUUUGGGGAAUAAUAGUUAUUGAAUUGGUUUUUAUUUAAUGAGCUUAAGUCUUCCGCAUUAUUUUCUAUUGAUAUACGUUGAAAUGAUAAGGUUUAGAUUGGUUGGUUCGCUCACAUAGGAGGGUAAAUGUGGGUGCCAGUCGCGGCUCGGUUUUGGGUCGUGACAAACCUUGUAUCAGAGCAUUAGGUUCGUUGGUCUCAUCACACAAGAACGAGUCUAGUAGAGUCUUAAGGAACGGUAGGGGGGCGCCUUUACUUUUCUUUGAGGGGCUAUAAGACUUUAGGAAAUUCCAUUCUUUCUUAUCUCUUUCGUGAUACUACUUGAAUCCAAUUGGUAUCUAGGUGAUUCAAAUUGGUAUCUGACCAUCUUCACUCUAUUUCGCAGAUGGUUAGAACUAGAUCAACGACUGCGCCAACACCAACACCGGCAAGACAAGAAACGUCUGAGCCAGCCACUGGGGCUGUGGCUCAAGGAAGAGCAAUAGCAAGAGGUCGUGGUAGAGUUCGUGGGAGGACGUCCUCUAGAGGGAGAGGACGAGUACCUAGCCCAUCUGAUGCUAGGGCGGUGACUCCUCCACCGACUGAGGAAGUAGUAAGAGAGGGUGAGGAAGGGGAGAAUGAACAAGUGCAAAAUGAUGAAUUGCCACCCCAACCUACCCCAGAGAUGAUCAAUCAGGUUCUCGCUUAUCUUAGUGGGUUAUCUGAUUAGGGCCAGACACCUCCAGUGUUUUCUGCACCAGUACCUCAGGUUCCGGAGGUACAACAUGCGGCUACUAUGGCUCCUCGUAUGGAUGCCUCAUUGGACAUAGGCACGUUUCCACGUCUGACUACUGGGCCUAUAAUGACAAAUGAUCAGCAUGAACUUUUCAGUAAGUUCUUGAAAUUGAAACCCCCAGUCUUCAAGGGUGCUGAAUCUGAGAAUGCUUACGAUUUUCUGGUUGACUGUCAUGAGCUACUACACAAGAUGGGUAUAGUAGAACGGUUUGGUGUUGAGUUCGUGAGUUAUCAGUUUCAAGGGAACGCCAAAAUGUGGUGGCGGUCACAUGUUGAGUGUCAACCAACAGAGGCACCACCUAUGACUUGGGCCUCAUUCUCUAGCUUGUUUAUGGAGAAGUGUGUCAACCAACAGAGGCACCACCUAUGACUUGGGCCUCAUUCUCUAGCUUGUUUAUGGAGAAGUAUAUCCCCCAGACUUUGAGGGAUAGGAAAAGGGAUGAGUUCUUGAGCCUAGAUCAAGGUAGGAUGUCGGUUAAUGCAUAUGAGGCUAGGUUUCGCGCACUAUCCAGGUAUGCCACUCAACUUUGUUUCAGUCUACAAGAGCGGAUUCGCCGGUUUGUGAAGGGGUUGAGGUCAGAGUUGCGGAUUUCGGCCUUACAGGUAGCGGCUACGGCAAAAUCCUUCCUAGAAGUGGUAGACUUCGUGAUAGAGGUGGAAGGAGUGAAGCCCAAUGACUUCACCUCGACAUCGACAUCAAAAAGGUUUCGAAAGGGAGGUGAGUUUAAUGGUUCUUACCCUAGGGGAUAGGGUUUCGGAGGUUACUCAGUCCGACCGAUUCAGUCUUCACUACAGACUGUAGUUGGGGGUCCACCUCAGACCGGUCAAAACUUCCUUGAGAGACCUAUGCAUGAACCAAGAAAGUGCUAUGGAUGUGGGGAGAUUGGAAAUAUUAAGAGAUAUUGUCCAAAACAGAGUUACCGACCCCCAAUAGCUAGAGGUAGAGGUGGUUAUGGAAGAAGUCGUCAUUCUGGAGGACGCGGUGGUCGAGGUAAUGGUGGUCACCAAAACGGCCGGGGUGAUGGGCAAACUGGAGCCACUACAUCACAACAUGGUAGGGGCAAUAGACAGACAAGUAAUGGGGCUCAUUGCUACGCUUUUCCUGGGAGAUCUGAAACGGAGACAUCAGAUGCUGUCAUCACAGGUAAUCUUUUAAUUUGUGAUUGCAUGGCUUCUAUAUUGUUUGAUCCUGGAUCCACAUUUUCUUAUGUAUCUUCCUCAUUUGCUAAUGGUCUAAAUUUACGUUGUGAAUUACUUGACAUGCCUAUUCAUGUUUCUACUCCGGUGGGUGAGUCUGUGGUAGUUGAAAAGGUAUAUAGGUCUUGUUUGGUGAACUUUGUGGGGAGCAACAGUUAUGUAGAUUUGGUUAUCUUAGAAAUGGUUGAUUUUGAUGUAAUUCUGGGUAUGACUUGGCUUUCUCCGCAAUUUGCGAUCUUGAUUGUAAUGCUAAAACGGUGACGUUAGCCAAGCCUGGGACAGAUCCGUUAGUGUGGGAGGGUGACUACACUUCCAAUCCGGUGUGUAUCAUCUCCUUUCUUCGUGCUAAGAAAAUAGUUAGUAAAGGGUGUUUGGCUUUCUUGGCACAUCUCAAGGAUGACACUACCCAAGUACCCUCGAUUGAGUCAGUUUCGGUAGUCCGUGAGUUUUUGGAUGUGUUCCCUGCAGAUCUUCCUGGUAUGCCACCGGAUAGGGAUAUUGACUUCUGUAUUGAUCUUGAACCGGGUACUCGCCCCAUUUCUAUACCCCCUUAUAGAAUGGCUCCCGCCGAAUUGAGAGAGUUAAAGGCCCAACUUCAAGAGUUGUUGAGCAAAGGUUUCAUUAGACCAAGUGCAUCUCCUUGGGGUGCUCCGGUUUUGUUUGUAAAGACGAAGGAUGGGAGUUUUCGGAUAUGCAUAGACUACCGGCAGUUGAACAAGGUAACCAUAAAGAACAAGUAUCCUCUUCCUCGCAUUGAUGACUUGUUCGAUCAGUUACAAGGUGCUCGUGUCUUCUCUAAGAUUGACUUGAGAUCCGGUUAUCAUCAAUUGAAAAUACGGGCAACGGAUGUGCCAAAGACUGCUUUUAGAAUCAGGUAUGGGCAUUACUAAUUUGUAGUGAUGUCUUUUGGUCUUACGAAUGCCCCUACUGCGUUCAUGAGUUUGAUGAACGGGAUUUUUAAGCAAUAUUUGGAUCUCUUUGUGAUCGUAUUUAUUGAUGAUAUACUGAUAUACUCAAAGAGCAAGAAGGAACAUGAAGAGCAUUUGAGAAUGGUAUUGGAAAUGUUGAGGGAGAAAAAUCUUUAUGCCAAGUUCUCUAAGUGUGAGUUUUGGCUAGAUGCAGUGUCCUUCUUGGGGCAUUUAGUUUCUAAGGAGGGAGUGAUAGUGGAUCCUUCCAAGAUUGAGACAGUGAAGAAUUGGGUAAGACCUACUAAUGUGUCAGAAAUAAGGAGCUUUGUUGGGUUAGCUAGCUACUACCACCGAUUCGUCAAGGGAUUCUCUUCUAUUGCUUCCCAACUGACGAACUGCAAAAUGUUCCAUUUGUAUGGUCGGAUGAGUGUGAGGAAAGCUUUCAGAAGCUCAAGACUCUGUUGACUACUGCACUAAUUCUCACCUUGCCAGUGGAAGGUAGGAAUUUUAUUGUCUAUUGUGAUGCAUCCUAUUCGGGUUUGGGUGCAGUGCUAAUGCAAGAGAAGAAUGUGAUUGCUUAUGCUUCGAGGCAAUUAAAAGUGCAUGAACAUAACUAUCCAACUCAUGAUUUGGAAUUGGCUGCGGUAGUGUUUGCAUUAAAGCAAUGGAGACACUAUUUAUAUGGGGUUAAGUGUGAGGUCUACACGGAUCAUCGUAGCCUUCAGUAUGUCUUUACUCAGAAAGAUUUGAACUUGAGACAGAGGAGAUGGAUGGAGCUACUAAAGGACUAUGAUAUCACUAUCUUGUAUCAUCCGGGGAAGGCGAAUGUUGUAGCGGAUGCUUUAAGUAGAAAGGCGGGAAGCAUGGGAAGUCUAGCCCACUUGCAAGCUUCUAGACGCCCAUUGGCUAGAGAAGUUCAGAUUCUGGCUAACGACCUUAUGAGAUUAGAAGUAAAUGAGAAGGGAGGAUUUUUUGCUUGUGUGGAGGCAAGAUCUUCCUUCCUUGACAAGAUUAAGGGAAAACAGUUUGAUGAUGAGAAACUAAGCAGAAUCCAAGAUAAGGUGUUGCGAGGAGAGGCUAAGGAAGCACAAAUCGAUGAGGAAGGUGUUUUGAGUAUUAAGGGAAGGGUAUGUGUACCCCGCGUCGAUGAUUUGAUCAACACUAUUCUGACAGAGGCUCAUAGUUCAAGGUAUUCGAUACAUCCGGGUGCAACAAAGAUGUACUGUGACCUAAAGCAACACUUUUGGUGGAGUAGAAUGAAGCGUGAUAUUGUGGAUUUUAUUGUCAAAUGUCCAAACUGUCAACAAGUAAAGUAUGAACACCAAAGGCCCGGAGGAACACUUCAGAGAAUGUCCAUUCCUGAAUGGAAGUGGGAAAGGAUUGCAAUGGAUUUCGUGGUUGGUCUUCCAAGGACAUUGGGAAAGUUUGAUUCUAUUUGGGUAAUUGUUGAUAGGUUAACUAAGUAUGCUCAUUUCAUUCCAGUUAAGGUGACUUACAAUGCCGAGAGGUUAGCCAAGAUCUAUAUCUCAGAAAUCGUUCGAUUGCAUGGGGUUCCACUAUCCAUCAUAUCAGAUAGAGGUACGCAAUUUACUUCUAAGUUUUGGAAAACAUUGCAUGCGGAAUUGGGUACUAGGUUGGACCUUAGUACUGCGUUCCAUCCUCAGACCGAUGGUCAGUCUGAGCGAACGAUUCAAGUGUUGGAGGAUAUGCUUCGUGCAUGUGUGAUAGAAUUUGGUGGUCAGUGGGAUAGCUUCUUACCCUUAGCAGAGGUCUCCUACAACAAUAGCUAUCACUCAAGUAUUGAUAUGGCUCCAUUUGAAGCAUUGUAUGGUAGGAGGUGUAGGUCCCCCAUUGGUUGGUUUGAUGCAUUUGAAGUUAGACCUUGGGGUACUGACCUUUUGAGGGAUUCAUUAGAGAAAAUGAAAUCUAUUCAAGAAAAGCUUCUAGCGGCGCAAAGUGGUGAUGCGGUUUGGUAAGCAAGGUAAACUUAGCCCAAGGUAUAUUGGCCCAUUUGAAGUACUCAAGCGAAUAGGGGAGGUGGCUUAUGAGUUAGCCUUGCCUCCAAGGCUGUCCGGAGUACAUCCGGUAUUCCAUGUGUCGAUGUUGAAAAGAUACCCUGGGGAUGGAAACUACAUUAUCCGUUGGGAUUCAGUUUUGCUUGAUGAAAAUUUGACUUAUGAGGAGGAGCCUGUUGCCAUUUUAGAUAGAGAAAUUCGCAAGUGGAGAUCAAGGGAGAUUGUAUCCAUCAAAGUUCAAUAGAAGAAUCGACCAGUCGAAGAAGCCACUUGGGAGAAAGAGGCUGAUAUGCGAGAAAGAUACCCACACCUUUUACAGAUUCAGGUACUCCUUUUCGCCCUUGUUUUCCUUCUUGUGAUCGUUCGGGGACGAACGAUGGGUAAAUUGGUAUCUAUUGUAACGACCUGUUUAGUCAUUUUGAGCAGCAGACUUCAAUUCUGGAAAAACUGGCAAAAACGACUGACCCCACGACGGACCGUCAUGGGCACGACGGACCGUCGAGGGGGUCUCGUUCCAUAACACUUAGAAAAUAGAAAAUUGGGUACUGAAAUCGACUCUCUGAACUCUGUGACGGACCUGUAGGACGAACCGUCACAGGUACGACGAACCGUCGUGAGCCCCCGUUUCAAAACACUUCAACUCUUGAGAAUUUGGUACAGGGAACGAUUCUCUGAACGUCGUGACGGAGGUGCAGGACGGACCGUCGUAGGUACGAUGGGCCGUCACAGACUCUUUAAGGAAAUCGAGUAUCUGACGAACCUGCAUGACGGACCGUCGCAGGCACGACGGGCCAUCGCAGGUUGCGCAAUCCCAGUCUGGGUCGGAUUUCUUUACACGUUUUAAGGGACGUUUUUGACUAUUCCUGCUUUAAUUAUAAAGUUAGUGGGUUAAUGUUAAUAAGUCUAAUUACUUGGGGGUUAAAAGAGGUAACCUCAAGUUAAUUAAUGGGUUAUUAUUGCCAUCUUUCAUUCUUAAUUAUAUACUAAUUAGGGUAAAAGAAAGAGGGUUUGAAUAAAGAAAAUAGAAAGAACACAAAGAGAGAGAGGGAGAAUCGAACGAGAAGGUGAAAAGAAGAGGAGAAACACAAAGCUUUGGGAAAUUGCUUGCUUGAUUUCUAGUCUUCGGUGGAGGUAGCUUAUGGUUUCAUGCUAUUCGUAGUAAACUCUUAAUAGCGAAUGAUAUGUGUUAGUAGUAUUGUAAACCCUUCUAUAUGCUUAAUUGUAUGCUUGCAUGAAUGAUGUGAUUAUGUAAUUAUGAAUAAAUAAGCAUGAUGAAGUUAUUGAAUCCCAAAUCUUGAAAAGAAACCCUAAUCUACUUUGUUAAUGAUGAUGCCUUGGUAUAAAAGAAGGCUUGAUGAACGAAAGGGGUGAGAUUAGGGGAUCGGGUGCCACGUUUCGGUACCAGGAUAGAGAUAGAGGAUCGGGUGCCACGUUCCGGUACCAGGAUAGAAUGAGUAUCGGAGUGUCACGUUCCGACACCAGGAUAGUAUAUGGAUCGGGUGCCACGUUCCGGUACCAGGAUAGAAUGAGGAUCGGAGUGUCACGUUCCGACACCGGGAUAGUAUAUGGAUCGGGUGCCACGUUCCGGUACCAGGAUAGAAUGAGGAUCGGAGUGUCACGUUCCGACACCAGGAUAGUAUAUGGAUCGGAGUGUCACGUACCGACACGAGGGGAAUAAAUAUAAUGAAUCUUGUAAGAUGCUAAUAUACUCAAUUUAAUGAAACUAAUUCCCAAAUGAGUAUGGUAUUGAGGCUUGAGUCCUCACGUGUGAACUUGACGGUAUUUGUUAAUGAUAUAGUACUUGUUGUUGUUACAUGUUGAGUAUCAUAGUUGAUUUUAUGAUAUUGCUUAAUAUAUAUUGUUUUCUAUUUCGAGUUGGCCGAUGAUAUCUACUCAGUACCCGUGUUUUGUACUGACCCCUACUUUUAUGUUUUCUUCUUUGUUAUUUGUGGAGUGCAGCAAACGUGCCGUCGUCUUCGACUCAACAGUAAUUCAAGCCAGUCUUUACUACACCGGAAAUUCAGGGUGAGCUAAUGCUUCUAGCUUGGACUGGAUCUUCUUCUUCAAGUCUUGAUGCCUUGAACUUCCGGCAUGGACUAGCUUCUUAUGUAUUUUUAGCUUCUUAGACAUUUUUAGUUAGUAAUUUGAUCAUAGAUGUUCUUGUGAUGAUGACUUCCAGAUUUUGGGGAAUAAUAGUUAUUGAAUUGGUUUUUAUUUAAUGAGCUUAAGUCUUCCGCAUUAUUUUCUGUUGAUAUACGUUGAAAUGAUAAGGUUUAGAUUGGUUGAUUCACUUACAUAGGAGAGUAAAUGUGGGUGCCAGUCGCGGCUCGGUUUUGGGUCGUGACAGCAUAGAAAGCUAAGUAACUAAUUCAUACUUAUUGGUCAAAUUAAAUAGUCAAAAUAAAUAAAUUCAUGUUUAUUGAUUGAAAACUUGACUUCAAAAAAACAGUAAGAAUAGAAUAAAAUUUGCUUAAUUUCGUAAUACACAUAAAAUCUAAAAUAGUGACAUAUAAAUAUGAUCGGAGAGAGUAUAAGUUAAUUCUCUAUUUGUAUCAUACAAAUAGAGAAUCAAGAUUUUAUUAAUGAUUUUUCUUUUAUUUUUUGAUGUAAAGCGCAGUCAAGGCAGCGAUUUCACUUUAAUUUUUUUUAAUUUUCUUACAUAAAUCGCUGGCAAUUUCUCCAAUCUUUUUGUAAAUUUUUUUUAAUUGUGUCGUAAAGCGCUGCAAUUGCAGCGAUAUUUUUUUGCUAAAAAAAUCAAUAUUGUAAAUCGUCUAUGCAUGACUUUAUUGAUUUUUCUUUUUUUUUUGAACAAAUUUUUAGUGGAUUUUUUUAUAAAAUUGAAACUUCUUUUUUAACGUAAGAAAAUUAAAAAAAAUUAAACUGUAAUCGCUGCCUUGGCAGGGAUUUGUUGUAAAAAAAAUUUAUUUUAAAAAAGUGAAUUGUACAAAUUGGUGCUAUAGCAGCGAUUUUCCUUAGCGUCGGCAAACAAAAUCACUACAUCCUAAGCGAUUUUAUCGUUUUGGUUAUAAAAAAAUUCAUAUACCUGUAACGACCUGUUUAGUCGUUUUGAGCAGCAGAUUUUAUUCUGGAAAAACAGGCUGAGGCGACGGACCCAACGACGGACCAUCAUGGGCACGACGGACCGUCGCAGGGUCUCGUUUGAAAACACUUAGAAAAACUGAAAAUUGGAUACUGAAAAUCGACUCUUUGAACUUCGUAACGAAAUGGCAGGACGGACCGUCACAGGUAUGACGGACCGUCACAGACCAUUGGUGGAAAUUUGGGUCUCUGAACUUUGCGACGACCUGCAGGACGGACCGUCGCAGGCACGACGGCCCGUCACAGGUUGCGCAAUCCCAGUCCGGGUCGGAUUUCUUGAUACGUUUUAAGGGACGUUUUUGACUAUUCUUGCCUUAAUUAUAAAGUUAGUGGGUUAAUGUUAAUAAGUCUAAUUACUUGGGGGUUAAAAGAGGUAACCUUAAGUUAAUUAGUGGGGCAUUAUUGCCAUCUUUUAUUCUUAAUUAUAUGUUAAUUAGGGUAAAAGGAAGAGGGUUUUGAAUAAAGAAAAUAGAAAGAACAAGAGAAAGAGAGACAGAGAGUCGAACGAGAAAGAAGAGAAACAAAGCUUGGAGAAAAAUUUGCUUGCUUGAUCACUAAUCUUCGGUGGAGGUAGGUUAUGGUUUCUCUUACGAUAUUCGUAGUAAACUCUUAAUAGAGAAUGAUAUGUAUUGAUAAUAUUGUAAACCCUGCUAUGUGCUUAAUUGUAUGCUUGCAUGAAUGUAAUUAUAUAAUUGUGAUUAUAUAAGCAUGAUGAAGUUAUUGAAUCCCAAAUCUUGCAAAAUCCUAAUCUCUUUGUUAAUAAUGAGGCCUUGGUAUAAAAGAAGGCGUGAUGAACUAAAAUAAUGGGAUUGAUGAUGCCUUGGUAAGAAAGAAGGCUUGAUGAAUUGAUGGAAGGAGAUUAGGGGAUCGGGUGUCACGAACCGACACGUAGAAUUAGGGGAUCGGGUGUCACGAACCGACACGUAGUAUUAGGGGAUCGGAUGUCACGAACCGACACGUAGUAUUAUGAGAUCGGGUGUCACGAACCGACACGUAGUAUUAGGGGAUCGGGUGUCACGAACCGACACGUAGUAUUAGGGGAUCGGGUGUCACGAACCGACACGUAGAUUUAGGGGAUCGGGUGUCACGAACUGACACAUAGAUUUAGGGGAUCGGGUGUCACGAACCGACACAUAGAUUUAGGGGAUCGGAGUGUCACGUACCGACACAAGAGGAUUAAUGAAUAUUGAGGGAGCGGAGUGUCACGUACCGACACAAGAGAAAUAAAGAUAAUGAAUCUUGAAAGAUAUUAAUAUACUCAAUCUAAUGAACAUGAUUCCCAAAUGAGUAUGGUAUUGAGGCUUGAGUCCUCAUGUGUGAACUUGACGGUAAUUGUUAAUGAUAUAGUAUUUGUUGUUGCUACAUGUUGAGUAUCAUAGUUGAUUUUAUGAUAUUACUUGGUAUAUAUUGAUUUCUAUUUUGAGUUGGCCGAUGAUAUCUACUCAGUACCCGUGUUUUGUACUGACCCCUACUUUUAUAUUUUCUUCUUGUUUAUUUGUGGAGUGCAGCAAACGUGCCAUCGUCUUCAACUCAACAGUAAUUCAAGCCAGUCUUACUACAUCGGAAAUUCAGGGUGAGCUAAUGCUUCUAGCUUGGACUGGAUCUUCUUCUUCAAGUCUUGAUGCCUUGAACUUCCGGCAUGGACUAGCUUCUUAUGUAUUUUUAGCUUUUAGAACACUCUUAGUUUAGUCAUUUGAUCGUAGAUGUUCUUGUGAUGAUGACUUCCAGAUUUUGGGGAAUAAUAGAUGUUGAAUUUUAGAAGUUAAUGAAUUGGUCUUUAUUUAAUGAGUUUAAGUCUUCCGCAUUACUUUCUGUUGAUAUUAUAUUGAAAUGUUAAGGUCAGAUUGGUUGGUUCACUCACAUAGAAGGGUAAGUGUGGGUGCCAGUCGCAACCCGGUUUGGGUCGUGACAAUACCUUUUUGAAAUUUUUGUUAAUAUUUUUCACCCUUUAGCCUCUGUACUUGCAUGAAUUACAAUAUUCUUCCUAUUUUACUCUUGUGAAUAAUUAGCUUUGAAAGUAUAUGUUUGAUCAACCUAGAAAAACUAAGUGAAUAGUUUAUGUUCAUUAAUUCAAUUAAUUAAUAAAAAUAAAUUAAUUAAUAUUUUCUUGACAAAUUCCUAUUUGAUUUUUUAAUUUAAUUCAAAAUUUUCAAGUUCCAUGUUUCACUCUUUUCUUGACGAGUUUUGUAAUAAACUAUGUACAAGAAAAGCUGUAGCUAUAAAGAAAUCAACGUAGUACAAAAUUGAAAAUUGUAUUUCAUUAAGUAAAAAAAUAGAAGGGCUUAACAACAAAACAAACUAAUUAAAUUUUAACUUAAACCCCCUGAAAUAAUAAUAAUAAUAAUAAUAAUAAUAAUAAAACAAUACUACAACAAGAAUCAUCAACCACAUACAUAAUAAGAGAGAAUAGACAAACAAAAAUUUGGAUACAACGAUGAAAUAACUAUAGAUAAUACAAAUUUGGAUAUUCAUUAAACUAUAUAUAGUGAAUAUCCUGAUACUAUAUUGCCUAAUUCUCGUUUCUAGGUACAUCAUCCAUGACAAACACGCCUAUUGAAACCCUUCAUGGAGGCGUAUAUCGGUGCCCAAUCCUUUUAUAACGAGGCGUAUAUAAGUGCUAAACUGUAAUGUUAAGAAAUACUUUUUAAUUAGUUUUCUAAAUAUAAUUUAUUCCUUUAUUUCUUUUUGUGUUAAUACUAGAACUAGAAUAGAUCAAUUGAUGUUCAUAACAAAUUCCAACACCUCACUCAUAAUGAAAUUGAUCAUAAUUUAAAGUACUAAAUCAUGCUAAAUAAGUUAAGUAAGUAUUAGUUACAUGCCUAAAUAUUAAAAGAAAAUAAAAUUAGAUCAUGUAUUUUAAUUGUUUAAAUCUAUGUAAAACUAAAAAAUAAAUAUUCAAUAUUAUUGUCAUUCUUAGUGUUGAAUUGAUUCGUUUUUUGCAUUAUUAUUAAUUUGAUUUUUAUUUAAACUUUAUUAUAAUUACCAACAUGUAUGGUCUAUAAUCUUUAUUUGAUAAUUAAGAAUUCUAACUUCCAAACAUAAAAUAAAUAUAGUAAAAGAUAAAAACUGUGAAAAAAGUAUAAGAGAUAUUUAUUAAUUAUAUCAAAGUAAGUAUUUUUACGUAUAAAAUAAAAACUUUAAUUUAUAUGUAUAAUGUCGGGUUGGUUUGGUCUCGGGUUGAUUUAUUAUAGUUGAAACCAACCCAACCCAAAUAUAGUCGGGGUUUUUUUUUCCAACACAAAAUUGAGUCAAACCAAACCACUAGUCAGGUUUUUUUUCGAUUUGACUAGGUCUGCGGGUUUAGUUCAAUUUUCGAUUUGAUUUUAUACACUCGAUUUUGAUUUUUGUGAUCUGUAGUAAGAGAUAUAGAGCAAGUCUUUUUUCCAUUAAACUUAUUUAUUUUAUUUUAUUUUUGUAGGAAAGAAGGGGGACCUUGUAUAAUUUUUUUGAUUUAGAUUUGAUGUAUCUUUGUUAAAAAAGUGGGUUACAUACACUCCUAUUAUCAUAUAAACGUGAAUUACUUUAUAAUGAGCGAUAUAUAAAUUUUAAUAAAUUAUAAAAUUGAGGAGGAGUAUAUCAAGACUUUUUACGGACUUGCGUAUUUAGAUAUUUUAGAGAUUCUGUUAAUUAAAGUAGAAGAGUAGGUGAAUAUUGGUAUGUUGAAAACAUGUGCUAUUUAUACUCAUGAAUAGAAUAAUUAAGUAGUAUAUAAUUGUUUAGUUAAACGUGUUGGGAGCCGUGCAUGCAUAUAUAUAUAUAUAUAUGCAUUUCAUGACAUAUAUAAUAAUAUAAUAAUAAUAUUAUCCAAUCUCACCAUUUAUUUAAUAUAAUAUUACAUGAUAAUUAAGAGGGCACUUCAUUUAUUUAGGUGUGUGUGAGUGAGUGAUGAUGGAGUAGUCCUAGGUAAUAGUGACGGUUGCUAGAGAUGUAAGUAUCCCAAAAAUUGCUGCCAAAGUUUGACCAACCACAUUCUCAAGUAAGUUUCCAAUAAGGAUAACGGGAGCUACAAGGGUUCCUGUGGUUGGAGUCAAAGUGCAAUUAGCAAUUGGGAGAGGAAUCCUUGCAAUACAUGUUCCUGACAAAAGACUUGUAUUGGUGGACACUGCAGCAUUAAUAAUGCCUUGACUAUUUGUGGACACUUGAGCAAUCGUUGUGUUGCCACAAAUAAUCGUUACAUUUGCUCCACUCACUCCGACGCCUGGGGCAUUACUUCCCGGUACGGAGCAAGACAAACUCCCCAAUAUACUUAAAUUAACAACACGAUCAACAACAGGUGGUACAAUCGGUGGUACUUGACCACCAACAGGUGGUACAAUCGGUGGUACUUGACCAACAACAGGUGGUACAAUCGGUUGGCCAAGAAUAGGACUAAGAAUGGGACCAACAAUUGGACCGAGAAUAGAACCAACAAUCGGUAAUUGGCCAAGACCAACAGGUGGUACUUGACCAACGGGUGGUACAAUACGUGGUGCAGGUUGCCCCAAAAUGGGACCCACAAAGGGAAUGGGACCCAAAAUGGGACGAACAAUGAGACCCAAACCUUGAGCAUGGGCUAGAGGACUGAUGGUGAUGAUGGAAAGUAGAACAACAAGGGAAAC